rnacentral:lncRNA from 1 species
UUUUCUCAUGUUUUUUUUUUUUUUUUUUUUUUUUUUUUUGUGAAUUUGUUGAUUUGGUUUCAUUGUGUUGCACUGAUGUCUGUCAUUGUACUCCUCCUCCUUUUUGUGUUGUUAUUGUAGGUAUGUUGCUACUGAUAUCCCAAGUGACCUUUUAGUACAAGUUGAGGGUGUCAAUUUCCAUUUGCAUAAGGUGUUGUAUAAUCUCCUCUGUUUGGAUAGAUCAUAGAUGGAUGAACUUGAACUUUGAACUUGGGGUUUUUUCUUUUUUCUUUUUUUUUUUUUUGGUUUGUGUUUUGCUUUCCUUAAUGGGGUUGUUUCGUUUUUGGCUGUUUAUGAACUGUGAAGUAUCCUCUUCUUUCUAGAAGUGGGAAGAUGAACAGAUGCAUAUACGAAUCCAGAGACCCAGAUUUGAAUAAGGUUGUUUUGGAUGAUCUUCCUGGUGGGGCUGAGGCUUUUGAACUUGCAGCCAAAUUUUGUUACGGAAUAGCUGUUGAUUUGACUGCAGCCAAUAUUUCUGGCCUUAGGUGUGCUGCUGAGUAUCUUGAAAUGACAGAAGAUUUGGAAGAAGGUAAUUUGAUUUUCAAAACUGAGGCAUUUCUUAGCUACGUGGUACUUUCUUCAUGGAGGGACUCCAUAGUUGUGUUGAAAAGCUGUGAGAAGCUCUCGCCGUGGGCUGAGAACCUACAAAUUGUUCGACGAUGCAGCGAGUCUAUUGCUUGGAAAGCUUGUGCUAAUCCUAAAGGAAUUAGAUGGGCAUACACUGGCAAACCCCCAAAAGUUUCUAGUCCCAAAUGGAAUGAUUUGAAGGAUUCAAGUCCUAGUAGGAAUCAGCUCGUUCCACCUGAUUGGUGGUUUGAGGAUGUCUCAAUCCUCAGGAUUGAUCACUUUGUUAGAGUAAUCACAGCAAUCAAAGUAAAGGGUAUGAGGUUUGAAUUGAUUGGAUCGUCGAUUAUGCAUUAUUCAUCAAAAUGGCUUCCUGGUUUGGUAACCGAUACAACAAAUGCCGGUGAUGAAGGAAGUACCAGCACUACGAGUAACACAAGCAGUGGCAGCAACAGUUGGAAAGGUGGGCUUCAUAUGAUUGUGGCUGGCAACAAGGAAGAUCACUCGGCCAUUCAGGCGAAAGAUCAACGAAUGAUCAUUGAGAGCUUGAUCAGCAUCAUUCCUCCACAGAAAGAUUGUGUCUCAUGUAGCUUCCUUCUAAAAUUGUUGAGAAUGGCAAAUAUGUUGAAAGUUGCACCGGCAUUGGUCACUGAAUUGGAGAAAAGAGUUGGAAUGCAGUUUGAACAAGCCACACUUGUGGAUCUUUUGAUCCCAUCUUACAGCAAGAGUGAUACAAUGUAUGAUGUCGAUCUUAUUCAGAGGCUGCUUGAGCAUUUCCUAGUCCAGGAACAGACUGAGAUUUCGAGUCCAAGCCGACAAUCAUUUUCUGAUAAACACAUGUAUGAUGGAUCUCAAAGAGGGACUGUUCCAAAUGCCAAGAUGAGGGUGGCAAGGCUUGUUGAUAGCUAUCUAACAGAGGUAGCCAGAGACAGAAACCUUUCCUUGACAAAAUUUCAAGUACUGGCUGAAGCUCUGCCAGAAUCUGCUCGAACAUGUGACGAUGGGCUUUACCGAGCUAUCGAUUCCUAUCUUAAGGUAAAUAUCUUACAAACUUGUAUUGUUUUUCCACUAAGGCUGUUUUAAUUACGUGAACAUGUCUGUUAAAUCUGCCUUCAAGAUCAGAGAGUUUCCAAACAUGAUGUGUUCUCUAAGUGAACUGGUAAUGACAGGCGCACCCUACGCUCACAGAGCACGAGAGGAAGCGACUAUGCCGAGUAAUGGACUGCCAGAAGCUCUCCAUUGAUGCAUGUAUGCACGCAGCACAAAACGAAAGGCUCCCGUUACGAGUGGUGGUCCAAGUCCUGUUCUCGGAGCAAGUAAAGAUAAGCAAUGCAAUUGCCAAUUCGUCACUAAAAGAAGCAAACGAUUCGCAAUUCCAACCACUCGUAACAAACCGUAAGACAUUGCUGGAAGCCACACCACAAUCAUUCCAAGAAGGAUGGGCAACUGCCAAGAAAGACAUUAACACACUGAAAUUUGAGCUUGAGAGUAUGAAGACCAAGUAUCUUGAACUUCAAACUGAAAUGGAGAGCUUGCAAAGACAAUGUGAGAAGGUUACAAAGCAAAAGCAAAGCUCUGCCUGGAGUAGUGGGUGGAAAAAACUGAGCAAAUUGACUAAAAUUUCAACUUUGGAAACCCCAGAAAAUGAAUUCCAACAUCCAGGCAUUGCAGAACAGACUAAGAAAGUACACAGAAGAUGGAGGAAUUCAAUAUCAUAGGAUGCAAAUGGCAUAUCACUUUCAUAUUUCAACAUUUGGGUUCUGUCUUCCUUUUUUCUUUUUUCCUUAUCUUUUUUCUUUUCCUUUCUCUCUUUUCCUUUUCCAUUGGGUCAGAGAAGAACACAACAUUUUACUUUCUUUUUCCCAGCAAUCAAAAUCACUUUAUGCUGGUUGGAAUAGACUUUGAUAUAAUUCAUGUUUCCCAAAUUUGUAAGUGUUUUCUUUUCAUUUCUAAUGAGUUUUGUGCCACUGUUUCAAAUAAUUUCUCAGGUAACUUUUGUAGACUUUUCGAGUUUUUAUUCUGUUACACUACCUCUCCUAUAAAUUUUUGGGAUGAUGAAAUGAUUUGCAUAUUUCUAAGUACAGAAGUACAACAAUAGUGUCAAAUUUUAAAAACAAAAACAAACUUUUAAAAAUUAAUUUCUUCUUUCAUUUUCAAAUUUUUGUUUGGUUGUUUAAACUAUCGGUAAUAUGUAGAUAAAAAAGAAAAAAAAGAAAGUUGAAAUUAGAAGUAUGGUUGUAUGGUUUAUAGACUUAGUUUUAGAAAACAAAAUGGUAAAAGUAAAUAUGAUACAUAUUGAUAUGAUUGUUUGAUUAUAAAAUAAUUUUUUUUUUUAAAAAAAAACAAAGCAAAUUAGAUGGAACUGACUUUUUUUAUAUUAUAUUAUGAUUGAUUUAUAGGUUUGUUUAGCGUAGAAAGAGUAAUAUUAUUAUAAAAGCAAAAGAAAAUAAUUGGAGGUGGUGAAGUAUAAUGGGAACAAUAAAAACAAAAGAUAUAAAUAAUGGAGAAAUGUUAAAAAUGAAAAUGAUUAAGAAUGAGUCGAAAAAAAGAGGAUGAAUUUGAGUAAGGAAUGGGAAGCACAUUGUCGUCCACAAAGGCCAUCUAUCAGAGGGUCCCUCUUUCCUUAUCAACUUCUUUGUUGCCCCAACACAAUUAAUACAUAUAAUACAUAUAAUACAUAUAAUAUUUACUUUAUUUCAACAUCAUUAUCAUUCUUCACAAAAUAGAUAUGGUUUUGGGUAUCCAUCAAUUGGGUUUUUAAUAUCAGUUUUAGUCUAAACAGAAACCAAAAGAAUAUCUCCUUUCAUAUAAGAUAAGGUAUACCAAAAAUAUUCUAUUGUGUUUAUUACAUGAUUUGAAAUAGAAUGAUAUAUAUAUAUAGUUAGGAUCACAUAGAAUGUCCUCACAUAAUUUAAUUAAUCAACUCUUCUUUUUGUUAUAAUUAUAAGAUUAUUAUUAUUAUUAUUAUAAUUUAAUGAUUUUUUUAUUAUUUUUUAUUAAACUCUGUUGAGUGAAAAAUGUUAGUUCAUUUUCAAAACAUUUAGAAAACACCCAAUCACACCUUUUUUUUUUCAUAUUACGAAUAUGAUGAGUAAUUAGUGAUAUCAGACGACUAUUAGAAGACUAUUAGAGGGUUAUCGAUUUUUAAAUUUGUUACUUUUGCAAUUUAGAAAAUGUAAUGACAUAAAAGGUGUGUUUGAAUUGAUUUUUGGAGUGUUUAAUUUUUAAAAUAAUUCAUUUUAAGAUAAAUUGAGGUGUCUUGACAUUUGUUUAAAAUAAAUUUUGGAAAAAUGAGAUUAUGAAAUAAAUCAUUUUAGAGAAAAUGCAUACAACCAAAUUUUAGAAUAAAUGUUUAUUCGGUGUUUAAUGAGAAAUUUCUUCUAAAUAUGUAUUUUUCUCUGCCUAUUUAUUUUAUUUCUUUUUACUAUCUAUUUUUCACUCUUUUUUCUUAAAUACUUUCAAUAAUUUUUCAACGUGUUCAUAUAUAUUUAAAUAUAGAAAUUUGCAAAUGUUUCUCUUUAAGCUAAAUCUACUUCGUCUUCACAUCUAUGAAAAAAAUUAUGAGGACGUCAAUGAAGAACAUGAUUGUUCGUGACAUGAAAAUGAAUUAAGAACGUUAUUUAUCUUAUUUAUAUUUUGUUGUUGGAAAUCAAUUAAUUUUUUUUAUAUAGGUUAUGUAUUACAUUUCAAGAUAUUUGUGCUUUUAAAAAUUAAUUAUCCAAAAUAAUAAUAACGAAAUUAAUAUUUAGUUUCAAGAAUUUAAAAUUUUAAUAAUUUCAAGAUAACGUGCAAUUACUUUUAAAAAAUAUUUUAGAAAAAAGAUUUAAAAUGGGUGUAUUUCGUUAUGAAAUUAAUUUAUAAUAUUUAAUAGUCUUUUAUAGUAGUUUAACCUACGUAUAAAACACUAUUAGUAUAUGACAAACAAAAUACAUUUUUGCACGUAAACGUUUAUAAAUAGGUCAAACCAAACAUGUAAGUGUUUAGAUUUUAAAUUCAUUUUACAAAAAAAGACUUUUUAAAAAGUGUAUUCUUACGAAAACAUUUUUUUUUAAAAGGCAAUCCAAACGGACCCGAAUUCUACUACCAUAAUUUUUUUUACUAUUUUUUUUUAUUAUAAAUAUCCCUUUAAACAAACUCAAUAUGUUAAAACAUCUCUAUUUUCUAAGUUUCUUGUUCAAAUCAAUUUUGUAUUUUUUUUAAUUUUUAUUUCGAUUUUAUAUCUUAAAUAACAUCCAUGUUUGAUGGAAAUAUCAUGAUUUUAAUUUUAUUGAAAUAUGGAUAUUGAUAGAAAAUUUUACAAAACUUUAAGAAAAUUAAUGAAAAUGGUUAUAACUAGUUAAUAAAACUUUAGUUAUAGUUUAACUUUAGACUAGAAUUAAUCAUUUUUAUGGUAUAAGAUAACAUUUAAAACUAUAUUUGUAACUAUUUUUCUUAAACGUUGGAUGGAAUAGCUGAAAAUUAAAAAGAAAUGAAAAAAGUAAAUACAUAAUCGUACAUAAAAUGUAAAUAUAUAUAGGUUUUGUUUGUGGGUUUUUUCAAACUCGAUUUCCUUUCUAAAUGAAAGUUUCUUGAAAUUUUUUGAAAUAAUAUUUUCAAAAUGGAAAUUGAAAUUUUACGUUGCUUAAAUUUAAAAGUUACUAAAAUCUCGAAAUUUCAAGAAAUAAAUUAUAAUAGUAAAAAAUAAAAUAUUCAAAAGUGAUCGUUGAAUUGAGUUUAAGAAGCUAAUAGAAAACAUAAUAAGUGGAUUUAAGAAAAAUCCAUAAACCAAUAAUUGAAAGGAGAGAAAGGAGAGUCCCACUCCACAUACUCCACAUGAAGGAUAAAGUUUUAUAUAUAUAUAUAUGCUUUCAAAGUGAUGUGUCUUAGCUAAAGGAAUAACAUAGCUUCAAUCAUUUUCCAUCAACUUGAAGACAUAUAACUUACAAAUUUAUUAAUAAAAUUGACUCAUAUAUAAAAUUUAGUAUAUGUAAGAUAUAAAAGUUGAGAAAUUAUGACAUCAUGGGUUGGUUGGUUCAUAAAUAAAACAAUAUAAAAGGGAGACAAAGAGACAUUGAAUCCAACCCUAAAACAGUCUUCAAACACCAAAAUCUCUCUUUACUUUUGGCCAACCAAAAUUCAGUGAGAUAAAAAGAAAAGAUGUGUUAUAUCAAUCAGCCUUAUGAAAAAGAAAACACACCCUUUUUUCUAAGAUAUAUAUGAAAACUAAAAUCAAAUAUUGCAUUCAUUCAGGUGGUUAAAUAAAAAGUAGAUAAUAUAAUUACCAAUAUUAAAUUUGUCUUCAUUUAUUUAACUUAAAUAUGUAAUUUAAAUAUGUAGAUAUUUUCAUGUUGUUGUGUCGUUAAACCAAACUUUUCAUAUCAAACUUUUAAACUUGAGGUUGAUGGUAAAUAUUUGAUUUGGGUUAAGUUAUAUGAGUACAUAAAUAUCAAUUUACAUAUAUCUUUCUCAUGUGUAUAUUAGAUUAAUCUAAUAGCAGGGAUUAGCAAGGGAAAACCAAAGAGAAAAAAUUUGCUUAAAAACUCGCUAUUGAUGUAUAACUUUUUCAUGUGCACGAGACUAAUCUAUAUAUUAGUGCUGUCAUUUUGCCUACGUGAGAAGAGGAAGAAGAGAAGCAUUUUCGAUUUAAGUAUUUGAGUAUUGUGAGUGUUUUUUUUUUAAUGUUAAUAUUAAAAGUUUUCCUUAGUAGUUCUAUGAUGUUUGAGGUAAUGAUUUCAAUUCAAAUGAUUUCUAAAAGAGACUUCUAUGAAAAGCUUAUGCGUAUUUCAAAGUAUGUCUAUUGAGUUUUCAAAAGUUUAUUAAUAAUAUUGUUCAAACCAUUAGUUACGUCAUUUAAUGAGAUAACUGUUAUGUGCACAUAAGGAGUAAAAAACCAUUGUGGGUGAAAAGGGGCUACAUGGUGAAUUGAUGCAGGACAAUAAUGUAUAAAAGAUGUGCAUUGCGUCUUGACUUGAACAACAAUGAUGAAUCUGUAUAUUCUCGAAUGCUAUAUUAACAGUAGUCUAAACACGAAAUAAUUAAUGAAACUAAGCGUAGAGAAUAAUUUGGGAUCCUCGGCUAAAUGAAUGUUUGGUAACUAAUGAUAUGUUUAUAUGAACUAAUAUAUUUCUAUUUUAUGCGAAUGAGAAAAAGAAUUUCUUAAAACCUCACUGAUUAGUCUAUUAGACUUGUUUAAAUCUCAUCUUCCAAGAACCAAAUGUUAUGCCCAAGUAAGGAGGGUUGAAAUGCUCACUAGACGAGAAGGUUGCCAAGACAUUUUACUUUCAAAGUUUAAGAGUUGUAUUAUUGUAUGAAAUUGUAAAAUGUGUUGUAAAACACUCAUCCUGGUUUAAUAAAGUUUGUUUUGAUUGCUUCCUCUGUUAAGUUAUGUUUUUAUCGCCUAAAGUAUGACUUUAGUUUUUCUAAGAAGAAUAAUCCAAGCAAUUAAACAAAACUUAAAAACCUUAAGAUCAAUCAAGUGUCUUUAACCUUAACGCGUCAAGGAUACUCAAAAUCAUGCGACGUCUUACGUACCAAGCAAGAACGUCCGCAGGGCGGGGUAUAUGAUAAUAAAUGUUUUUCCUAUUUUCUUUAAUAGAUAAAACAACUAUAAUUAAAUAUAGCACAUCCAUUUUGACCUUCUCAUUUAAAACUAGCUGUCCUGAUUAUAUAAUAUCUAUGGGUUAAAUGAAGAUAUAUUAAUUAAGAUGGAGACAGAUAAUAUUAAGCAAAAUAUCUGCAAUUUGUAAUUUAUUGAGUAUAAUGAAAAUGAAGAAUGCUAUCAUAAUUAAUUUGAGUUGACCUAUUGAUCUAUCUUCUGUGACCCUCGUACUCAAAUUUUAGAUUUAAAAAUCACUGAUAUUUUCUUAACAUUACAUCAACAUUCAUAUUUUAGCUCACAUUUUAAUAUGAAAUAAUUAUGGAUAUCAAUUCCCGAAAUAAAAAGUUAUGCCUUCUUAACUCACAUGGGAUUUAGAGGUAAAUUCUGAAUGUGAAUAUUCCGAGUUCUCAUCAUACAUCUAUGCUCGUAUGUUAAAAUAUAAAUGUUAAAAUCAUUAUUUGAUUUUAGAGGGAAAUGUUAAAAUAUAAAGAUUUGAUAAGUUCACGUGUUUGGUUUGAUUUUGAAGUCUUUAAUUUUUAAAAUAAUUCAUUUUAAAAUGAAUUGAGGUGUUUGAUAUUGGUUUAAAAUAAUUUUAUAAAAAACAUGAGAUUAUGAAAUAAAUCGUAAAUAAAAAUAUAGAAAUAAAAGUAGAAGAUAAAAUCCUAAUUCGGGCACUAUCUAACUUUUAAAGAAUAGUAACAUAAAAAUAAUUCAUAAGUUCAACAUGUAACGUUCCAAAAUUUAAGAUAUUUUUUUGGAGAUAAUUAUUUUAGCUAUAUUUAAUUUGUUGGGUGUUAUUUGAUGAAAAUUAUUUGAUUUUUUGAAAGUUAGGAUUAGUUAAAUAUUUAGUGGAAGAAUGUUUAAUUAAUUGUUCAAUUUUUUGGAUGUUGAGUUUUGUGAAAGAUUUAAUUUAAUUAUAGUCAUGGGAUACUUCCUUACAAUAUCCUAAUGGGAAGUUAACAAGCGAGACUAGUAGCGAGUCCCUUAUUGAGUAUAUAUUUAUAUUCACUCUUUCUAUGUUUAAUUUUUUAGGCAAAGGUAAAGGUAGAGGAAAGUUGGCGAAUGACAAGAAGUGAUCGUGGCUUGCCAUAGGAUAAAGUUUAUGUUGCUUCCGCUUUAUGUUUACAGUGUUUUGACUUUUUUUUUUAUAGUAUUUUUGUUAAAUUUAUCAAACAUAGAAAGAGUGAAUAGGGCCCGAACUAGAAUUUUAUCUACUAUUUUAUCUCUACAUACAUUAGUUAUGAUUUAAAUGAUUAUUUGAAGUUUUUAUUGAAAAUUUAGUGUCUUAUUUGGGUUUUGAUAAAAGUCUUUAUUUAUUUUAUUAGUAAUGACCUUAGCUUAGUAUAAAAAGUUGUGUCGUUACACAACAAUUUUAAAUAAAAUAUAAAAAUCACAUACUGAAAACAUGAAAGGCAGAAGCAACAUAAGAUAUUCUAUUUGGCAAGUCAUAGUCACUUCUUAUCUUUCACCAGCUUUUCUCUACCUCUACCUUUACCUAAAAAAUUAAACAUAGAAAGAGUGAAUAUACACGUAUAUUUAGUAAGUGUGAGACCCAUUUCUAAUUUGAGUAAGGAAGUAAAAUUCGGCUAAAUAUUAAGAAGUUGACGUUUGAAUAAAUCUGUGGGUAGUUCGCGAAAGAAGUUGUGCGAUAAGAAGAGAAAAAAUAUUCGCGUAAGUUAAGAAGUGAAAGUUUUGAGUGUUAGACUAGGAGUUUUAGGUGGUCUUCGUAAGAAAAACCGAGUGUUUUGUGGAGAAAGUUUGUGAGGAAGCCUUAGUUAAGUUCACGAUAAGAGUUCUAUGCGAGUAAAAGUUGGUUCGUUCAUGUGGAAGAUUUCUUAUAGUAAAAAUAUAAUCACCCGAUAAAGUUAUCUGCAAGAAAUGUUAAGUGGUUGAAGUUAUUUAUGGUUUGGGUUAGGUGGAAAGCAAGGUCUGUAGAAGAAAAUAUUAAAUUAGAUUUGACAGAGGUUAACAUGUAAGAUUAAGGAUUUAAGCAUGGCUAGGUUGAAUAUUAAAUUUACACGUGUGAAGUUUUCAGUAGGAGCAAACAAACUGAGAAGAGUUUUUGCAUGUCUAAGUUAGUUUAAGGACUCUAUACAUAAGAGAAUUUGGGUAACUAAGGAGGGGGUGAUGAGCGUUUUGUUGAAACGUUAAAGUGUUGUUCGUUUAGCCACACAAAGAGAUGCUUGCGAGAAGAAGAACGACUUCUUUAGUAAAGUUUGGUGAGUGUCUUUCUCUCAAAUGAAUUUAUGUUAAAAAAUUUUAUUAUGAUUUCUCUUUACUGAUUUGAAAAAAGAAUUUGAAUGAGAAUGUUUCAAAGAGAUUUCUAUGAAAAGUUAUGUUUUCAAGCAUGAUUUAUAAUGUUAAAGCUUGAUUUGAUGAUUAUGAUUUCAAUACUAUGUUUCUUUGAGAUGAUGCUAACUUUUAUAUACACUUAAAGAGUCUAGGCCACCAUGGGGUGUACGGACUACAUGGUGAUAAAAAGUUGGCUUAUGAUUUGAAAGGGUCAUAUAAAAGCUUAGCGGCCUGAGCAACAAGGAUGAAUCUGUAUGUUCUCGGAUGCUGUUGAUAUAGUAGUCAAAAUGCGAGCUAAUGAGACCGAGCGUAGAGAACGAUUCGAGAUCCUUGAAAAAAUGAAAUGAUUUGUUAAGCAUAAAGAAAUAUUUAUGUAAAAUGAAAUGAUUUGUCGAUAUAUUUAAAUGAUUUGAUAUUAUUUUUUGCAAAAUGAUUAUGAAAAGGUAUUGCAAAAGGUUUUCAUAAAACUUCACUAAGUCUUUUAGACUUACAUUUUAAAAAUCUAUCUUUCAGGAUCAGACGUUUAGGCAUUCAGGAUCGAUCAGACAUUUCAGGUGAUUCAAGACAUUUUGGAAAUGGUUAAGCCUUGGUUAUUUGGUCAAAGUCUUGUAAUAAUGUAUGAAACACAUAUUAUUAAUAAAGUAUACAUUUUGGUUUAAUUUAUAUUUAUUUUGCCUGACAUUACAUUGACCAUCGUUACGUUUUGAGUGUUGUUAAUAGUUUAAAAGGAGUUGAGAAUAAGAUCUUUUGAUAAAAAAUUUUUAAGGUUCUAACAAACUUGCAUCCUAUUUUUACUACUUCGACGAAUCGUCGCAUUGUGGUUUAAGGUGUGACAGUAAGGGACCCAUUACUAGUCCCACUAGAUGUCUCUUAAUUUUCCAUUAAAGUUAUGUAGGAAAGUACUCCAAAACUAACAUGCACCCGAACACACGCUAUCUAGUGAUCCCGUAGGAACACAUAUGGUCUUCGAUGAACUCAAAGGAAACACUUAAGAGAAAUUGUCUUUUACAAACCCAAAGGAAAGCCUAAGAGAAUCGAACUAUAAGUGACCCUAUCGAAUCACUCAUAAAAGUUAUCAUGACAAACUAGUGGUCUCGUCGAACCACACAAUCAUAAAAAGGUGAUGAUCCUGAGGAACAUCCAUGUGGGUAUGACCUUAAUAGACAAGGUUAACAAAACACCACAAUUUAUAUAACAUGUAUGUAGUAUAUCAUAACAUGACAUGAAUAUCAAUCAUAACAUCCUUAUUAUGUGAUUAAUAUAUCAUGCAUCAUAACAUAUCAAUCAUCCAUAUUAGUCACCUUAUGCAUCUUAACAUAUCAAUCAUCCAUAUUAGUCACCUUAUGCAUCUUAAUUAGAUACAUCAAUGCAUAAUGGAAAAUACAUGCACGCUCUUAUUUUUAGGUUCGAAGGUCUAGUAGUAGAAUCUCAUACAUGAGAGAUUAAUAACAACUAGUGAGAGAUUAAGUUUCCAAAUAGACAAAUCCUAAACAUAAACAAAAGUUUAAUUUAAUACUUUGACAUCCAACAAUUAAUUACCUAGACUUCCAAACUUACCAACAAAAGAGAUUGAAACCAAUUCAAUCUGUAGGUAGAAUUCCACACAUAAAUACUCCAACUGUUUUAGCCAAAUGAACCUAAAGGAAAAAUAAUCCAUUUUAAGUGGAAACGAAAGGCCUCACGAACGAAGAUACAACCGGAUGGCGACGCUUCGCGACUUAUGGCAUGCUAUUCGCGACGGUGAACGAAAAUGGUUGAAGGGCGGCGAUGUUCUUGAGCGGUGGCUAGGGUUUCCAACGUGAAGAAUAAGAUGAAUAGUGAGGAUGUGCAAGCGUUCCAAGUCUCUAUAAAACAAUAAUAAUAACAAUUAUUAUUAUUACUUCUUUUUAAACUCCAAAGUUUUUCAUUUUUUUUAUUUAUUUAUUUUGAAUCUGUGUUUGUAUAAUUGGCCUUCUGGAGGUUGGUAAUGUAAUAUAUGUGUAUUGGAACCACAUGCUCCCAUGGAAGAAAACAUAAGUGUUCUUUUAAAAUAAGGCUAUUUAUGAAGCAUGGUUAUUUUGAGCUAUGCCUGAAAUGUUUCUUUAUCUUCAUUUUUUUACUCUAAACUCUUUCUUUGGCUUCUUAACCAAUUUAUGGGAAUACUUACUAAAAUAGUUGUUGGAGGAAUGAUCGAGCAGUUACUAAGGAGGAAGCUUAAGACCCAGUUUACCGUAAGAACGCUACCUUUUUUUUUGCUUCUUUUUCCUCUGGAAAUUUCAUUUGACAGAUCAAAUUGUAUAGCUGCAGUAUUUUGUCGAAAUUGUGUAAUUAUGCUAUCUUAAUAUACUCUAGAUUGUAAAUGAAGGUUCCAUCUUUCUCAACCCUUCUCAAAGAUUGAUCACCCUCGAACUGCAAGGUGGGAAAGAAGAUUCUUUAGAAGGUAAACACUUUGUUUUCCCCCACCUCUAAAGGAAAAUGAUGGAAGUGAUAGUCUUGGAGUUCAACUUGUGGAUAAGAAGCAUUGGGAUGAUCUUAUAAUUAUCAUUGUUGUGGUACGUAGCUUUUCUCACUUUUGUUCUUAUGACGUAAUAAACAUAAAAUAUUAUAAUGUUUUUUCUUAUAAGCGAGGACAGAACAAAUUGUUCACUAAUUGGACAAAAUGCAGUGAUUUUUUAUUUUUACAGUUUCUAUUGGAGUUCUGGUUUCGUAGUCCACAGUUUAAGUUGCCUUAGGGCUUGUAUAAUCGAUGAUGAUGUUUUCUAUUGUAGUAUUAAACAUACUUUAGAAGCCACAAAGAUAAAAGUCACGAUUACAACUUAAAAGAUGGGUUUAGGUGUUGAAUACUAUUUAGUUCAAACAUGGUUUUUAAUGCAAUAGUGAACGAUGUAUUUUGUUUACCGACUUCUGGUUCCUGGUCAACGAAGCUCGUUGAUGCAUAUGAUAUAAUUGCUUCAGGUUCAAGUAGUGCUCAAUGUUGAAAUAUUUCUUAAUAUCUAAUGCUUGUGAACGAAAUAGUGAUAGGUAAUGCUUUCCGGUUUUGUAAUCUUGUCAUGCAUAUAGUGUUAUCGAUGCAUGAGUGAUAGGUAAUGCUCAAUGUUGAAACUUUCUUUAAGAGUUGUACUCUUUUGUCUUGUGAUGGAUGCUUAUAUUAAUGUUGUCUUUGUAGGUUCAACGGGAGUCAACAACUUCAUGAGUUUUCUUUCAAAGAAGUUUAUCUGGACCAUCAAAAUACACUGGCUAGCAUGCUUCAAGCAACAAAGAAUAUUUUCAGAGAUUAAGGCUUAUCGGUUGGUUGUUUAUGCUUGUGUAGAAAAUCAUGUUAAAUGUAUUCUGAUGGUAUUUACACUGGUUUUGAUUAAUGGCUGGAAUUCCGUACUUGUAAAUUGUUGAAACUUGAUUGGAAAUGUACGAAUAUUACAAAGUGUAUUAUAGCGAAUAUAUAUUAAAGUGUCGGCUAAUUUUUUUUAUAUGAGUGUGAUGUAUUAUAACAUUAUUGUCAUUCAAAUGGUUCGUGUAAUGACGGAGUGACAAUAAGAACAUGAAAAAACUAUAGUAAUUGAGGAAUUUGCAACAGAAAAUAAAUAUCAUAAUAUAUGAAUUUGUGACAUUAAUUAGUUGUCAUCAAUAUCAAAACAUUGACAAAUUUUUGAUAAAGUAACUGUCACAGUUAGCCUAUCUUUGAUGGAAAAAAAUGUCGUCAAUAGCGAAACAAUGACAAUUAAUUUUUUAACAAAAUUGUCACGAUUACCCUGUAUUUAAUAGAAAAAAUGUCGUCAAUAGCGAAACAAUGACAUUUAAUUUUUUAAAAAAACGGUCACGAUUGCCCUAUAUUUGACUAGAAAAAAAGUUCGUCAAUAGCGAAAUAAUGACAUUUAAUUUUAAAAAAAAAACCGUCACGAUUGUCCUAUAUUGGACAGGAAAAAAAUGUCGUGAAUAGCAAAACAAUGACAAUUAUUUUAAAAACUGUCACGAUUGACAUAUCCUUGACAUUUAAAAAAUGUCAUAAUAAAUGAACUUGCGACAUUUUUUAAACUAUCGUUAAUACGCAAAUGAUGACAGUUAUUUGUUGUCAUAAUAUAAAAUAUGACACUUAUUUGUUGUCAUAAAGUAGUAAUUAAUGACAUUUACUUUUUGUCAUAAAAAAACUUAUCAAAAACUGUCAUAGAAGGACUUUCCAUGACUCACGCUUCUAUCCCUGUAAAUAACUGUCACACAUUUUAUUCGCGAUAGAGAAUAACUGUCGUCGUAGAUCAUUUUUGUUGUAGUGAUAAAUACUCAUAAUUCUCUAAUCUUCACCAAUUUAAAUAAACCCAUAACAAAAUCUUUAACAACACCAAAAUUUCAAAUCUUCACAUUAAUUAAAUAUUCUUCCAAUAAAUAUUUAAUUAAUUCUAAUUUCAACCAAAUCAAACAAUUAUCACAAAUUUUCUCAAAUAACACAAUAGUUCCAACAUAACUAACUUAAACCAAGGUAAUCAAGUUUUAAAAUUACUUUAAUUUUUGAAACGUUACAUAAAGUUGUUGAGUUUGAAACCAUACUUUUAAAAACGUAGAUAAUGUUUGCAUUUUACUAAAAUAUUUUAAAUGGGGUGGAGGAUUGUAGAACAGUAUUGAGUAGAAAAGGGACCCAUAGAGCAAAGAUGAGAAAAUCUAGAGGCGUGUUCAGUUUGUACAAUCUAAUAAUGAGAAGCUAAGUACAAAAGUUUCUAAACUGUCCCAAAUACUUAUUACUUCAAAACUGUACUCAACCAAUCUGCCAAUGUACCAUCAGUUUGUGUCCAAUCCCAGAAACCAAUAUUAUAAUUUUGUGCCUUUAUCUAUGUUAAUCCCUAUGAUUUUGUUUCUACUCAUAAACAAUGCUUUUCAUUCUACAAAACUACUAUUAAUUACAAAUCUUAGUCUUUUGUUGGUAUGCAUUGAUUAUGUUAUGACCCUUUGAAUCACUAAAUACAGAAUUUUGUUAUCUAGAUCUUGUAACCAUUUGACUGUUACAAAUUUAAUUAGGGGUGUAAUUGGGCUGGGUUGGGUCGGGUCGGUUUUCCUUCCAACCCGAAAUGUAUGAGUUCCUUACUGUCAUGAUUCGACCUAAACCGAAUUCUGGUUGGGUCAAAAUGGAUCAAUCGGCUCUUUUUUUCCUUCUUUCUUUCUUCUCCUUUUUUAUUCUUUUCUUCCUCCUCCUCUCUCUCUCUCUUUUUCUUUCUUUGUUUCAGAUGGUGAUUGACAUGAGCACAAACUCAGAAAUCCCAAAGGGGAAAUCGGCAUUUAAUUCCUGUGUAUGAAACCAUGGGAAUGAAUGAAUUAUCAUACCUAAAUAUAGAAUAAAGUUCACCUUUUUCUUAUCAAAAUGGUCAGACAAUGCCACCAGUUCAUCCCAGAAAUCCAGACACCUGGUUCAUGAACUUCACAUAAACUUAAAGAAAAAAAAAAGGGGGGGGAAUUUGGCCAUAUAGUAUGAAUUUUUAUUCACAACUUGAAGUUCUCUUCAGCAUGUUUGGAAGAUACAAGCUGCAGCAAGUUCAGAAGCUUCAACAGAACAAACAGGAAGAAGCUUUUUAUCCAUACUAAACAGUGAUGAACAAACAGUGAAACUUGAAACAAACUGAAUAAUUUAUCUCUAUAUCGUGAAAAUUUACCAAGGUUCUUUUUUAUAUGGCUACAUUGAUUAGACAAUAACAAUCUAGCUAAUCCAGUCAAAGAUGUAGAGAACAAUGUAAAUAAAGAAGAAAAAAAGUGGAAUAAAAACAACAAAAGUCUAGAGAAAGAACCUAACUAUGAUCAUUCUCAGAAGAAUGAAGAAACUCCAUUUGGAAAUGAAGCAGGUUGAGCCCAAAAAUGGAGGAAAAGGAAGCCAAUUUAGGCUUCAGGAGAGGGUUAUCAACGUCGUCUUAAGCUAAGAUGAAUGUGUGAAUAACAUACCUGCCCUAGGAGGAUAUCAUACAUGAUGACAUAAAUUAAUUCCUUCCAUCUCUGUAACCCUAAUAUAUGUAACUCAUAACUUAACUAAAUAGACAAAAUUAAUACCUCAUAUGUGGUAUAAUUAGUUUUUUGUUGCACCACAAGAAAAAAGAAGUUGACAAAGGCAAUACUAGAGAGAUAUAUAUAUUUAAUAUAAGUGAGCAAAAAUAGCAACUUAGUUUAAUUUAUAUAAUUCAACAACUCUUGACAAAGGAAGAAAACAUCAAACCUAUGUCUAUACAAGUGGAAACCAAUAUAGACUUAGAACCAAAGAAAUACAAAAACAAUUAGAGAGAUCUCACACUUGAAAAGUUUUCGUCAACUCACAUUUUCAUGUUGACAUGCUUCUCAACCAAGCUCAAAGUGUUUGUAUGAGUUUGGUAUCAAACCAAGACAACAAAUAUAACCAUUCUAAAUGCAACACAUAAUAUUUUUUAAAAAAGUUAGUAGAUUAGUUUCAAUUGGAAACAAAAAGAUGGAUUUGUCUAGAUUUACUUGAGAAUUAGUGUUGAAAAACACAGUUGUACGACCUUAUUAGCAGAUGAGUAACAACUUGAAAAUACAUCAAGAAUCUAUAAAAUUGUUCAAUGUUAGUGGUUAAUAUGCAUAAAAUAUUGUGAAAUGUUGUGACUUUUAAAAGUAGGGGACAUUUUUAAACAAAAUGGACAGCUAAUAUUUUUUUAAAAAAUAAUUUAGCCAUAAGAUAUAGAAUGAAAAAUAUUUUAUAAGUAAAUGAGAUGAGACACCAAAUUCAUUUCCCUUUGUUUAAUAUUAGUCAUAUCAUAGCUACCAUUAACAACAUUUCUAUCUUCACCAAGCUGAAUUCUCUCACUUAAACCAUUGAAACACUUCACCCAAUUGAAUUCUAAGUAAAUCCCGCUCUCUAUCAAACACUUUAACUUUACCCAAUUGAUUUCCACUUUCAUUAGAGUCAAAUACUUUACAAGCAACGUUAAAGAGUACAAAUUUUCGAAUACCCAAGUAAUAGAAACAUGCAUGAAUAAUCAACAGUUAAUGGAAUGACACAGAUCAUCUAGAAAAUCAACAGUUAUAUAACUCUCAUGAAUGUUCUCCAUUUUUUCUUUCUUCUAAAAAAACACACUGUAAAAAAGAAAAAAUAUAUAUAUUUCUCUCUUUCUCUCAAUUAUUUUGAAAAACAAAUAGGGUUUUCUUUGUCUUUCUAUUUGGAGAGGUUUAAAUUAGAUCAUUUUAGAGAGGUCUUUUCAUGGAGUUAUUGCUUGAAAUUUCUCCAUCUUCUUCAAUAGUUCUACCAUUCCCAACUAGGUAAUUAUUUAUUUAUUUUGGAAUUUAUAAUUAGUCAAAUAUAUUCCAUUUAUUUGGUAGAAAUAUAUUAUUCUUUUUUCUGAAAAUAUAAUUAUUGUUGGUCAUCUUUGUUUUCUGCCUGUUUGGAUAUAUUAAACAAAUCAAUGGAUGAGUUUAACCUUUGGUUUCUGCUAAAGAUUCUAUGCAUAUUGUUAUUCUUUAUGAUUUGACUGAUAUGACUAUGUUAUGAUGCAUGAUAUAUUAAUCACAUGAUAAAGAUGUUAUGAUUGAUAUUCAUGUCAUAUUAUGAUUGAUAUUCAUGUCAUGUUAUGAUGUUUAUGUUAUGCUACAUGCUAUGGACUAUGAUGCUCUGUUAACUUUGUCCAUUAGGGUCGUACCCAUUUUGUGUUCUUCGGGAUCACCACCUUGUGAGACCCAUUUCUAAUUUGAAUAAGGAAGUAAAAUUCGGCUAAGUAUUAAGAAGUUGACGUUUGAAUAAAUCCGCAAAAAUGAUUAAACGAUAAAAUCUUUUAUGGUUAAAUAUACGUUUUUGCAAUUAAAUGGAUAAUUCGCGAAAGAAGUUGUGCGAUAAGAAGAGAAAAAAUAUUCGCGUAAGUAAAGAAAUGAAAAUUUUGAGUGUUAGAAUAGGAGUUUUGGGUGGUCUUCGGUAGAAGAACCAAGUGUUUCAUAGAGAAGAAGUCUGCAUGGAAGCGAAUGUGGUAAGUUUGGUAUGUUUAUUUAAAUUAUUGUUAUUAACAUUGUGGUAAGUUUACAAAUUUGAUGGUGAAUAUUAAGUCAAUCCCUAAAUUUUUUAAAUAAAAAAUCAUAUCUUAGACAUUUUAGUUUUACCAUGAUUAUUUAAUUGAUUAAUUUUCAUAAAUAUAACAAACUGACAAAAUAUUUACGGUCGUAUUUCAUAUUUACAACUCCGUGACAAAAUGAAGAAACUCAUGAAACUAGUUAUUUUCUUAAAUAUUCCAGAUUUGUUCCUUUUCAUCGUCUUUUUUCUCUUCCUCUCUUGCAAUUAUUUUUUCUUUCCUUCUUCUCUUCCUCUUUUCUUUCUGUCUUUUUCUUUUCUUUCUUUUUUCUAUUAUUUCUUCUUUCCAUCGUCUUUUUCUCUUCUUUCUUUGUUUUUAUUCUUUCCAUCGUCUUUUCCUCUUCUUCAUAUAGAAAAUAUAAAAGAUCUAUUUUUUAAAAAAAAAAUUCCAAACGGUUAUUUGACCAUUUCAAAUAUAAAAUAUCAUAAAAAAAUUGGAUAUUGAAUAACCAAAAUAGGAUCAAAUUUAAACUAUCAUAUUCUAAAUAUAAACGAUCAUAAACCAAAUUUAAAUGAUCGAUUUUCAAACAUAAACGAGUACCAAAAAAUCUGGAAAAAAAAAUCGUUGAGAUUUGACAACUCAAAUUAAACGAUCAUGUACCUAAAAAUAUUAAAAUAUAAAAAAUAUAUAUAUAUUCUAAAGAAAAAUAAACAAAAUUGCAUGACAAACUGUGAUGGAAUAAACUGUUUAUCUAUUUUAGUGUUCGGAAUGAAAUUUGUAUUAAGCAGGCUAUAAAGGAAAGAAAGCUGUUGUAAUACCAACAAUGUCCAUUAUCCAGUGGGUCAAUAGUAGUCAUUAAUUCAAAAUACCUGUCACAAAAGUUUAGAACACCCCACUUCAACUUUGUUGGAUCAUCAACGACCCAAUACGCUUGACCAAGAAAGCAUGGAAAAAAUUUGAUAUUAAAACAGAAGAGAACAUACUUUUUGUUAACAAACUUGCAUUAUAUACUUCAUCAACCAUAUAUAUAAUUGUACGGCCAGUAUUCUCAAGCCUUAGGUCAAGUACACACAUAAAAGAAAGCAGUACAUAACAUAAAAAAGACUGAAGAAAAGCAUUCACAACUCAGUUAUUACAUCCACACAAAGCCUAGUAGCAAAAAGUGAAAUCCAUCUCCAAAGCUGAGCUCAGUCAAAAGUUUCCUACACCUCUCAUAAUCAAGACUCCCCACAAAAGUUUUACCGCGCAACAUCUACCUAAUAUCACAAGGGAGAAGCUCUACUUUUAUGGUAUAACCUCCAAAGUGAGGGGGUAAGGGCAUUGUAAUACAGAAAGAGAAAAAGGAAAGGAAAAAGAAUGUGGAAAGUGGGACCUUGGUUACCUAACGCGCAUGCACCAAAUCCUUGGGGGAUUCUUCAAAUUGCUGGAAAAAGUGGGGUCUUUAACUUCUCAGCAUAACCCACCACUAUCACAUCCCAUGCGUUCAAAUCUUUGUGGCUUUCCUCUGCUGAUCUUUAGUCCCUUAAAAGCAUCAAACAUAAUCAUGUCUAGUCAACGAAUAAAAAUAGUACUUAUUCACCCAUUUUCUAGCUAGGUUCAAUGUUAUCACGAUGUUGAACCUCCGUUUGAUAACUCAUAGUCAUCACAUUUUCCUUGUAAGAGAAAGGAAGUGGCUCGGACUUAGCAAACAAACUGAUCUUGCAUCCAUCAAAAUUCAAAGUUACCACACCACGAUGCCCUAAUUUUAACCAAUUAACCAAUAUCUAUAUAGGGGGCAUGCGAUUUAAUAGCAGCUCACACCUAAAGCAGUAAGCUUCGUGUUUUAAGGACUUCAAAGUAAUUGAUAGCUUCAUCAAUAACCAACAAUGGGUCCUUACCCUUUGCACCAGGAACUAAACUCUCAAGUACUCUCAACGUCUCCUCAAUCCUAUCUUUUUUGCAAGAACAAUAGCAAAAAUCAAUAUCUGCUCCAGCCUCUUCCUUAUGGACCAUGCCACAGCUUGAUUCCGCAUCAUUGGCAUAGUUCUGUGAUUCAACUCUUGCACAAGAACCGGUAGCAAUUGGUAGUGAUUUUAUGUAUCCCCCAUCAUGCAGUCUCUGCCUUUUCCUUGGGACAUCAGAACUAGCAACUUCUGUAGUAGUUUCUUGACAUUGUUCUUCCUUCUCACAAUGCUCAUUGAUCAUCUCUGGAGAAUGUCCUGUGCUGGUCACUUCAUCAUCACUACUACAACCAGUGCCAUCGUAGUCUGAGUAAAGCAAUGCAUCUAUUUCUUCCGUGUUUUCAUGCAUUUCACUACUCUCUCCAUCAGCUACAUAAUUCUCAUUGGACAGAGUAUUUGGAGAAUACUUGACCGAAUUAAUGUCUCUAACUGCCCCUUUUUCUUCAAGCCAACCACAACACUUAUUUUCAGUAACAAUUGAGGGAAAAUAAACAGGACACAUAGGAGCAUACAUCAAUCUCUUUUGGUUUCCAGAUUGAUCAAAGAUAAGAAAUCCUUUUGGAUAGGACCCAUUAUUUGAUUUUGACACAGGCAUCCCACUAGGUCCAGCAUGAGCAUAAUGCAUAGAUUCCUUUUCAUUCUGAUAAGAUAUGAAAGUACCACGUGAGUUCUGGAAAUGAGGGGAUAAGCAAUGACGUGAUCCCUGAAUGACAUUUAGCUGUUCCACUUCAAAACUGGGUAAUGGUGGAAUUGCAAACCGUUGCAUCCUUCCCAUACAUUUGGAAAAUAUGCAAUUUUCAUGGUUGAUACUCGUUUGGCAGCUUUCCUGUUGCUUGGUCUCUAUUGAUGCAUUCAUGGAAUUAUAAUUGUGCAGUUGCCAAGCAAAAUGCUCAAAAUCAAGGCGAGAAUUAUCAGUCCCAACCAUUCAGGAAAACAACCACCUAAUCAAUAUUUUGAAAUAUAACUACUCCGUUACAAUUAAAAUAAUGAAAGGGAGAAUAAACUUAGCAAGCAUAAAAAAUUACCUCAAAAUUUUGUGCACUGGUCUACUAUGGGAAUUAUCUGCUAAAUGCUUUCAGGAACAAAGACAAAAAGAAGUUCGCGGAGUACAGCUUAAGAGAAAUAAAUCAUAUUCAAUCUACGUGACUGGCUUAAGCAACUGUCGAAAAUACUUGGCCUGGAACAGAAAAAAUGCCAAAAGUUUCAUCACAGCAAGUUCCAGAGGAAAAAUAUACAAAAGGAUUCCAAUAAAAUAAAUGUGUAAUUAAUCCAGUUGUUAAUCAACGAGUAAAAUCACAAGGCAAGAACUGAGUUGACAAACCUGACAAUUCUGCAAAGGUUGAAAGCAUGCAAUCACUCUAACUAUAAUUGUUGGUUUUCCUGCAAUUCCAUUCUCGUGUUUUAAUGCCCGAAAUCUUGUCUGGGUUGCAGCUUGGCACACCAUAACUACUUCUGAACCUUAAACGAACAACUAUUCUUCUAUACCAGAAGGCACGAGAGAAAUACCAAUAACAGAGAAAGGGGAGAUAAUAGGAGAAUAUUCCCUGCAGAAAGAACUAUUUAACUGGAGAACAAAGGUUAUAAAAAUAAACGAGAAAUUCUCUGAGGUAUCUAGAUUCCUUGACAAAGGGGCAGAAAAAUAGUGAUUAGGGACAGGAAGCUUUUCAGCUAAUGUAGAUAUCACAGGAAAUGAUAAAGAAGUGAUUGGAACCCAUGGCUGAUUGAAAGAAGGAACUCAGGGAGGAAUAAUUCAGUGUUAUCUAUACAAAAAGUGAUUUACAAAAUAACCCUGCAAUAGAGGUUCAAAUGCACAACUUUACGAAACACAUCAAUUGAUAGGCUCAACCAAAGCAUAUUAUUCUCCCAAUACGUAAGGGUAACACAUCCACAACUGAUAAUACCAACCCUGCGAAAACAUGAAAAAUAAUAUAAAUUUCCAAACAGAUGAUAAAUAGUUAACGAUUAAAAAUAAAGUGAAAGAAAAAUGUAAACAUGAAAACAAGUAAGCGAUGCUAUGCAUUGAAUAGAUAAAGUAAAGAAUAAAAACAAUCGAACAUUCAUUCAAAUAUUUGAGAUAAGAAAGGGCAAUAUUCCAACAAUUUGGGGAAAAAAUACGAAAGCUUUUUGUAAUCUGCAAAAUGAUAAAUCAAAGUCUACAGAACAUAAAAUCAAACCCCCAAAAGUGUUUUAAGAAAUUGAAACAAGAGGGACAUUGUAAAGUAGCAUUUCAAGCCAAAUUAGAAGCGUUUGAUCUAAAAUAAAGAAAAUAAAACAUAAAUUGAAACAAAACCCUUCCAGCUUAGUUCCCAAGACAAUCAAAUCAAAAUUUCCCAGUAAUGAGCAACAGAACCGACAGAAUCAAUCGGCGUUUUCUAUUUUCAAAGGCUUUGAUCUGAACAACAAUUUUCCAUGUCCAUUCAUUUUCUACAGAUUCUCAGAAACCUUUGCCAGUCAACAGAAAUGAAAGAGGGGGGAAGGCAAAAUUACAUUAGAGAGAGAGAGAAGCAGGAAUUAAUUAAGAAAUGAAAUUGUGAGAAAAUGAGAAAGAAUCUUACAGCAAAAUCGGAAGAGAAUUACCAGAGAGAGGCAGAUUUGGGAAGAUGGGUCAGAUCUAAAGGAGUCGAAGAACAGAGUAAAGUUUAAAAGUAAUGGAAUGACAAUCAAAUACAACACUUUAUAGACACUACAUGACAGUUUUACCCUUCCACAAACAAUUUCAUUUACAUUUUUGCCCUUCCACUAUCUUUUCGAAUUUUUCUAACCCAUAUUAUAUGAAUUUUUCUAACCCAUAUUAUAUGUAUUUGGUACACAUCUUGAAUAAAAAUCAUUGGAAUAUUGGUAUACGAUCUUGUAUCAAAUCUAAAUAAUAUUACUACAAGAUAAUGUACCAAAUACGAAAGAUUUUGGUACACAAUCUUAAACCAAUAUCAUUUAGAUUUGGUAGGCAAUCGUGUAUAAUUUCCUAUACGAUCGCAUGUACGAUCGCAUGAGUGUAGUCAAUUAAUCGUAUGAUGACAAAGGCAUUUUUGGUAUUUUCUAUUGUGGGUAUGUGGCCUUUUGUCGUUUUCAAAAUUGUUCUAUAUAGAGUUAAGUAAAUAUUUUGUCGUUUUGUUAUAUUUUUUAAAAACCCUCAAAUCAGUUCUUACAUUUUUGUUUUUUUAAUAAAGUUAUUUAAUUUUGAAAAUAUCAAAGUUUAAAUUUAGGAUAACUUACAUAAAUGUAACAAACCAAAAAAUAUUUACGACUAUAUUGGGGGACCAUUCUUUACUUCACUUCUUUUUCUUCUUUUUUGCGAUUUAUAGUUCUUUCUUUUCAUAUUAUUAAAUUCUUCAUAUUAUUACUUCUCCUUCUUCGUAUUCUCACUUCUUCUUGUUUGCAAUUUCUUCAUUUCCUCUUCCAAAAUUUCUUCCCUCUUCUUCAACUUUCAUUUUCAUUUUUUCUUCUUGGUACAGGAUAUAAACGAUCGAGCACCAAUAUUUAAAUUAUCAGUUGUCUAUUCCAGAUAAACAUAGAUAGAUCACUAUCACAUAUAGAUUAUUUAGAUUUGGUACAAGAUUGUUUAAAUUAGGUACAAGAUCGUUUAUACUGGGUACAAGGGUACAAGAUUAUUUAGAUUAGGUACUGGGGUACAAGAUUAUUUAGACUGGGUAUAAAGAUGCAAGACCGUUGUGAGACUCAUAUCUAAAUAUAGAAGGUUUAUUUUGGGAAAUAAGAAGCUAAGUAAAGAAUUUUGAAGAAAGAGUUACGACGAUUUAGGAAUUUUGAUGUUGGGCAUUGGGUUAUGGCAACGCGAGGUAAAGGAGAAGGUUAUUAAGAUUAACUGGGCGGCUUGAGGUUUAACACAAGCUGAAGUUGGGCGUUGAGAGUUGAAAAUUUCCUUAACCACGUGCAAGGGAUUAAGCUAAGCAUUAUUUGGAAAAUUAUUAGACUUACACUUGUAUUACUUUAAGUAGGAGCUAGCAAGCUAAAGAAAAAUUAAUUAGAAUGACUAAUCCAAUUAGUAUAAUGAAGAUGAAGGGUUAGUAGAACACGUGGUUAUGCUGAAAUUCUUGAGGUUACUCUACUAAAAGAAAGACCCACUAGGUCGAGAAAAAGAUCAUUUGAGGAACUAGACGUUCUGACGAAGGGAAAUGAUGUAUUGAAUGAUUAUCCAAAUAAAGAUUUUCAAGCUUUUCUUCUAAAUUUCUUGUUAAUUUGUAACGUUGUUUAUAUGUUAUUAAUAUUUAGAAAAAAAAUGAUUUCGAAAGAAUGCUUGUGUUAUGUUCAACGAUUGUAUGAUAUGUUGUGAAUAAACUAUUAGUUUUAUUAUUAUCAAUGAGCUAAUUAUUAUGUGCACAUAAGGAGUAAAGACAACCAUCGAUGGUGGAGUGAAGUCGACCAAUACAUAAAAGGAGCCUACUGAGCUUAGCGGUCUAAGCAACGAAAACUUGAAUCAAGAAAUUAUCCAAGGGAUGUUUUUUUUAUCGAAAUGACAUCACAGUAGUCUAUGUGUGGGAAUGGUUCAUGUUCUUGGAAGAAAAGAAUACAAAAGGCUAAUAGGUGAUUUCUGUUUUAUGGAAAAAAGCAAUAAAAGCUAUGUUUUAAAAAUGAUUUAUGCCAAAAAGGUUUUCAAAACUAUCACACCUCACUAAGGUUUGACUUAUAUGUUUUAAGUUUUCACUCUCUCAAGUUUUCAGGCAUUAAGGCCAAUUUGGAUAAGGAAAGCGAACUACUACGUGUGGAAGGGGAAGCUGAGCAAGGCGUUCUAGUUUUUCUUCGUAGUUUAUGUAUUUAAGGAAGUGUGUAAUAUUUAUAUUUGGGUUGCUUAUUAUUUAGGAAUAAAAGAAGUCUUUGCUACUAAUGUUUUGUAUCAUUUAUUCUCUUAUUGCCUAAUGACCGAGUUAAUUAAAUUUGAACUAGGCGAUUAAGCUUAAGUUCAAGAUUUUAAGUUGACCAUCUCGUGUUUCAUCUGAGGCGUCAGGACUACUCAAGUUGUGUUGCAUGUCGCAUUGCAAGGUUUAGGAUGCGUGCAGGGUGAGGCACGACAAUCGUGUACCAAUUAAGAUCGUUCAGACUAGGUACGAGAGUACAAAAUCAUUUAGACUGGGUACAAAAUCGUAUUUAAUUGUUUCUUCACGCGUGUGUGACAGAUUAAUCACGGGGUAUUUUUGUUAUUUCACGUUGUGAGCUUAUAGGUUUUUUUCUUUUUCAAAAUUGUUCUAUACGGUGUAUAUAUUUUCCCGCUUCGUUAAUUUAUUUUUUCAAAAACCCUCUUAAAGUUAAUAUAUUUUUGCAAAAUGAACCAAAAUAUAGCAAACUUGCAUAUUCUAUCCAUGAUAAAAGUUGAUAGGCUUCUAAGUUUCUGUCAAUGUCAAGUCUAUCGAUUCAAUCAAUGUCUCUUAUUAAUAUAAUUUAGAAUUUUGCUAUAUUUUGUCAAUUUUGCAAUUUCUUUUCGCAUUUUCCCUUCAAAUUUUGUUUUAAAAGACAAUGGGUAUAUUCAACGUUUUUUAAAAAAAUUAAUGCAUCUGCAUUUUGGGAUAAUACAUGUUCAUGCCAAAUUUUGGUCAAGAAAAAAUCUCCACCUGACAACAAUUGUACUGGACGUAAAAAGAAAUACUUAUGAAAUGUAGAAAAGAAAUUAAAACUUUUAAGUUACCUUAUCCUAUGCUCACUUUUUUUAAGCUCACUUUUUUCCUUUUUAAUUGGUAGGAUUUUCUUAUUCUCCCUCGUUGACUUAGGAUCUCAUGUUAUUUUUUGUCGGGUCUCGAUUUUGGGAUAUCUUGAACAGGACAAUGUAUGCUUUUUUUUUUUUUUUUUGCAUUCUUCUCGGCUCAUGCUUAACUCCAGUUGGAUCGCCCAAAUUGCAACUGUUCCUUCGGGCUCGACCUCAGCCAAGUCGACCUAUUUUUCUUGGCUCAUGCUCCACUUGAGUUGGGCUGAGCUAGAUUGCAACUGUUUCUUUGGACUCAAACUCGACUAAGUCGAGCCUAUUCUUAUGAACUUAUGCUCGACUUGAGUUGGGUCGAACCAAACUACGACCAUUCCUUUAGGCUUGGGCUUAGGCAGGCCCGAGCAAGAUGACCUACCAAGCCUUAAUAAAUAAACUUUCAUUUUACCUAUCGAUCCAAAUUAUCCCAUAGCAAUAGAACUUUCAAAGAUGGAUGAAAUCUUAAAAGAAAUUUUUCCUAUAACUCAAGAACCUACCAUAAAAGAAAAGAAAAAACAACUGAAAUGAGAUGAUUCAUUAAAGACAAAACUUAUAGUUGAAAUUAAUUUGAUACUAUUGUACAUAUGUGUUUAUAAAGUUCAAAACAUAACUUAAUUACAAUAAUUUUUAAAUACAAUUUAUGUAUAAGACAAUUGAUAUCAAAUAUGUUAAAGAGAAGUUUGGCUUAAAAUUUUAGUUUUUGGAGGUGGAGUUUGAAGUUAGAAAAUACCCUAAAUUUACUAUUUAUAUGUAUAUAUAUUUUGCUUAUUAUGAAUUUCAAGUCAUAGAUAUCCUUUCAUCCUUUCUUUCCCUUUCUUCUUCUUUGGUUUUGGCUCCAUAUAGUUCAUGUUCCUUUGAUUAUCAUUAUUUGCUUCAUUUUUCCUAAUCUUCUUAUGUAUUCUUUAAAUUUUUCUAUGUCACCACCCAAAUCUUCCUCCAUCAAACCACUAACUCAAAUGUAUUUCUUAAUCUAUAUUUACAUUUUAAAAUUAGAUAAUAUGAGAUAUGAAAAAACAAAUCUUAUUAUAUUUGGUUUAUUUUCAUAAGUAUAAAAAACCGACAAAAUAUUUACAGUCUAACAAAAUGGAAAAGUUAGUAAGCUGGCUAGUUUUUAAAAAUAUUAUAGGUUUGUUCUUAUUUUCAUCGUCCUUCUUCUCUUCCUUCUCAUUGCUUUUUCUUCCCUUCCUCUUAAAAAUAAAAGAUUGUGAGAAAAAAAAUCGUUGAUAUUGGAUAACCAUCAAACGAUACCAAAAACAACGAUCAUGUACCAACUAUAAACAUCGUGUAUCAAAUCUAAAUGAUCGUAUACCAAAAAGUUUUGAAAAAAAAUCAUUUAGAUUUGGCUAUCCAAAUUUAAACAAUCCUGUACCAAUUUUUUUUUUUAUUUUUUUGACAAAAAUCAUUUAGAUUUGACUAUCCAAGUUUAAACAAUCAAAUCUAAAUGAUCGUGUACCAAAUUUAAACGAUUUCUACAAAAAAAAAAAAUUUAGUCAAAUUUAAACGAUUAAGUCUAAAUGACCAUUUACCUAUAUUGCGCGUUAGGUGUCUAUUAAUCGUGAGACAUUUUUUUGUAUUUUUCAUUGGGGGUCUGUAAGUUUUUUCUAUUUUCAAAAUUGUUCUAGUAAAUAUUUUAUCACUUUAUUAUAUAUAUUUUUUUAAAAGACUCCAUUAUAUUUUUAAAUGACUCAAAAGAAAAAUUGUAGAUAUUGAGAAUAUGUAUAUACUUUAUUAUAUAUCUAAAUUAAUAGUUUCAAAGCAUAAGAACGUGUAUUGAGUUAAGUUUUAUAGAAGCAUAUAGGAGUUAACAUGAAAGUUUUAAAAGUAUAAAAACAAAACAAAGUAGAUAAUUAAAACAAAAUUUUAUGACUUAAAAAUAUUAUUCAUUUAUGAAAAGUUGCAUAAUUUCAAAGAGGACUUUGUUGAAAUUUUGAAAUGUGAAUUUUACUCAACUCAUGUUGGUGAGUCAAAUAUCCCUAGAAGAAAGAGAAAAUGGUAUGGAUAUAGCAAAUUUUGUAGUAUGAUUUUGGAGAAUGUGAAAAAAUACAAAAGUAUUAAGAAUAAUGGGAACUCACUCUCUAAUGUGUACAAUGAUUCUACCUCUCUCAAACAUCGUCUACAAUUUCCAUUACUAAAAUUUGGUGACCAACUCUGAAGAUCAUUUUUCCAUAACAAACACGGACACUAAUUCCAAGCUUCAUCAACCACCUUUGCAUUCAGUAACCAUCUGCAAAGAAUCUCAACAACCAACUCUAACGACCACCUUCUAUGCCAACCUUUGAUGAUUAACUCACACACUAGUGUGUGUCUACGAAUAAAAAGUUAAGCAAUAACAAACAAAACUUAAACGAAUAAACUAAAAACUAAUGAAAGAAAAAGGAAAAAAUGAAAAAAAAAAAUAACCCAUUAAAAUGCAUGUUUUUUAGGCUAUGAAAAAAGUGCACCAAAUAUCCAUCAUUUAAUUCAACUCAACUAUGCACUUCAAGUUCAAUUUCCUAACUGUUUAAACAUAUACAAUUAUUACCGACUCAACUCAAUUGUACGUGUCAAAGAUCCUGUCAUGCCCUGCCCUAAAAGUCACUCUAUACGACCAAGUGGAAACAUGAUCGUCUAGACAUUCUACCCAAAUCUCUCUGCGAGAUAAAACGCACAACGUCUAGUAAGCAGAAUGAAUGAACAUCAAAUUUUAUGUGAAAUGAGAAAUCAAUUGGAAUGACAAAGACUUCGUUGAUAAUGUGGAUCAAGAGUACAUUAAAUACAAGUACAUGUUUCCUCAAUUUCAGAAGUAAAAAAUUCUAGGACAAUAGUUUGACACUCCUCGCCUAGCUUCUACAUGUUAUGUGGGAUGAAAGUGGCCACUAGCACGAGAGGCAACAAGGCUACAAGUCCAACGUUGGAUGUUCUUCGCUACCUAAAGGAGGGGGUGAGAGAGGGAGAGAUAAAACAAAACAUUUGAAAGAUUAUACGACAUUGUCUAGUGAGUGGGGGCCUUUUAUCAACACAUUUGAUAAGUCAACUUCUAACUUAACACACUAUAAAUCAUUUAACAAAUAGUAUUUGUCUCAAUAUUAAAAACAUUGAGUUUAAAGUAAACCAUUUCAAUGUGUUAGGCGAUCAACACAAUUCAAAUCUCAUCAUUAAACACUUACAAACCAUAUGGAAAUCAUUUCCUUGUUAAAUCAUGCAUAAAAGCUCUUCUCGUGUAAAAACAUGUUCUUCAUAAGUGUGGGACCCGUUUUUAAUUCUAGUAUAUGAAGUAAAAUUUCGGCUAAAACUACUAUGGAAAUUGGCCUUUGAAUAUAUGCAUGAAAAGGAUUAAGCGAUAAAAUCUUUUAUUGGUAUAAUAAGUUUUGCGAUUAAAAAUUUAAUUUGCGAGGUAGUUUUGAGAAAAGAAGAGUUUGCAGUAUAAUCUAUAAGUCUAAACACUCUUAGAAGAAAGUCCGUAAGUUUUAAAAUGACUAGGGGUUUGGGUAGUCUUCGCGAUAAGAACCAAGAGUUUUGUGAUGAAGAAGUCUGUGAGGAAGCCUUGAAGUUUAAACUCGUGAUAAGUGUUGUAAGCGAGUAAAAGUUGGUUAGUUCGUGAGGAAGGUUUCUUGUAAACAUAUAUAGCUAUGCAAUAAAGUUAUUCAUGAAAGUUGUUGUCGUUAAAGUUAUUUGUGGUAUAGAGUUAGACGAGAAGUGAGAUCUGGCUAAGAAAAUGUCAAAUCUAAUUCAACAAGGGUUAACGUGUUAGAUUAAGAAAAUGUCUAUUCCCUCUCUACGAGAACAAAAGGAAGAGGAGAAUUUUUUGUUAAAGUGUCGUGAGUGGUUUUCUUCUUAAGUGUUUUGUGGUUCCCUUUACUAUUUUGAAAUAUGAUUUCAAAUGAGAGUUUCAAAAAGAGAUUUCAAUGAGAAGUUUGUGUAUUCCAGCAUUAUAAAAAUCAUGUUAAAGCUUGAUUUAAUGAUUCCUUAAGAUGAUGCUAACUUUAAUGUGCACAUAAAUAGUCAAGGCUACCAUGGGGUGUACGGAUCACAUGGUGAUAAGAAGUUGGUGAAAGGAAUUAUUUGAUGUUAUUUAUGCGAAAUGAUGUUUAUGAAAAAGUGUUGCGAAAAGGAUCUCAUAAAACCUCAGUCUUUCAGACAUUCUUUCAAAAAUUCAUCUUCUAGGAUCAAAUGUUUAGGCCAAGUAGAGAAAAUUGAAGGAUUUGCGGCGAGAUGACUCCAAACAUUUGAAAAUAAAGCAUUGGUUGUUUGGUCGAAGUAUUGUAACUAUGUAUCAAACGCCGGUUAUUAGUAAACGUUUUGGUAAGUAUUUAUUAUAUUUGGCAUUUAGGUUAACCACCGUUGCGUUUUAAAUUUUGUUGAUAGUAUAAAAAGAGUUGAGAAUAAUAUUUUGCGAUAAGAAAAUUUCAAAGUUGUAACAAACUCACAUCAUAUUCCUACUACUUCAACAUUUUCACUCAUAGUGCGAUUUAGGGUGUGACAAUAAGUCAUUAUAUAAUCACAUUGUAUAACUCAUUUUCUAUAUCUAAUUUCAUCAUUGUACCUUUCCUUAGCUCAAAUGUUUACCACACUCUUUUGUUAGGUUGUGAUUGUGCAAAGUGAUCUCAAUGCAAUAACAAUCCACCACCAAUUCCAUUACGUAUUAUACAUAAUACAUUUUUCAAUGCCAGAUCACACAACAAGCAAAUGACAUCCUAUAUAGGCUGUAUAUAUACCAGAUCACACAGCAAGUAUGAGGCAUUUUAUUCCAAACAACAAGAAUAAGACAACUUAUCCCAGAUCUCACAGUAAAGAUAAGACAUCUCACACUAGAACACAUAGUAAGUGUGAGGUGUCAUGCCCCACCCUGAGCACUUACUUGCUUGGUUCAAGAUGUGGCAUGAAGCCAACCGACAUUGCUCAUUUCCUAAAUAACACCAAUUGACCUUGACUACUGAUCUUUUAUAAUGCUAAGCAACUUAAGUAAACUAUGACUUACAUAGCGAAAACUAAGAGAAACAAACUUUAACAAACUUCUUAACAAGUAGUCGAGGCUAGUUGCCAUUGAUUACAAACUAUACUUAGAAACCCAACAUAAAUUAAACAAUUGCACUUAACCCUAUGCAAAACCAUGUACAUGAUAAGGUUUAAACUAAAACUGACGCUUAGCAACUAAACAAAUCACAACUUUUGCACAACAGAUUUGAAGACAACGAUCAGGUCCUCAUAUCACGAUCUCUACCUAGAAACUAGGAAAAACAUUUGAAAAGAGUGAGUUAAAAUAGAUCAGUGAGUGAUGGUUUUAUCCAAACAUUUUUUUUAAAAGAAAAAUUAGUUUCAAGCUUCAUCUUUAGCAUAAUAAAGUCAAUAUACUUGUUAUACCAUACGAAUGAAGGGAUAAAAGCCCAUGACAUCGGAAGAUUUUACAGAACUAUUACUCAAAUUAAUUUGCAAAUCUUAAAAUAUCAGUACAUUGGCAAAAACAAUUAAGAAACUAGUUUUCUUAUUAAGACUUCAAAGGAUAAGCAUGAUUUCUAAUUAUAGAUUAGAGAAAAAAAAAACUUAUUUGUUUAUGUCUCUUAAUCUACAAAGUAAAACUCCAAAUUGGGACACCACCCGUAAGAGAUAUUUCUAUCCUCUAGGAUGAGAUUAAUUUGUGAGAUCAAUUGAGUUGGAAAAAAUGUUUAGAGAUAAACCAUUUUCUUUUUGCAGAGAGCAAAAACAUUGACUUUUUUUUUAUUAAUUAAUUAAAGAAAACUGUUUUCUUCUAGGUAUUUAUAACUCUUUUUCCUUCUUGGUGUAGAAAAAAGAGUACGAGAGAAUCAUGAGAUUCUACUAAUUUAAAAAACAUUAAAUUAAUAGAAACUUCAAAUCUAUUAAUUAAUUAACCAUUAAUCAAUUAGUUAAUAAUUAAUUAAAUCAUAUUUAAUUAAUAUUUCAUUUAAAACUUAUUUAACGAAUAUCUCUCUAAUAUCUUAUAGUUUUAUAUCAAUUAAAUAAAAUAAAACUAAAUUAUUAAUUAAUAGUUAAAUUAAAUAUCUUAUAUUGAACUUAAAUUAAAUUUGAAACAUAUUCAAAUAUAAAUUUCUCUCAUAACCAAUAAUAUUAACAUGAAUCCAAUUCACAUUCAAUUGAUAUUUGAACUCAUUCAAAUAUUUUAUCUCUCAUAAAUUAAUUUUGAAUCAUAUCCAAAAUUAAAUUUAUAUAAUAAAGUUUGAUAAGAUUUAUAUUAUAAUGUAUCACUAUACAUUAAACUAAUUUCCAAAGUAAUUUUGAACAUUUCAAAUUACAACCAAUAUAAAUAAACCUUAUUACCCUUUACGAGCUAGAAGCUACAACGAUAUGAGAUUAAUUGGCUAAACUCAUUCACAUUAAUGAAUAUUUGUUAAUUGUGUGUCUUCUCACUAUAUAUAUAUUUUUGUGUCCACGAAUAUAGAGCAAUAACAGUAAGUUAGUCAUUCACGAGUGUUCGUAACACCAAUUGGGUUAAAUUAUCGUUUUACCCAUAGGCUAUCUCUUAUCCUUAAAUACAAGUGUUUCUUUAAUGAACAACAUGUUUAUGGUCCUAACAAUAAACAGAAACCUCACCUCGUGUCAUAGAGAGGGUAGGAUCCUUUGUUCAUGUUGUGGAGACAUCAUUUAAGGGAACACCCAUGUACUUACCCUAAAGUACUGGAAGAGUGAAUUUCAUCGUGUGUAAUUAUGUUCCCACCUCCCCACUCGUUUUUGUCUCCAAAAUGAUAAGCUUAUUGAGUUAGUGGUCUAGUCACUCUUACCCGUAAAAAUUAAAGGACAAUCCGUCGCGAACAAGAGUUCAUAAUACACUCAGGAUUAAGACUAUGUUACCUAGGUCAUUCUAAUGAAAUAGAAUUCUAACUAGUUAGCAGAGUUACAUCUAGUGGUUACUAUUUCGUGGUCCGAUCUUAUGCAAAUUCAUUACAUAGGAUAUCCUCAAUCACAUGUCACCUACAUGAACACGUUAGAUAUCAUUGCGUUUGUAUCCAUAGUGUUACCAGGAUAAGGUACCCAACCUUAUUCUUAUACUUAUAGACCCUUUAAGUUGAUCCUUGUAUGUCUCAAAUACAAAGUGAACAUUGAUCCAUGUCUAGGUGAGAUGAACGUGACUUUAUAUUUUAUAGAGGUUAUUGAGCUAGUUUUGAGACACACAGAAAGACCAUGGCACAUCCGUACAGCAAGGGAUGCGCUUAUGUUGCACGCAUGACCAUGCACAGAGAUGUUAGCAUGCAAGGAUGGGCAUGGCGUUGCACAACGAGCACAAGGCACACGGUAAAGGGCUCUCUAGGUUGCAGCCAAAACACAUGUGACACCUCAUUGUGAGAUUAACACGUGUUGCACGACACCCGUCGACAAAAUUAAAAUGCGGCAAGGCCCCCCAGGCAAUGCACGUGAACCAAGCCUAGCCACCAUGCCAUUGAGCGCCAGAAGGUCAUUUUUAGGCUGUUUUGGACUAUUUUGUUAUUUUUUGAAAUUUUAAGAAAAUUUUUGGAUAUUUUUAUUAACAAUGGAUUAAUUAAGGAUUUAAUGUGGACUUUUCAGAUCAAUGAGACUGUGAAGGAAAUUUCCAACUAAAGAUCAACUUAAGUACAGUGAGUGACACAUUGAUUUAAAAGUUAUUUAUAAAGCAUGAUUUUCAAGUUAUUGUUCGAGAUAUGUUUUAUGAAACUGUUUAUUCAAAUGAUGUUUUACAACUAUACUAUGUUUACUAAUAUAUUGACAUGUUAUGAAAGCAAAAUAAAAUUUUCAAUGUUUUCCAAUAUGUUUUCUCCUAGCCCGAAUAUUCUAUGAGAUCUAUUGUAUACAUGUGGUUAACUCCAUAUUGAUGGUAGGGGUUGAUGAGCCUAUAGUUUAUGAGCCAUCAAAAAGAGUAUAUUUUUAAGCCUUGAAGGAGCUAGCAGGAUUAGAGUGAAAGCUAUUUCCCAUUGAAUGUUCCGUCUUAGGACGAAGAGAUUUAAUACUCAAUAUGGCUAUGGAUCAUGUCUUCCAAAAGUUAUGCAAAAGUUCAAUGUUUCAAGAAUCAUGUUAUGAAUUGACUAUUUAAUGUUAAUGUUAUUUAAGCUUCAAUUUUAUGUUAAAUUGUUAUUGAAAACUUGUUUUACAAAAUUGUUGCUCACUAAGUUUUUUGACUUUCUCUUUAAAAAUGUUUUUCCUCUUUCCAGUUAUAGAUUGUGAGUCUCCGUGUGUUGAACGUGCUGCUGCCAGAAGAAAUUAGUUUUCAGUCAUGAAAGGAAACGAUUUAUUAAAAAUAUCGUCGUGUUUUAUAAAAGUUUAUACUUUCAUGUUCUAAAGGGUUACACUAGAAACUUUCAUGUUCUAAAGGGUUACACUAGAGUUUUAAGUUAUUUCUAAGUAUAAAGACUUUCGCUUGCAAACGUUUUAUGUUUUCAAGUUUAGGAUCAGUUGAAAUUGUUUCAGAGGAGAAUGAUUUUAGUUGACAUCAAGUCACCUUUCGGAUCUAGUGCAGUUGAUCUGAGAGGAGGUGUGACAUAAAUUCCAACAACAAUAAAUUUAAAGGUGGAAAGAAGUGUUAUAUGUUCAAUAUUUCUAAAACAAAAAUCAAAUGAGAAUGACCUUUAGACUUCAAACUACAUGUUUUUUUAGGUUAUAAAAAAACUGCACAAUAUAUACAUAAUUUAACUUAACUCAACUAUACACUCUAAUCGCAACUUCUUAAACAAAGUUAAGCAAUGCGAAAAAUGUAAAGAUCGACAAAUAGAUAUAUGUGGUUUACUAACAAAGAAAAUGUUUCAAAAUAUAAUACGGUGUCACUAAUUUAAAGAGUUUAUAUAUUACACUUCUCUAAACCCUAAGGUCAAAAUUGUAUACUCAAUUACACUUCUACACCUUGACUCACUCCCAAAUCGGACAACGAGAUUCUCACACUGGGUUGUUCGUAGUGCCACAUAACAAAUUCAAGGUAUUUCAUCACCAACUCAACUCAACUUUGUGCAUCAAACAAACCUAUAAUGAUUGGCACAUUUCUUAAAUCAAAGAGUUGGAUUUUUAGCAAGAUUUUAAAACAAAAACAAGUUUUUAAAAACUUUCAUAAACUUCAUUUUCAAAACAAAAAACAAAAACCAAAUGAAAAAUGCUAAGGGCUUUAGAGACUUAAACUUGUAAUUUUACCUAAUCCUUUUAAAGCAAAGAAAAGUUUAGAAAAAACUUGUAGUGACUCAAUUUUGGCUAUUUUUUAUUUGGUUUCAAAGUUACAAAAUAUUAUACAUUCAGUUUUUAAGUUUUGAGUUUGAUUUCAAUUUACUCCCCUAAGUUUCAAACAUUACACUUUUAUCCUUGAGUUUUGUUUAAAUUUGGUUCUUGUAUUCCAGACUUACACUUCUUAUCUCAAUUUUCACUCAAUACUCACAUUUUUUCUUUAGUAUUAAUGUCCAUUAAUUAAUUAAAAAUUAAAAGAAAAUUAAUUAAUAAAUUUCACUAUUUCACGUCACUAUUAAAACUAAAUUUAAAAUUUCACUUUAUAAUCUUUUCAAUUAAUUAAUAGAUAUUAAUGUAAUUGAUUGAAAGUGAGUAUUGAUAGAAAGUAAAGGGUAAAAGUAUAAAAGGAUAAAAUUGUAAUAUAUUUUGAAAGUAAAAUUCAAAAUUUUAAGAACUAAAUAAAAUACUAACAAAUUGAAUAUUUUGAAGUUUGAAUUGAAGGGAGGAGAAAACAAAACUAAAUAAAAAUAAAGGUACGAAAAAGCUAUAUAUGUAAAAGGUCUUUAGUUGAUUUGGCUUUCAAUGUUGGGGUGAUUUAACAUCCGAUCCUCUCUCCAUGCUUCUAGUUUGCUUAGAUGGAAAGUUUGUUGAGAUCAUUUUUUCUCAUUUUUCUUUAGUCUCAAUUAAGAUUCUUCCUUACUAAGAAAAGUCCCAACAUAAAACUCAAGGAGAAAAAAACAAACAUCAUGUUGAAUUCAUUACACCUAUAAACUUGACAUAAAAUAAUAAUAGUCCAUCGUCAAUUGUUUUAUAUAUAUAGUAACAAAAGAUGUUGAGGAAUUUGAAAGAAGAAAACAAAAACAUGUGAAAUCCCACUCAUUAAGAAUCUAUCAUACUCAUUUGUAAUCUACACUUUUUGUUAUUAGAUACUAAAAGGGAAAACUUUGAAGGAUAGAAGAAAAAAACAGAUCAUUUAGUGGGAUUAAACAAACUUAAUUUCCAUGUGAUUUGUGCAGUACCUAUUUAUAAAGUAAAAUUAGGCCAAUUUUUCUUUUUUCUUUUGCACACCUGAAACGAUCAUAAUUCUUAUAAUAUAUGGUCCUCGUGGUAAAGAUCAUGAUUAUAAUAUAUGAUUAAAAAAGCUGUCAAAAUGAAAUAAUUAAAUAAAUAAAAGCAACAUAACUUUAUUGUAUAUUUUGAAAACAAAACAAUUUCUAAAGCCACCGUUUGAUAAUGCAAGUAUUAUUGAACAUUCCAAUAAUAAUGGGAUGGGUCACUACUGGUGGAUCCAUACAUUUUAGAUAGUGUAUCAAACAUAUACUCUAUAUAAUAAAUCACUAAAAAAUAUUAAAAAAUAUUUUAACGUCUCACAUUCAUGCUCCAAUACCAUUCACUUCAUUUGUAGUAAUAAAGAAAAAUUUGACAAUUUCCACGAAAAAAAAUAUAAUAUAUUUUUCAUGAAAUAUUGUUGAGAGAGUGAAAGUUUAAAUUACCCAUAGCUAGGAAAUAAGUUAGGAUUUUAUUUUAGUUAGGUUUUUUACCUCUUUUUAAAAAAUGAUUUUUAUGACAUUGUUGAAAUUUGCCAAUAAAAUUGACAUUUGGAAUAUUUGGAAAAAUAAAUUAUUCAAAUUUGGAGUCUAGAAUUUGGAAAGAAAAUUAAUAUUUGAGAAAAAUAAAUUAUUGAAAUUUAUAAAGAAAUAUGAUAUUUUGGUAUAAAAAAUUAUUGAUAUUUGAAACAAAAACUAUUUCAUGAAAAUAGUUGCAAAAUACAAAAUUCAAACACUUUGACUUUUUGGUUAUGAAGUGAUGGCACGCCAUCUCACUAGAACCAAACUUUAUUUUAAAUAAAAUAUUAUUUAAUAUAUAUUGUAAUCUAACACUUCAAAAUUAAUAUUAAGAUACAAAAAUCGAUAAUGUGAAGGAGAUACACAUGUUGAUUCUUGCUUGUUAGGUGCUUAAACGGAACUCAAUGUUGUUUAUGUACACAAUUAAUUAAUUCUAUACAAUGAGUCAUUGAACAUGAUCAUAGCUUGCGAGAUAAUCAUUAUGUCUCACUUCAUCAAAUAAAUACUAAGUAGUAUAAGGAAGCAGUAGGUUUACCCAGAUAAUCCCAGGUCGAACACAAAGAAUUGAUAUCAAAGCUUAUUUCUAGGGUCUACUUAUCAGCAGACAUUAAGAUUUAUAUAAAAAAAAAAUAUAAAAGAAUGUAAGCACGAACUAUAACUACUUAUGUACACUUAGAGACUUCUGUAAAGAGGAUUAAAAGAUGGCGAGAUGGAAUUGCAAACUAACUUGCAAAGGAAGAUCUAUGCAUUAUAAGGUGAUUGAGCAAUGCGAGAGCUUUGAUGCGAUAUAACUUGCUUAAUCAACUUAUGAUUAAGACUUGCUCCUCUCGGAGUCAUUAAAUGCCACAAAUGGUUACCUAUCGGGAUACAAGUGACUAAGCGUGGUCAGACGAGAUAUAUUUAGAAGAGAGUCUAAAUGUUGUUUAAGUGUGUUAGUGCAUGUUGGAUAAAGUAUUGAAUGUACCUCGUUAGUUGAAUUGUUAGUGAAGUUUUCGUAUUUCACCCAAGUCCACAUUCUCUGCUAAAAUUUUCACGGUUAUCUUUAUUUCCGCUUACUAAGCAUUAUGCGCAUUAUUUUGCGAAGAAUCUUGCGUAGAAUGUCUAGGCGAUCACGUCUCCACUUCAUCACAUAGAAUGUUUUUGGAAAGUAUUCUUUAGUAAUUUGCUCUUUGCUAGAUGAGUUGGAAUCACCAGCAUUUGCAUUCAAAGGUGUGUAGGUGGAAAUUUCUCUCCUCUUGCUUAUAAUUUUUCCAAUUCAUAAGUUUUUCAUUAAUCUUCCAACAAGUUUCACAUGUAUGUCAGGGUUUAUUGUAAUGGUCACACCAGAUUCAAGGCUUUUAACACUCUUGUUAGAGUGGUUAGAGACCUUUAUGGUUGUUUGUUUGAUGACCAACGUAGUUCUACUAAAUCAAUAGACUUUUUUUUCCAACCAUAGCAUUCUUGGGCUUUCUUCUCUGCAAACGUCACAAAAAACCGUCAUUAAUAGAUCAAAGAGUGGUUUUCCCAAGUAUUUGACCUCUAACCUCAUCAAAUUCAAUAUUGAGGUAGACAAGGAACUUGUAAAUAUAACCUUAAAUUUUCCUGUAAUGCUUUUAAUCAUUUGUAGACUUUCACACUCAUGAAUCAAAGAGAUCCAGAACUUGCCAAAUCUUUUUAAAGGAGUGAAAGUAUAGCAUCAUCGAGUUACCUCAUCGUAUAUCUCCAAAUUUGAUAUUCGCUCAAAUACAUGUGAUUGAUUGCCCAAAUAAAAGUACAUGUGUCACACUAUCUUUAGAAUUCAUUGGUAGUGGAGUAGCACUUGUAAUUACAACUGAUGUCAUCAACCAUGGAGUUUACAAGUCAAGUCAUAAGCAUGAAAUUUUCGACAUCCCAUGCAGCAAACAAAGGGUCAUCUAGUUUUGAGGCAGUCCUCUCUAGUAAUAUAGCCAAUUUUCCAUUGGCCACAAAAUACAGUUCAACAUUUUGUAACCAACGAAGAAAUUUGUCUACAUUAAGUCGGAUCGUGGUUAUUUGGAUAGUAGAGCUAUCGUAAUGGAUAUAAAUGUUGAUGUUAGCCAUAGAUGACUUAGUAUUUGACAUGCCUGAAGCAACAAAGGUACAAAACGGAGAAAACAUAUCUGAAAAGGCAAACCAAACUCAUUAGAUACUAAGUCGCAACCAGCAAGGACCAGUCACAAAUGAUGGCAAAGACAAAAAAUCCGCCAACAUACAACAAAAAUUGUAAGAAAAACGCGCUUCCAACGAGUUAUGGCCAACACCAGCAAUCAAUAGGAGUAGAGCCAACCAACGACAAACCUCGAGGCAACCAAGGCACAUGGGUGGCAUUGGCAAGCUAUAAGAGUUUUGGGGUUUUUAGGUUUCCAGAAAAAUAGGGUUUUGUAUGUUUUCAAAAAAAUUAGGUUUCUUUUUAGGUUUUCAAAAACCUUCUCUGGUACCAUGCCAAAUAAUGUUAUUUUCUAUAUUUCACAAAAAAGAAAAAAAAAAGUUCUUUUGAAUAGAAGAACAGCCCAUUAUAAAGAAGGAAAAUAUAAAUUUGGCAAAUAUACAACUAAUACAAUAAAAUAUAAUACAACCAAUACAAUACAAUAAUCAACAUCUUCUAACCUUUAUUCACAUCUCUUCUUCUUCUUCCUUAUCAUUUGAAUGUUUGCUUCAAAUCUUCUAAUCUAUUUACAUCUCAUGUUCUGCUCAUAUCUUGUCCUUGUAAACCAUUCAAUCUUUUAUCAUCUCUUCUCCUAGUCGACUAAUACCAAUUUUACUAUAUAACAAUGUUCCUUGAAUCAUCUCUUUCUAUAAUCAAUCAUGUCACACCUGUUUUCGCUUGAGCAACUAUUGUGAUAUCAUUUUCACCUUUUAACCUUUUGUUGUGAACAUGAAGGAGAUAAUAUAAAGGACUUUAUAUUAUAUUCUAUAUGGAAAACAAAAGCAUUAGGGAUGGAUGAAUUUGAUGAGUUGAGCGAGAAAGAGUUGACAAUUAAUGAAAGAGUGCAUCAACGAAAGAGAGUGCAUCAACUGAAAGGAAAAAAUGAAUAGGUAGGAGAGGAAAUGUGGAUGGGUGAAUUAUCUAAUGAGGCCGCCACAAUGUAGUUGCCUCUAAAAGACUGCCCUUUAAUAAGCAUUGGAUCUAAAUUAAAGGUACUAUCUCGUAAUUCAAUCGUAAAAAUGUGUAAGCCACAUUUUGGCAGCCUCACCAACUAACUUCUCAAGUGAUUAGAUGUAGAUGAAUUUGAAACAUAGACCUCGUGGUCAAUAACAUUCUCGUUUGCCAGUUGAGUUAUACUUGCUUUAGCAGAAAAAUAGAUCAGCAAGAGAAAUAAUUUGAGGUUAAUUAGAGACUUACAAAAUAGAAAAGUGGAAUUUUGGAGGGGAAGGAGAGAGGGAGAAAACAAUAGAAUCUUUGACCUUUUAUCUACUGUAAAUAAAUAUCACUAUAUGAACCCAUGUACGCAUAUUAUGCUAAUAAAUCUACCAUUAGCAUUAUAUCUCUGCACCUUCUAGUAAUAAAGUAAUGAUCUAGAAGAGAGUUUAACUAAAAUAAGAAAAGAAAAAAGUGAAACCUUUAACUGAUAUCGAAGUAGAAUCCAUCCUGGCUUUCAUUUGACACUGCUGAGUAAAAUCAGAUUGUACCUGUUAAGAGCAACUCAAAUUCUACCGUCUUCGAAGAGGCCGCCGCUGAAGAAAAGGAAAUAGACAGAAUAUCAGAAAAUAUCAUGUUAGGCAAAUACUUAGAUAUUGGUAAAAAGGAGUGUGUUACCAGUAGGUAGGAACAAAGUAGUUAACCAGUUCAGUUUAUCAUUAUUUUCAUAUCGCUUCACUUGCAAACUUAAAAAGAAAUGGUUGAUGCAUAGAGUUACGAAAGAGGCACAUACUCUUUGUCCAUGAUCUUGUCCUUGUGUCUGCAUAUUGGUCAUCCUAUCUUGAUCUGGGACCAAUUCUGGAUUUCCAUGCUUGUAAAUUGCUUGCAGUGCUCUAACGACGAAAGGUCGAACUAUAUUCACUUCCAUAGCAGAUAGAUCUUUAAUCUAGGAUUGAACAACCAGAAGACCCCAUCACAUCAGCACAUAAUCAAAAAGACUAACUAGUGGGGAGGAACUAAUAGAAGUUAAAAUAAUAUACAAUAAAGCACCGUGGCGUCAACAAUUUGGUUAUUAUAUAAGGAAACAAAAAUAUAUCUACCUUCACUGCAGAUGUGCGCGUAUCGAUUGACUCCAAGCUGGUUUCAACUUUGUGAAACCUAACAUCUCUGAUAUCUUCAAUAAGAGACCUCACCUGUGAAAAGUAACUCAAUCAUAUUACUCAGAAAACUAUUGUAAGUUUGGAACUACAUGCCAGAACUCAACAGAAAAGCUCCUAACUCACCAAAUACAUGUCAGGAACGUCAUCUCGUGCACUAUCAUCCACAACAUUAAGCUAACAUCAACUAUUUUAAGAACCAAACAGAGAAUUUAUAAUGUUGAAGAUUUCAAUACUUACUGGUCAAAAAGAAGUUUUGAUAUUUCCACGUAAUGAAAGGGUAAUAUCUGGAAAGAUCCUUGAGAAUCUCGUUCUGCCUCCAAAAUUUGUGUCAACUUUUCUGUCCACAAAGUGAAAAACAGUGAGAUUGCAAAAUAUCAAUACUUAUCUUCUUUUUCAGUCUUUUUACUACCCCAUAUUUCUUGUAGUCUCUUUAUCAUCAAUCAAAAAAGAAAAAAGAGGAAAAAUGCCUAAAAUGCACCCAUUGGAAGGAAGGAAUCCAAAAUAUUUGGACAAGCAAUAAAUUGUGAGAAAAUAUCAUGUUGUUCUAAUGUACUAUUGAACAAUCCAUCCUAUACAAAUACGUAAUCAAGUUGCAAGAAAGUAGUUGUGUGCUCCAAGCCACCAUAAACCAUUCAGCUCUCUAUGUCCAACCAAACUACAACACUUUCUCCCUUAUGAGACACCAUAAUAUUAUUAUGACAUUUUUUAAAUCUUAAAUCAAUGAUUGGCCCAAAAACUCUAAUGGGUGAAAGAAAUUUUAGUAUUACAUCAUCUAACACUCUUCACUUGUGGGCUUGAAAUAUGUAAAAGACCCAACAAGUGGAAGUUAAUAUUGAUUGAAGAAGAAAUAACAUGAGAGGAGAUUAAACAUAGGACUUCCUAAACCACUUACUACGGUGCCAAUGUUUUAAAAAACUAUUGAGGCUCGCCUCGAAGCAAUGCUCUAAGUUUUAGCCUCAAGACUGAAAAGGGUUACGCCUCUAAUAAAUGAGGCUUGCGCCUUCGUGAAAAUGCACAGAGGCUUAAAAUCUCUAUGCACCAAGUGAUUUGUCUAAUUCUUCGAAAAUAAUAAGGUUUGAGUUGUGACAAUUGGAACCAAGACUCUUUCCUGUUGUGAACUUAAGAAUGUCGAAAGCAAGAAUAUAAAGCAUAAAUCAAUCCUAUUGCUGAUAGUAGUGAUAGUAAUGAGAAUGAAGAUGUCACAACUCUGAACACGUUGUGUCCUACAUUCCGUGUGCUGGAAAUGAGAAGAUAAAAAUUGUUGAUGGCUCCUUCGCUCCCAUUGCCGGGAAAGGACAGAUUUCGCUUUUUGACGGGUUCUCAUUACACAAUGUGUUGCAUGUGCCACGAAUUUCAUAUAAUCUUUUGUCGAUUAGCAAGAUUACUCGUGAACUAAACUGCAAAGCAACAUUCUUACCUGAUUCUGUUUCUUUUCAAGACUUGAGUUUGGGGAAGAUGAUUGGCACUACCCAACACAAAAGGGGUAUUUAUUUGAUGAUGAUGCCCCCUCUAGUAGUAUUUCUAGGACUAGUCUUUUAUCAUCCUACUUUACAACCUCUGAAAAAUACCUUAUGUUGUGGCAUUUCCAUUAAGGCCAUCCCAACUUUAAAUAUAUGAAAUACCUAUUUCCUCAUCUUUUCUCCAAAGUUGAUGUUUCUUCCUUAUUCUUGUGAUGUAUGCAUAAAAGCUAAACACCACCGAGUCACUUUUCCUUCGCAACCCUAUAAGCCAACUUGACCUUUUACUCUUGUCCAUAGUGAUGUUUGGGGACCAUCCAAGGUCACUACCUCCUCUGGAAAAUGAUGGUUUGUGACCUUUAUUGAUGACCAUACUCGUCUUACUUGGGUUUUCCUGAUCUCCGAAAAAUCUGAAGCUACCUCCACAUUCUGAGACUUCUAUCACACCAUAGAAACGCAAUUCAAUUCAAAGAUUGCAAUUCUGCGAAGUGAUAAUGGUCGUGAGUUUUAAAACCACUCUCUUAAUGAGUUCUUAUCCUCUAAUGGAAUUGUUCACCAAAGUUCCUGUGCUUACACCUCCCAACAAAGUGGAGUUACCGAACUAAAAAAUUGUCACCUUUUGAAAGUUGCUCGUUCCCUUAUGUUGUCCACUUCUCUUCCUUCCUAUCUUUUGGGUGAUGCCAUUCUUACUGUAGCUCAUCUCAUAACGCAUGCCUUCUCGUGUCCUUCACUUCUAGACACCGUUAGAUUGCCUCAAAGAAUCCUAUCCCUCCACUCAUCUCAUCCUUGAUGUUCCCCUUCGGGUGUUCGGUUGCACUGCCUAUGUCCAUAGCCAUGGUCCUAACCAAACUAAAUUUACUCCUAGGGUUCAGACUUGCGUGUUUGUUGGAUAUCCUCUACACCAACGAGGCUAUAAAUGCUUUCAUCCUUCUUCACGUAAGUACUUUGUUACCAUGGAUGUCACCUUUAUUGAAGAUCGUCCUUUUUUUUCCGUUAGCCUAUUUUAGGGGGAGAAUGUGAGUGAAGAGUCUAACUAUAUACUUCCCUUAGAGUCUUCUUAUCCUACUAUGGUUACCUUACCUGACCAUAGCCCUCACAGUACAGUCUUACCUACAAAUCAAGUUUCUUGGAAAACCUACUAUAGGAGGAAUCUCAUAAAGGAAGUUGAGUCUCCUGUUGUUCAGACGGCUCCAAUGCAGGUUUCUGAACCAAUAAGAGAUCAAGGUAUGACUGAUUCAGUUAAUAACAAAACAUGUGAGAAUGACAGGUCUGAGACAACUAUUCUGGAAGAUAUGGGUGAGCAGGGCAAUAUUGAUGAGGCCAUUAUAGACAAAGAGGACAGAAUUAUUGGAAACGAGGUUGUUGUUGAACAUACUGAAAAUAGUAGCAGGUAUGAUUCAUCUCUUGAUCUUCCUAUUGCAUCGAGGAAAUGUACAAGGUCCUGCACAAAGCACUCCAUAUGUAAUUAUGUGUCAUACAAGAAUCUCUCACCACAGUUCAGAGCUUUUACUGUCAGCCUUUGACUCUACCACAAUACUGAAAAAUAUUCACACUACGUUAGACUAGAGUGUCCUGAAUGGAAGAAUGUUGUCAUGGAAGAAAUGAAAGCUCUUGAAAAGAAUAACACUUGGGAGAUUUGUGCUCUACCCAAGGGACACAAGCCUGUGGGAUGCAAAUGGAUGUUCACUCUCAAAUACAAAGCAGAUGGAACACUUGACAGACACAAGGCAAGGUUAGUUGCAAAGGGAUUAACUCAAACCUAUGGUAUUGACUAUUCAGAAACUUUUUCUCCAAUUGCUAAAUUGAAUACUGUUAGAGUUCUGUUAUUUGUUGCUGUGAACAAAGAUUGACCUCUAUACCAGUUGGAUGUUAAGAAUGCCUUUUUGAAUUGAGACCUUGUAGAGGAAGUCUACAUGAGCCCCUGCCUGGAUUUGAAGCCUAGUUUGGUCAGCAGGUGUGUAAACUCCAUAAAUCCCUAUAUGGUCUAAAACAAUCUCCUAGAGCAUGGUUUGAAAAAUUUAAUACCUUUGUCAAGUCCCAAGGGUAUAGUCAAGGACACUCUGAUCAUACUUUAUUUACAAAGGUUUCCAAGACUGGAAAUAUUGUUGUUCUAAUAGUUUAUGCGGAUGACAGUGUUUCGACUGGAGAUGAUCAGGCAGAAAUCAGUCAACUAAAGUAGAGAAUGGGUGAUGAAUUUGAAAUCAAGGAUCUGGGAAAUCAGAAAUAUUUCCUUGGAAUGGAGGUGGCCAGAUUUAAAGAAGGUAACUCCGUGUCUCAGAAAAAAUACACCCUUGAUUUGCUAAUCGAGACAGGUAUGUUGGGAUGUCGUCCCGCUGACACUCCUAUGGAAUUCAACUGUAAACUAGGAAACUCUAACGAUCAAGUUCCAGUUGAUAAUGAACAAUAUCAGCGCCUCGUGGGUAAAUUAAUUUACUUAUCCCUUACUCGUCCUGAUAUUUCCUUUGUUGUGAACACAUGAAAGCUGUCAACAGAAUUUUGAGAUACUUGAAAUCAACACCUGGUAAAGAGCUGAUGUUUAGAAAAAUAGACAAAAAGACCAUUGAGGCAUAUACUGACUUGGAUUGGGCAGGAUAUGUUAUUGACAGAAAAACUACCUCUGGUUAUUGUACCUUUGUUUGGGGCAAUCUUGUAACUUGGAGGAGUAAGAAGCAAAGUGUUGUGGCCAGAAGUAGCGCUGGGACCAAAUACAGAGCUAUGAGUUUGGGAAUAUGUGAGAAAAUUUGGCUUUAAAAAGUCCUGUCAGAUCUUUCAUCAAGAAUGUGAAACACCAUUCAAGCUUUUCUGUGAUAAUAAAGCUGCUAUUAGUAUUGCUAAUAACCAUAUUCAACAUGAUAGAACUAAACAUGUUGAAAUUGAUCGACAUUUCAUCAAAGAAAAACCGGACAGUGGGAGCAUAUGAAUUUCGUACAUCCCUUCGAGUCAACAGGUUGCUGAUGUUCUUACCAAGGAGCUUCUCAUACCAAACUUCGACUUUUGUGUUAGCAAGUUGGGCCUCAUUGAUAUUUACGUCCCAACUUGAGGGGGAGUAUUGGAUCCUUUUCUUUUUUUCUAGAUAUUUUCCUUAUUAGAAUCCUAGAAUAUUUAUAGGAAGAUUAUGGAAAUGUUUUCCUUAUUUCCUAAAUCUUUUCCAUUUUUAUUCCAUUGUAUACUCUAUUUAUUCUCUCUUGUACCCUUUUGUAUUAUUCAUUAGAAAACAAUAAUAACAAAAGAUCGUGGUUUUUCUUCUGAUACUCGGAUUUCCACGUAAAUUGAUGUGUGCUCUUUGUCUCUCCUUUCAAUAAAUUGCUUGACAACUAAAAUCAAGGUUAAUCAAAACCUCUUUGGGUUUUGCCAGCAACGGUUGAACUAAUAAAAAUUGUGGUAAUAUAUUUCUCAAUUUCGUGGUCACUGAGCUUCUGAAGAUCCUGAAGCUAUUAAAGAAGCAUUGUUUCUUAAAAAUUUCUUCAACCCGAUUGACCUAGCAAGACUGAAUAAAGUUCUUAUCGACAAAGGGGAAGAGUUGAAUUUUUCAAAAACUAAAUGGGCUUUUUUAUCUUUGUACAUUCAAAACCAUGAUGAAGUCACUAAAAGGGAAGGAAUCUCAUCCCUUAGACAAAAUGAUGGAGAUGAGGUGUAAUUCAAUCGUAAGCACCACUAAGGAAGUCAAGAAGUCUCUCUCAUUGAGGAAAAAGAAAGAAGCCCAAAAAGGUAAGCGGGUCCAACCGAACCAAUCCAAAUUCGUUCAGCAGCUAAUCACUACACCCUGUUUCUUCUGAUCAAUUAGCACCUCCUUUAGUUGCAGUCUCAGAGCCCAUUAAUAAUCCCGCAGGCAAGUGUUCAAGUAGUUCCUCUUCUUCUCAUUCAACUUCAUCAUCAACCAUCUCUUAUUCGAUCAGAGCUAGGUCUAAAUCUGGGGUUAAGCAAAGGUCAAAAGCACACAUAGCUUCACUUCCUUUCGAGCCAUUUCCAAAACAUUUGGUCUGAAGAAAGAGAAAAAAGGUGAUCACUAAGAAGAAAAUAUCCAAGGCAAAGCUGAUUCCAGAAGUUAAUCCAGAUUUAUUAGAAGAAAAUUGUGCCCAAGUUCAGGUUCUCAGCCAAGGUACCAAAUCAGAUUCCCAAAAAUCUCACUCUCCUCAACUUAAGUACUCUGUUUUCUCAUUGCCUAAUUCAAAGGUGAAAUUCCUGAGAGGUACUCGUUGACAUACUCUGGUCAUUCCAUCCAAAAAGAAGUGGGAGACAAAUUUUGAUUCUCCUUUCAGCGUGAGUAGUGAAAAAUAUGAACCCUUUGAAAAAACAGAAGUAAUGGAGGAGAAGUUGCAAAUGGAGCCCUUAGAAACAGACCUAAAUACUAUAUUUCACAUCAAUGAAAAAAUGAAAGAUGAACUAAAAGUAGACAAAAAGUGUUCGGUUUGCCCAUCAUCAAUUCAGCCCACCAAAAUUUUGGAUCUCCUGAAAACGUUUGUAGCUGAUGGCAGGUUAGUGUUUGGUUGAUGCUUCCCAGCAGAUUAUGAGUCUCUCAAAAUUUUCAUGAUCUUUUUGCACGUGGUAAUCUGGAGGUUGUUUUCUUGCAAAGCUGAAGGACUCAAGAUUCUGAUGUUGGUUCCUCAGUUGUGUAACACUUGGAGUAGCUUGGUUGCCUCCCUUUUCUUGGUGUCUCCUGUUCUUCCAUUUUGAUGCUUUCAGUGUGCAAGUUCUCACCUGAAUUGGGGCUUUGUUUUGAAUAAUUAAUUAAGUUUCCUCUGUAUUGUGUUUUCUCUUGUUUGUUCAGGGUAUAGAAGUUUUUGAACUGGUUUCGUCUUUUGUAUUGAUCGUUUUUUUAGUCCUUUUGGUACUUUUCACUCUUAGUUUAUUUUUCUUGUACUUUAAGCAUUUGUCUCACUCAUUAAUAAAAAGGAAAAAAAAUUCAUCGUAACCAAGCUAAUUUGUCUUUUGUCUAUUGGUGUAAUAGCUUCAUCUUGUAAACGAAAAUUAUGAAGAUGCUAUCGGGUGUCAAUCUAGUUGAGAUGAUUAGGUGCACGUAUUGACUCCUAGAUCUCUAAAUUUAAAUAUUUGUUUUGUAUGGUUGCUUUCUGGACUUUGUAUGAGUUCUCUUUAAAGAAAAACACAAAUUCUACAUCUAUAGAUCUUACAACCUUCAAGUGGGUAUGCAGACUUGAAAUGGCAUUAGAUUAAGAUUUUGUUCAUUUAUUUAUUUAUCUAUGAAAAGCUCAAGGAUUAUGACACACAGAAAAGAAGCUUCAACCUAUUUAACAAACAAAACUUACCCACUGACAUCCACUCUGGAGUCCUAAUUGCACAUUUCCCUCUUUUUUUCAGAGCAAUCGCUAGCCACAAUGGAACUUCAGUUGCUAUUUGGGGAUAGAAUGGACCAUAAUCCCCCUAUUGAAAAUACAAGAAAAUCAAUAACGCUAAGCACUUUAGCAAGAAGAAAAGACCGAAAACACACAACAAAAUAUAAUUGCAAUAAAGCCAACAUGAACCGAAGACAUACACAGAUCAAAUGCAGAGAAUCCAUUCUCAUAUUGGGAAUAAUCUCCACCAUUUCAUCUUCAGCUACAAACUCCACCUGGACAAGAAUUUCCAAAAGAAUUCUGAUCAAUGUCAUUUAGCGAUGACUUAAUCAUUUGAACAGAGCAAGAAGGGGAUACCUCUUCUGCAGAAAAUAGGUUCAGGUGAGGAUCUGAUUGACCAGCCAUUUCUGUUAGAAGGAAAUAAGGUUAUUCAUAUAUAAAAUACCAGUUUCAGUCUUGAUACGGAUAACUAUAGACAGAAAGAUUAAAUUUCGUUCUCACAAAUUUUGAAUUGUGAUACUAGACCAAUUUGAUUCACUGAAAACUUAAAAGCCUUAACCCCCCCCCCCCCCCCCCCCCCCCCCAUUCUACAAAAGUGCUUAAGGAGACGGUUUGGAUUUGGGUGUGUUUGAUGGAAGAUGCUCGAGACAUCUGGGUUUUUCAGGCCUAGUAUGUGGAUUUGUCAGACAAAUUCAUGGCUUUAACAAUAUCCUAAGCCCAACCAUCAUAGGUUGGUCUAGUAGUCAAUAAGGGUCAUUCAUCAUAGAUAUAAUAAUUGACUUAGAGUGAAUAGGUUCAAUUCAUGACAGUCACCUAUCUAAGAAUUAAUAUCCUAUGAGUUUCAUUGGCACCGAAGAUGUUGUAAGGUCAGGCAGGUUGUCUCGUAAGAUUAAUCAAGGUUCACAGAAGUUGGCUUGAACACCAACAGAUAUUCAAAAAAUAAAAAGACAGUAGCGUAAACCCAUCUCUUCACAUCAUUUUUCAUUUUCUAAAUCCAAGCUUCCAAAUUUUGCACCCAACACAUGUUCUUGAACUCAUGUUUUCAAACUCUCCAGUUAAAUUAAACAUCUACGCUUAACAUUUUCACACUUAAACGAACCAGCACCCUAGUGCUCCUACAGAAUUAAAUUCCCAAAUCUUCACUCCUUCAGAAAUUACAAACCAUGCCAUGAAAAAUCAUCCAGUUCAUCACAUACCCUAUCUAGCCAUUAAAAAAAUGAAGCGAUAUUAUUAGAAAUUAAAAAAAAUAAAUAAACCCUACAAUCUAGGAAUUAAAUUGUCUACUUGAAGAAGCUACAGCAAACGAAAUAAGCAGAAGAUGUCUGAUAGAUGAAUAGAUAGAUACAAGAGCGAAUAGUAAUAAUACAAAAGGAAAAAGGUUGAGGGGAAGUAGAGUGAUGCGAUAAGCGUAUAAAUUCAUCAUUGUUACUAAAGGGAAAAAGGUAAACAAUACAAAUCUGAAAAAAUUACCAACAAAAGCUUCAACCGAGGUAGUAGGAGUCAACGGCAGUGGUAGCUGAGAAGUCGACGGCGACGGCAGCUGAGUGGGACACCAAAUGCGAAAGACAGAGGGAAGAGAGAACGAUGCUGAGAGUCGAAGUUCACUAGAAAAUUAACCAAAAUAGGAACCCAUGUUGGGAGGGAACAUUUUGGGUUGGUUUUUAAAUUCUGCUUUGGGAGGAGUCGUUUUUAAAAUAUAACAAACCAUCAAAUAUUCCCACCCAACAAUUUCAAAAACGAACAAAGUUUACACUAUACAAAAACACACAUGACCGAUAUUCUUUUCGUUGUUUUCUAUGAAAUGAAUCCCUAUUUUAUUAAUAAUUUUACACUGAAAAAAUAUCACAAGCCUAUAAUGAAAGCUACAAAAAUGCUAUUCUUUUUUUACAUGAGCGUUUACCUUUCACGAUGGUUUAGAUUUGGCAAUUGUUUUGGUACACGGUUGUUUAUAUUCGGUAUACAAUCGUUUAAAUCAAGAGUUUUUCCAGAUUCUUUAUGUUUGGGAGACGAUCUUGAACGACCAAUAGUUUGAAAAAAAUAAAAAUAUAGAUAUAGAUAUUUUAUAUUUAGUACACAAUCUUAAACCAAAUAAAAAAUUUUAAAAAAAAUAGAAGAAGAAUAAAAGAAUGAUCAUGGAAAAGAAAAAAAAUCGCAAGAAGAAAGAUGAUGAAAAUGAAUGACAAAUCUGAAAUAUUUUUAAAAAAUUGUUAGAUAGGCUUUUUCAUUUUGUUAUACGAAACGUAAAUAUUUUUACUCUUGUUAUAUUGAUAAAAAUUAACAUUUUGGUAAUGUAUAUAUUUAUUUUGUUUUGAUUUCUAAACUUGAAAAAAAUAUAUAUUUUAUCCUUCAACUUUAAGACGAUCAUAUUUUUGUUUGUGUUAGAAUUUGAUAACUUUUAGUCGUAAAUGACCAGACGAUUCAUCGUAUUACUUAAAUUAAUAAAUAAUCAAGAAAUUUUACUUAUUGAUUUUAUAAAUCUUUAAUGUCAUCGCAAAAAUAUAAUCAAUACAUUUAUGUGAUAAACUCAAAAACUAAAUUUUGUUAUUUUUCUUUUCCAAAGCUCAAAUCUAUCACAUCCUCUCUCUUUCCGUCCUUUAUAUUUUUUUUAAAAAAAAUAAAAUAAAUCGCAAAGCUUAUAAGAAGAACAUUGAGUAGAAUUAAAAAAAUAAAAUAGAACUAGGUGUUGACAUCCCUUGCAACAUAAAAUAAACUAAAAAACUAAAAUAAGUACAAUUCACAUGUAAAAUAAACUUUACAAAACUAUGGAUAAAUAUUCCUACGAUGAAUCACACCCUCCUCAAAAAAGGAAAAAUAAAGAAUUUGGAGAAAAGAAAAAAUAAAUAUCUCAAACUUAAAUACACAAAAAAAAAUUGUAUGUCGAUGAAAUUUCUUCUAGCACAAGUACUUUGACAAAGUGAAGUAGAGUACUAAAGCUCCAAAAUAGUGCCGAUAAAAAUAUUGAAGGCAAAGUGACUUUUUGAGUUAUUAGUUGAUAAAACAUCAAUAUAAUUAAAAAUCAAAACCCUAUUAUUUGGUCAUCUACGUAUAAAAGCCACAUGUCACACCCUACCUCACACGCAUCCACAAUCUCGUUAUGUGGUACAAGAUGUGACUUAAGCAACCCUAGCACCUAAAGUGAAAUGUUAGAAUGCUCACUCAUGUCCUUACCCUUAUACUUAAACAUUUACCACGCAGCGAAAAUUUAUUAAACUUUAAAUAUAGUUGAUAAACACAAAUCAUUCCUUGUUACUUGAACAAAGUGUUCUUCAAUGCACUUCCCUUGGUACAAAAGAAAAUCUUAAACUUGAACGUCUUGCCUAGCUCUCACAAAAUUGAGAUGCAGCUCCUAGUGUACAAGACUUUUAUAAACAAUAUAAUUUCCUAAUUACAAGAAAUACAAAGUAAAAGAUCUUAGAUCCCUUGCUCAGCUUUCACGAGUAUCAACUCAUCUUAUAUUUUCUUAUUUGGCUUAAACGUCUGAUCACUUGAGGAGAGAAAACUUAAAACGUAAUAAGAAAACUCUUUCUCCUUCUCAAGCAUUCGAGAAAUACGUCGGCCACAACCCCCUCAUUCGCAAUUCUUCUUUCUCUUUUCCUCUCCUCCAGUCGACGCCACCAUCUAGCCACCAUUUACGUUGUUUGACUCACUGGACGAAGACUAACACGCUAGCUUUUCCAUCUCCCUCGCACGUUUGUUAUAUUUAUGAAAGUUAACCUUUAAUCUAUUGGUUGUAAUUAACUUUAGUCUAUGACUAGACUAAAAUAAAUGAGUUAUAGAAAUUUGAACCUCUUACCCCUAAAGAAUAAAAUAGUAUAUGUUAAAGUUACUUAUCAUGAUUCUAAGCUAAUUUUGGUGUAUAAUUUUAUAAUUUAAAUAUUAUUAACUCUUACGUGUUAUUGAACUAAAAAGAAGAAAAAGAAGAAAAAUUGUAUAAAAUAGAACAUUUGACAAACUAUUUACAUUUUAUAUCAUAUAAAAUGUAACAAAUUUUGUAUUUUAGUAAUUUUGUUAUAUGAAAUGUAAAUAGUUUGUCAAUUUUUUCUAUUUUUGAAAAUGCCCAAAAACUUGAUAUGUUUAUUUAUAUAAGGUUAAAAAAUUGUUUGAUGUAAUUUAUUAUAAUGUAGGAUAUUUUUUUCAUAUAUUACUACUUUGCUAUGUCUAAUAUUUGAUUAUGCUUAACAAUCAAUUAUUGGGUCAUUUCACUGAACUUCAACCACGUGAUGUGAGCUCCAAGACGGGUGGAAUCGACUCUUUUGAUAACGUUUUCUGUUUUUGUUUAUCAUCUUUUAAGAAACGAACUUGUUUUAUAAUUGUUUUUGUUUAACUAUUGGAGAAACAUUCUUCAAAUUAAGCAGCAGCAAAAGUGUUUCUCCUAUUCAUGUUUUUUUUAUUUUUAUUCUACUAUUUCGGGAUCAUUAGCUUUUGGUCUAUUGGAAUCAAGCAUCCAUGGUAACUGUCUCUCUUUUGAUACAAGUCAUCUGUUCGAAUCCCAUUUGAAAUUGAAUCAUAUUUUUAAUUUAACUUCUUAAAUUGCACUAGCAGUUAACCUGGUAGAUUUCUUAAAGCACCACAUAAACUACAAAAGUCUUGAGUUAAGUGUAAAAGUAAUGAAUGUUAUUUUAAAAUAUAUUUGCAAGAAUAUGGUGUAUGUAUCACAUUGAGAAUUUUAAGUAAUAAAAGCCCAUUUUCUGAUGUGUAGAAACAUUCUCAAAAAUUGCAUAAGGUAAAAAAUAUCACAGAGAAAAAAAAGUGGCCAUAGCACAAUCAACAUACAAAUGGUACAGGGACCAGAGUAAUUUACAAAUAAAUAAAUUUCCCCUUGUAACUGAAGACUUUCCACCCUUAAAAUAACUAUAUAAGAUUUACAUUUAUUUAGUAUUCAAUUUUCAAGUUCUGUAAUUCUAACAAAGUAAAAAACAGAUAAAAGUAACCAUUAUCUUGUCUUGAACAAAAAUAUACAUUCUCUAUAAAUUCACAAUUACCUACCUAAAGAAUACGAUUCUAAUUACUUACAACAACUAAAGCAUCCUUAGUAACUUGAUUUACCAAAAGAAUCAGGGCUGGCAAAAUAGGUUCAUGUGGUCAGGGAAUAUCGAAAUCAAUUGGCACCGGUGAUAUACAUUUAGUUUGGGUUGUCAACAGUAUACACGUAAACUUGUCAAGGAUCUCUAUUAGAAUUAUUAUUUAACAAAACCAAAUUAUUAGUAGCUUUUGAGGGUGGCCUAUUGAUCUUCUCUAAUAAUCUACUGAAUACUAAUUUUACUGGUAUGCAUGCUACAGUUGGGGGCCCAGAAGAUUCUGGUUUGAUAGAUCCAUUAAUUUGACAACUUACACUAUCAUGUAUUGGCAUGUUACCAAAAUUCUGCUCAACAUCUAUUGAAGAUAAAGUUCUAGUCUUCUGGUUAGAUGAUAAGCUUACUUUCUUAGCCAUCUUUUUUGGGAGCCUUCUAUCAUUUGAAGGUCCUCGGGGAAUGUGAGGCUGGCCUGCCUUCGAAAGGUAGACCCCAGUUUUUACUUUUUUCAAUCUUGAUUUCCUUUCUUGUGAAUCAUAACCAGCUUCUUCACCAACCGGUACUGUUGGUAAAUGAGGGCGAGGGAUACGAACAUUUGCCGUCCUCCUUGCAGUCCUCCAAGCUGGUUGGAGCGCUGUGCUUCCAUCAUUUUCACUAGGUGCAUUGCCUAGACUAUCAGAAAGAAUAGUUUCAGAAAAACCAUCUUCUAGAGUUUCGAUUUGAAUAGGAUGCCCAAUUAUAGCUUGCCCAUUUAACUUGCUCAUAAGUGAUACGAUAGGAACAGGCUCUUUUUGGUAACUUGCAUGGACCUUCAGAUCAACAUCUAUUAAUAUAGUUCUUGGCCUCUCACCAAAAUGAUGAGGUAUACCAUAUAAGGGAUUUUUUACAUCCCAAUAUCCUUUCAAAGCAGGUUGACCUUCCCAGUCAGGCAAAUAAUUUCUGACAAAAUAUUGAUCUUUUGAUACCAUUUUAGACGUCAAGUAAUAUUCCUCUUCCAAUGCAUCAACUCCAUCCAUGCUAUCAUCAAAGUAAUCAUUCCUAUUAUUGAGUCUUGUUCGGGCAUGUACCCAUAGGUGGCUUGAUGGUUCCUCAUCUACUCCAACGAGUUUUUUAGAAAAAUUACGAACAUUUCUUUUUCCCUUCAAUUUCCACUUGGACACUGCUUCAUUAGUAGAUACAGGGUCGUGAUGAUAAAGGUGAGACAUAUCACCCGAAUGCACAGAAUCAUCAGGUUCCUCGCUGCUCAUAUUUCCAUGCUCCCGUGUGUCCGUUCUUUCAAAUGUACUCAGCUCCUUUUCUGAAGGCAAAGUAGAAUCUGAAAAAAAAAAACAAAUAUAUGGAAUAAAUUAACGAAGCAAUGAAACACUAAGCGCAAAAGCCAAGGAAUACUAACUGCAGACCAGUUGUACAAUUCAGAGAUCUAAACAUGGAGAACAAGGAAAGUUUUCUUUCUUUUUCCUUUCCUUUUUGUAGUAACAAGGUUGCCAUCAAAGGGGAAUGAAAAGAAACUCACAUUCCAAAACACCAAAUUUGUAGUUCACAUUUUUUGUUUCCACGAUUAUCGAGAAAAUUCCUCAAUCAAGCAAAUGCUAGAAGCAACAUAUAUAGCAAUUUGGUAUAUCAUAUCUCAGUGACAAAUUUAUCUUUGCAUGUAAACAACUACAUCUAAUAUAGAAUACCAAAGAGAAGGAACAAAACAUCACCAGACCUUUAAAAACAAUACGAGCAUUGAAAAUUCAGCUUCAGAAUUGAACUUCUCGUGUCUUAAUUUUUUUUAAAAAAGUGAACGUUAAAACUGAUGCAAUCUGGAAAAAAUAUUUGAAUGCCUGGACUUACUAAUUCCAACUCACUAACAACACUACUAGCACAACUAAGGGCAUAUAGCUAAGAAGGAAAACAUCCUAGUGUACACACAUGUACAGAGACAGAACAAGUUGGACUAGGAUAAGAUGAGUAAUGAAUAAUGAUCAAAAUCACCUAAUUACAUAUUCUACCUUGAACUGUGACUUCAACCACGACUGAUCGUCACCCUAAGCAUCUGGUGAAAGGAUCACAAUGUAGCCUAGAAAUAUACCUAAAUAAGCACGUCAAAUGUGCUAGAGACUCCAAGACCGUUCACAAUUACAAUAUUGGAUGUGUGGAAGCUCAAAACAUUCAAUAAAAACAACUAAGAAGGCGAUCAUUUAAGAAAAAUGAGACUAUUCUAUUAAUGAGGAUAAGCAUUCAAGUGUAACACAUCACUGAAAUCUGUAGCAGAAAUUAAUAGUGCAAUAUCCAUAUGACAAACAUCCAUCUAUAUGAGAAAUACAUAAUAACCUGAAAGUGCAGUCAUCUCAUUAUCCAUGUCCUGAUCUGACCUGGAAGAAUCGGAAUCAGUCUCUGAGUCAGAAGAAUCAUUUUCAGAUGAACCAGAAGCAUUUCCUUCGAGAAGGGAAUUAGGCUGGGAAGGCAUAACCCCAGUUCCUAAAUCAGGUGUUGACAUCUCAACUUGACCUAGAGAAGAUUCUCUGCAUUCCAAUGAAUCACUAGAAUCAGCUGGAAGAUACAUACACUUGCUCCUCUUCGCCCGAUCGAUUUGCUGCAUCCCUGAAGAAUAAAAAAAUAUGAUCAGUCAAUCUAGCUACCUGUGGCAGUUUACUUUGGGAUUGUUCAGGACUGGCUGAUCAAGACGAGCAUUUGGACAUCCCUUGUCCAGUUCCUCAAUGAACAAUUCAAUAUAUUAAAACUAAAAAGUCCUUACCAUUUGCAUCGCUGUCAUUUCCAAUGUUACAACCACCGGAAGGAGCCAGAGCAUUGGUAUCAGUUGCAAGCAUUUCAAAACCAUUCGAGACAACAGAAGAAGAUAAAAACUUUCUUUUCGAAGAAGUUAUUCUGAGUCCAAAGUCCUGCAAGCCUCUCAUUCUCGGUCUUGAUUCAGAAUGGUCAUCCUCACCACUACGCUGUGCUCCUUCAUUUGCUUUAAGACAUGGUUCCGUGAUUUCAUUGUCAUAGCUUACAUGUAUUGUCUUAGAAAACUGGUGUGAUUCAGAAUGUCCAUCGUUGUGAUCAUCAGUUCCUAUAUGUUCUGAGAAAAGUAUUCCCUCCUUUGCAGUGGCACCAGGGGAUUCAAUAGUCAUUUGAUCAGAAUAUAAGUUAAGUUUUCCUUGCUUAUUCAGUAGUUCCUUCUCAAGUUCAAGAGCAUGAAGAAUAGCAUCCUCCCUUCGCGCAUAUUUCUCUCUCUUCUUUAUUGGCAUGCCUUGCGAGGACUCUGCCCUUUCAAUACAAUCAUCAAACUCACCACAUCGAAAUGGUUUUACUCGCUUGGACUUCUCUAAAUUGUACCAAUCCCUGAAAAAUAGAUGAAGAUAUCAAAUACUAUAUACUGAUGAUAAUAACAAUUUUAUAGAAUUAAGAACAUAACAAUAACAUUUUUAUAAAAAAAAAUUAGUACGAAGCAUGGAUGCAACCUUCUUGCUUAUAUAUGAUAUUGAAAAAAUCAAAUGAAUUACCAAACUGAUGUAGUAUAUACGUUACUGUUUGUUGAAUACUUCAUAUUCCUUCAAUUCACUUCAACACUAGGUGUAUCCAAGAAAUAUCCAAGAUCUACCAACAAACUUCCAGGAACAACCAAGAUUAGGGAUAUAUCAUAGGAGACAUCUGCAUGUUCUGGAUUCAUCAACAUCAAGUGAGGAAGAAGAAGAGGAAUUGAAGGAAUAUGACGGAGAAAUGGCACGUAGGCAACAAUUUGAAGCUGGAAGGGUUUUAGACUGUAAAGUCACAAGGUAAAACUAGAUCUGCCAUUUUUUUAUAAGAAAUGGGAUAUUGAAGAUUUUUUCGAUUGGAUAAGGGGUGGAAAGCUUUAUCAACUACACGAACACAUCAAAUAACAAAAAGGUAAGUUUGGUAGCUCUAAAAUUGAAAGGAGGUGCUUCUACAUGUUGGAAACUAACAGAAGAAAACAGAAUGAGGUAUGGAAAAGAAUUAAAAAGAUUGACGAGAAUGUUAAAGGACAGAUUCCUACCCUUACUGCCACACAUUAGAAACAAACCCUGUGUAAUCAAAUAUCAAAAUUGCCAACAAGGUUCAAGAAGCAUUUCUAACUACACGAAAUAAUUUCAUAGGUUAGGAGCAAGAACAAACUUAGCUGAGAGUGAAAAUCAUCUUAUAGCUUGAUUUGUGAGGUUUAUAAAUGGACAUCAAUGAAAAGAUUAAGGUACGUCCCAUUGGUUUACUAUCAAAUGCAAUAUCUUUGGCUGAAAGCCUGAAACCAUUGAAGAAAUGAAUGAACUUCAAUCAAGAAGGUCUAACAAAAGGACUUCUUGGGAAAACAAAAGUGAAGGUUUCAAGAGGAACAAAGUGACAUAUAACAGAGCCAUUCCCUCAUCAUCUAAUGUUGGAACAAAAGGAAAGAAAAUUGAACAACCAACAAUUGAAGACAAAGCUACAAUGCAAUAUAUUUGGCUGAAGCCAUCAAAGAAAUGAAUGAACUUCAAUCAAGGUCUAACUGAAGGACUUCUUUGGAAAACAAGAGUGGAGGGUUCAAGAGGAACAACAUGACAAACAAAAAGAUUCCCUCGUCAUCUAAUGUUGGAACAACAGGAAAGAAAAUUGAACCACCACCAGCCAAAGACAAAAUGCCUAAACCUUCUUAGAGAAAGCACAAAAUCCAUACAAUCAUCCAAGUAUGGGAAAAUGUUUCCGUGGUGUCCAAGUGGGACAUCUCUUCAACAAUUGUCCUUCAAGAAAGACCAUAGCAACGGUGGAAGAUUGAGGAGCACACCUCAUCCCAUUUAAGGUCAUCAUUCAGCAGUAUGAAGAUUGAGGAGCAAACUUUUAAGGCGUUGAAAGAUAGUUAUGCAAAGAAGGUGAAGCCAAUGAGUUACGUUCAUUUCUCUGCUCUAGCACUUGAAAAACAGAGCAUGAACCAUUAUUGGAUUAUCAAGAAUCCAGAAGUUGGCAAAAUUGGUUUCAACAAUCUUUAGACUGUUACAAGAUUGUUCGAGUUUGAUAAAUGUAAAAUUAUUCCUUGAUUCUAUUGUCAUUAUCAAUCCUCUAUCUGCGGGAAGUGCUUUACUUCAUUUGGAUCAAGGUGAGGUGGAAGACUUUGUUGAAAACCCAGGGAAAUGGCAAGUUUGUUGCCACUUUCAUUUAAAAUUGAUAAGGUGGAAGCGGGUACAUGGUCAUCUGAAAGUAGUGAAGGGCUAUGGUGGGUGGGUAUCAAUUAAAAACUUACCCUUAACUACUAGAGCCAGUAAACCUUUGAAGCUAUUGCGUCUUAUUUCGGCAGUCUAGUAUCUAUUGCAAAUGAAGCAUCGAACUAAAAAAUUACCCUUAACUACUGGAGCCAGCAAAAGUUUGAAGCUAUUGCAUCUUAUUUUGGCGGUCUAGUAUCUAUUGCAAAUGAAACAUUGAACGUUGUUAAUGUUGCUUCAAAAAAUUAAGUUCAGAAAAAUAUAUACCCUCUCCCCCCCCCCCCCCCCCCCCCCCAAAAAAAAAGAAAAAUCAAAGUUCAAGGUGCUUUAUUUAUAAAAAGUUUCUCCAGCCCAAUCGACUUGGCUCGUCUAAAGCAAGUUUUGGUUGAUGAAGAGUAAAAUUCUUUUAGAAGAGGCUUGUAAAGCUACCCCUUAUAACCCAGAAAUUUUUUCAAGAAAUCCAUUCACAUCUUGUUUGUUGAUGCUUCAAAAAGAAAACCAGAUUCCAAAAAUACUCCCGGCCACUUUCUUCCUGCCGACGAUGGAAGAUCCAAGGAGAAUAAAUCAAACUCAUGCUUGUCAGAAGAGAGGGGGCUAGGACAGCACGUGGAGUUCUUGAAAGUGGUCCAAGGGUUGCAAAUCCUCUUGGCAUGAAAAGCCUCUCUCAAAAUUUGCCAAAAGACAGGCCAUUAAAGAGUUGUUUUUUAAAGAGGAGAGAGAAGAAGAAAAAGGUCCCUGAAAGUGAAAGGAAAAAAGCAGGGGAAGUCGAAGAGCAGCCCUUAGAGAGGAAAGAGAAUUUUUCGACUAAACAUACUUUAUUGCCAAAUGGAAUUCCAAGUAUCAGCACAGAUGGAAGGCAGGUCUUUGUAAGUCACUUCCCUCAUCCUUGUCGAAGUCUUUUGCUUCAUCCCCACUGCAGAUUCUGUGCCCACUAAAUCCCCUCCGUAAAAGCUUCAUCUUCCAACUCUUCCUCCGUAGAUUUUUCUUCUUCUUCCCUCUCUUCCUCAGCCAAAUUUGGGUCAAAGGCUAAGUCUUAGAAACAUCCAAAAUCAAGGAUUCUCCCAAAUCUCUUCAAGACUUUCCCAAAGCAUUUUGUUAAACGGAAAAGGGUUAAAGAGGCCUUAAAAAAAAGUUUACAAAAUAAAAAAUGAUUUUGGAUCAGAACUCUGAUUUUAGAGGCAAAUCAUGCUCUUUUGCAAGCUCCUUUUCAAUCAAACAAGUCAAUUCCUCAAAGAGUGAUUCAUCCUCAUUUUAAAUACAUAGUUUUCUUUUUGCCUAAUUCAAAAGUUAAUUUUUGUAGAGAUUCUCCUACCCAAACUCUACUCGCUUCAUCAAGAAAGAAGAGUCUCAAAUUUCGACUCUCCUUUUAGUGUGAGCAGAGAGGAAACCGAACAUAUGCCAAAGACAGCAGAGAAGGAUGACCAGUCGAUUAAGGAUCCUUUAGAGUCUGAUCUUAAUACCUUGUUUCUUUUAUUAAUACAUUUAAUAAAGAGGCUCGUAUCCGUUUCAAAAAAACAAAAAGAACCCUAAACAACUUAGUUUUGAGAAAUUAAAAGAACACUAGUCCAAAGUGGCAAAUCUUUGUAAGAAAACAAAGUGGCAAAUCCUCUUCAUAAAAAAGAAAACAUACUUACCAAGAAGUGACGUGACUACUUUUGAACAUCUUCCCGACUCAUAUGCUAAUGAUCCAGACUUCUAAACCCUUGAUUACAAUGUCCAAAUAACAUUGAUUCUGCUGAAUUGCAUAUUUAAUGGUUAUCUUAGAUUUAUCAUGCAUUCCUCACACAUCUUUGAGAGAGAAUCUUACUAAAGAACUCCACUCUAGUGGUCUUUCCAGUCAUUUUGGAAGGGACAAAACAAUGGAUAUUGAAACAUAAUAGGAAAUUCAUUAAGCAGCAUUAAACUUAAGGAUAAAGCAAUGGGUUUCCUUGAAAACCAGGUUUGGCUACAGUAGUACCAGAAGAAUAAGAGAGACUAGCAUAGCAUUCUCCAAGCUCUUCGUUUUCAAGUGUCCAAAUAUCUAAUUGAAUUCCUGCCUCGUCAACUUCUGGCUACAAAAAAUUGGUUCCCAUAGUAAAAUUAGCAGUCCAACCAACAAAAGCUCAAGAAGCAUCACCUUAAACUCUUCAAGUAAACAACAAUUCCAAUUUCCAGCCAAAAAGCCAGCCCAUUUUAAAAGAGCAGACGAAAAGGGUAACUAAUGAACUCAUCCUUUCUCUAGCAGUUGAAGCAUGCUUAUGGAAGGAUGUAGAUAUGCAGAUUCUUCCUUUAGACCUCAUGGUUGUGCCUUUAAGAUAAGGGACUGCAAAGAACUUUACCUUUUCGUGAAUUUUAAAUCCACAAGUUUAAUCUUAGGUCCGUUUCAAGAUUGUCAUUAUUCUUUAGUAAGAGGGUGGGUAAUUUUCCGAGUAUUUACCAAAAUCUCCCUUCAAAAUUAAGCUAUCUUGACGGGAUUAGAGGCCACAUUUUCCAAUAUUUUUAAAAACCAGCCAGUCUUCAAACUCUGUAUCCUGUAGAUUCCUUCUUGAAUCUAGAUUAAAUGUAAAUCAUUAGAAUCCCAAAAUCCUCUGCCACCAAUUUAUCUUUCAAGCGAUAGCAUAAAGGUUUAAACAAAUGAAAGAAAGAGAAGAAUUUGGCAGCCAAUGGUCUUCCCAAAUCCCAGAACCAGACUUCGGUUCCUUUCUUCUAAACUAAAGACCAACUAGGUCUUUCCCACGUUUCUGCACUUGGAGCAAACCAAGGAGCUUCGGGAAACUUCUAACAUUCCAAAUCAACUAGUCCGUCCCACAGAUGCUAGCAAUGAAAAUGACGAAACAUAUUGUUGUUACUUGAUUUUUUGCAUCUUUAAAACACUUAUCUUCUAGGCACAGUUGUUGAUUGGGGUAUUUUCACCCAAUUGGAGAUUUCUUUGUGGUAGCUGUAAAGUCCUUUGCAUGAACGUAUUUGAAACGAGAAAAGCUAAUGGUAGCUAUUUGGUGUGUGCACUGAUUUAUGUCCUGUUUGGUAACCAUUUCAUUUUUUAUUUUUGAAGAUUAAGCCUAUUUCAUCCCCCUUUCUUACAAUAAUUUGAAUCUUUCUUAAGUACUAUGGUUGAAUUCUUAGUCAAAUUCCAAAAACAAAAACAAGUUUUUAAAAAUUACUUUUUUAUUUAGUUUUCAAAAUCUAGCUUAGUUUUCUAAACUAUUAUAGAUAACAAAAGAAGAAAUUUGGAGGUGUAAGCAAUGUCUACAGACUUAAUUUAAAAAAAUAAAUGGUUACUAAAAGUAGCCUUACCUAUUUGGUUGAAUUGCACCUACCUUUUGAAUUUUGAGUUCAGUGGACACUUUUUCUAUGCAAGAAGCUAUCGGUGUAAUCAAAUUAUAGUUUCCAUAUGGAACAACCUCCUAGUGGGAAAACCCCAAGUAGGAACAAAAGUAUCAUAACAAUUUUGACUAAUCUUCUUAGUUAAUUAAUCAUCAACUGUAGUUUUGGAUACUAAUGCAUAUGUUUAUCGACCUGAGUAGAAACAGCCAAUAAACCCAUCUUAUAGCAAAUAAACCUCUACCAAAUUCUCUGUACUUCGUAAUUUCCUAAAGUAAAUAGUGAAAUAAUCUAGUCUGAUUUUGGAUACUAAGGCAUAAGGCAUAAGGCAUAAGGCAGUAUCCCUAAACAUGCACUUUCGUCAUCUAAAACUCAACGUGUUAUUGAAAGCAUUGGGUAUUUCCCACCUUUCUUCAGUAUUCAAGCUUCAAACGAAGAAAGAAAUAUAAGCCAGUGUAAGUGAAGACAUAAACGAUGAAACAGAGGAACCUAACUAAACAACAAAUGAGGAAAAAAGGUAGAGAAUUCAAAGGAUCCUAACUUACACACUGGCAUCUUCUCUUCCAAGGAGCUUGACCGGAGUUCCAGAUCGAGGUGACGUAAGGUGCGAAGAUGAAAGGUCAUCAGAACCCAAGAUUUUACCAGGCCACCAUGAACCAUUCCUCCUUCGAACCCACACGAUCGAUCCCACAGCAUAAUCAACCGCACCAGAUCCAGGACUCCCCAUUCUCUGUCCAAUUUUUUUCUCUCUUAACCUAUCUAAGCCUUUUUCUCUCUCUCACCCCCCCACUGCUGGUUCAAGUAAAUCAACACGCAAGCAACAUCAAGUCAACCUCCGGCGAAGAAGAGUGAGGUUCGGAGAAUAAUCCGACAGUGCGCAAAGAUGCAGGAUCCACAAAGAUCAAUACGGAUUGUGAUUAGGGUUUCCAUUCAAAUUUGGGGAUUUUUCAUUUCUAGGGUUCCUGAUUAGAAAAAAAAUUGAAAAAACACGCAAACUAGAAGAGAAAUUGACAUUUUUAGCCCCUUUUUAGUUUUUUUCUUUUCUUUUUAAUUCAGUUUUGGAUUCUUUUUGAAAAAAUCGUUUUGUGAACUUCUACGAAAGGUGAGAUAAGCAUUUGAAACUUUUACUCUUACCUCCUACGUAAUAAGGCGAGAGUAUAUUAAAAGAGAAUGGGUGCAAAAAUCAUCCACAUAACAAUGCUGGUGCAUAACAACUCACGCUCAAUAACCCUCGCUAUCCAAUCUACAUUGUCAACUUGAAGUUGAGAGUUACAAAAUUUUGUUUCAAUCCAAUUCAAUCCGAAUUAAUAAUAUAUAUAUAUAUAUAUAUUUAUAUUUUAUUAUUUAUUUAAUAAAAGUAUUUUGUUAAAACAAAUGUAUAGAAAUUUAAACGAUCGUAUGAAAAGUUAGUCUGUGCGAGAAGUAAACAAUUGUUUGAAGGUAGAAAGCUAAACGAUCACGUAAGAGAGUAUACGAUCGUUUAGAAAGUUAAAUAAUCGUGUAGGAGGUUGUAGGGUAAACAAUCGUGAUAACAUUUAUUAGGAGAUUACGCAUAGUCUAUAGAGUAAAUAGUUUAUUUGGAUAUAUUUUAUAAAUAUUUUCAACAUUUUCAAAUGAUACUGAGAAUUUAAUGAAAAUUUUAUAUUAAAAAUGUGAAUCAGAGAUUAAAUUAAAGCAAAAUAUAAAUAUAAAUUUCGAUAAUGAGUUUGUAACAUUUUGAAAUUUAUGGACUAAUAACUUAAUGAAUAAAUGUAUAUCAUCGAUAAAAAAGAUACAACAUUCCUCUCGAAUUAACAGAGCGAUCGAGAAUUUACAACGUUAACAACGUAGUAAUUAAGACAAAUGAUGGUAAGAAAAAUAAGAUUAUUUAAUUAAAUAAAUUUAUGAAAUUUGUGUAUUGAAUCUACAUUAUAUAUUUUAGAAGAAAAAAUAAAUCAUAACACCAUUAUCAUAAUUCUUCCCCCAAACACAUUUCAUAACACUACCUACGUAACAUUUCUCAUAAACAGAUCUUAUCACAACAGUAUCAUAACACUAGCUACAUAACUUUUUUCCCAAACACAUAGUAUCAUAACAUUACCUACCAUAAUCCUUCUCCCAAACAUUGAUGAAAAUUAUAUAUAUAUAAUUAUUAUGAAAAAGGAGAAAGUACUUAUAUCCGAAGAAAAUAAUUAUUAAGGAAAAGUUAACGUUAUUUUGGGAAAAGAGAAGAAACUGGGGUGAUGUGAGAAUUAACGGAAGGAGAAAAUAAUUUAUUAUUUUGAAAAGGAAAAGGAAAAAGGAAGAUAAUGAUAUUGAUAAUAAUAAUAUAAUAUAUUAUUAUUAUGUUAAUUUCAAUGGAUGCAGUUGAUUGCAAAUGAAAAUGACAACCUUUAUGAAGUGGUCAAAGAAAGUAUCCUUGCGUCAAGCUAAUGAGAUUCAUGUUUCACCUAUUCCUGCAAAAAGGACCAAAAAAGAUCAUUUGGACAUUGCAAUGAGCAAUCAUGAUGCAGAGAGUCAUGAUGCGAAUGAUCUAUGGAGAUUAGGAACGAUGCGGUCAGAAAAACUAUGUAGAGCAUAAGCGAUGAUACCACAAUUCGUCCUCGCCAAAGAACUUGAACGCAUGGAUAGAUUUGUAAUAUAUAAUUCUUCCAAUUUUCUUUUGUACUAAGAUAUGCAUCCUUAUAUUGGUGUACAUAUUUACUUAUAUCCCUAUACCUCUGUAAGUAUUCUUAUACUUGUACAUCAAUUUUGUAUUCUGUUUUUGUAUAUCCUUUAAUCUUAUAAUGGGGAUCAUGUGGUAUACCACAAAGUUAUAAACCGACAAGGUAAGGUAAAGACAAAGAGACUAACCUAUGAGAAGGUGUGAGUCAGACUCAUUAGGUAUUCUGACCCUCUUGUACGAUUUGGCUGGGUUAGGUUUCAUUACAAAGAAUAGGAUUCUUAGGAAGUACUAAUCAUCCAAUCAAGCCUUAAAGUUCUUUAACUUCCAAGAAAUAAUGAGUACGUCGUACCUCGGGCCACGAGUAGUCUGUCAAGUUUAUCAAGUCACAUUUAAUUUGACAAGACUCUAAUAGUGAAAUAACCAAACCUUUAACCCUAGUUAAGAUUGCCAAUUUAAACAGCCCCAAAAACUUCAAAUCCUAACCUCAAGAUAAGCAAAACUUCGCCCUCAACUUAUUCUCUUUCUCCUUUCACAACUCUUUAGGUUGCAUUUCUCUUUUUCCCAAUACCACUAUUUUUCGAGUGUGCUUCUCUGUUUUUUUAGUUCCUCAUACCCACCAAGUACAAUAAUGAAACAAGUCUGACGUGGUGAGUAUGUGGGAAGAAGGAAAAAGAAAAAUACAACCUAGAAUAAUUAUGACAAUUAGAGAUAAGGAAGCCCACAUCAUAGGAACUCAGGUAGCACUACAUUAUUUACCUUCAAGCUUCUUGUCUCUUCAAUCAACAUCCUUCUUUAAGUUGUAUUUUUCUUCCUCCCUUCUUCCUAUUGUCCACUCUGUACAAGAGUGAAACAUAUUAGUGGAACUACACGGAAGAAGAAGAAAGGAAAAUACAACUUAAGAAAGAUGAUGGUCUAUAGCAAGAGAAUGUCAAUGUCAAGAAUAUAAAAAUGACAGCCGUGAAAAGAGGUCACCCACAAAUGAUCGCAUUGAUGAGGUGGCAACAAUUGUUAGUAUGCACCGCCACCGCAAGCUCAAUUGGGACCUCUUUAGAAUUUUAUGACAUUCCUUCAUAUUUUAAUUAAACUUUAUGUAAUUUUUAUUUAUGUUUACGUAUGUUCAUUACAAUAUAUGUCACAACUUAUGAUAUAAUUCUUAUGCGUUUAAUCUUUUUUGUCACAAGUUUGGCUCCCCGCUUUUUAGUAUUCUAAUUUUUCUUCGCGAUUCAAUAACACUUCAAUAAAAUAAAUUAUGUGACAUAAAGUUUCAUUUGUUAUCUAGGCGUUUAACUUGUUAAGGAACCUUACUUAGAAAAUAUUUCUCUAGUUUAUUAGGCGAGCAAGUUUUACCUCAAACCUCUUUUGUAGAUUUUUCUGCGAAUAAUCUUAUCAUUCACUUUAGCAAUGAGGACAUUGCAGCCUCUAAAUUUAGGGGUGUGCGAGAUCCGCAUAAAAACUUUUGAAACCUUUUUAGAAAUCCUCUUAAGGCGUUUUAAUAAAAGUUAAAACUAAGCCAACAAGUGAAAAUUUUAAAAUUAUGUAUUCCUUUAUUCAAGUAAAAUAGCAACUCCUAUGUUGCCUCUCUCGCAAAAAUAAGAAGCAUACCUUCAAAAGUAAAAAUCAGAGAGUUGAGUAAUAAGAGGUGAUGCAAGUUACACUUGAGGAGAGAAAUUGACUCAUAGAGUACCUAUGGCUUUCCACUGAACGCCAAAUCCAAUGUAAAUGUAAUAAAAGCAUUCUUGUCCUCUAGUGAGCCUUUCUCAUGUGAUGAUGUGGUUCCUCAUCUGGAGAUGUUAAUCGCCCAAUGAGUUCCCAUCACGCCUUUGCGCAAGAUGUCUCCUGCGAUUCACUAGUUUAUUUCUUUGUUCAUUAUCCUGCAUUUAGACAUGUCAACCGCGUAAAACAGACAUGAUACUUAUGUAAGAUGUAUUUUUAAAUACUUAUGUAAGAUGUAUUUUUAAAUACUUAUGUAUUUACAACAUAAGUUACAUGUUUUGAUCAUCUUCUUAUGCGUUUGACCUCAUUAUUCUAAUAAAAGAGAUUAUAAUAACUCAUAUUUAUAUACACGUUAUCAAAGGUUCACUAUAAAACAAGAAUGGUAGUUGGAGAAUGUGAUGUGUUGCAGGCCACUUUUUAUGUGUCAAAGUGAUGUUCUUUCUCUUCUUUUACCUUGGCCUAAACUCUCCUCUCUGUUGGAUUUUGUCUGGCUAAAAGAGUUUCAUUAUCUUCAUCCUUUUCAUUUUCAACUCCUUCAUUCAAGACUUCCCCUUGGUGACGAUUCCUUAAUGCUACAUUCAUCCUAUCUAAUCGAUCUGUCAAGUCAUUAAUUACUUGAGUUAAACGAACAAUUGCUCCUCCUUGUGCUUCGAUCCUCCUAGCUUCACUAAUCUCCCCAUCAUUUUUUGCUUUUUGAUUCAUAUUGAAUAGAUUAAAAGGGGCCUCACACACUCAACUCACUAAUUGUUUACUCGGAACACUCGUGUUUACACACAAAAGGUAGGCUAUUUGGAAAAGUAGCUAAAUUUUGAUAUUGGAUAGGCCUUUGCAAUCCUUGAAAUAGUGAGCUAUUCAAUAUAAGCAAGACAAGAUAAUUAUGAAGUUAACCCCAAAAAGAACAUAAAAAAUGAAAGGUUCAAACAAAUAAGGAAGCUUAAAAUUUUCGGAUGAAACUAAACACAUAAAUUGAUUUGCAAAUAGAAAAAUUUUAAGAAAUGAAUUUGACAAACUAUACUUCUUGGAAGUUGAAGAUAAUAGGUGGAUCUAAUAGUUUGUUGAAGGGCACAAGGUGAAAUUCAAUAGUUUACAAGGAGAAAGAAAAUGAGAGAAGUUUGAAAGUCACAUAGAAUGGAAGAAAACAUGCAAAAAGUUAAUGUAAUAACUCAAUUGCGUAGAAUUUGAUUACAAAUAAAGAUUAAUCACAAUUUUUUUUUUAAUAAUUGCAAGAACAAAUUUUCUUUUCAAUAUGUAAGACAUAAAAAGAUUAAAGUAAGAUAAAAAUAUUAAGAACGAUAGAUGAAUGACAAUAAUUGAUAAGAUGAAACUAAAAACAAGAAUCAAAAGUUUGUAAGAAAGAAAGAUAGAAUCAAUCUUAGAGUAGGCCACAAAGAUGCAACAUAGGCUAUGAUACCAAAUGAUAAGACAAUUCUAAUCCUCAAUCCAAAUAUCCAAGUUAUUAACGUAGCAAGAACCUUUGAAAUAAGAAACUAACACCUUCUUAUACUAAUUUAGAUCAACCAAUAAAAAGUUACGAUUAGAUUACCUCUUAGAUCGAAGAUCUAGAAGCAGUAUUUGAAAAUCUUGUUCUAAAUUGAGUCAUUCCACAAUCAAACUUGAUCAGUGUUAGAUUGAAUGGCUCGCAUGCAUUCUAUCACAUGAAUUACAAAUUGAAGGAAAACUCUAAAAAAAACUGAGAUUUCAAAUUGUAUUCAUCAAAAGUAGAUAAAGACAUUAUAUAGACUUGUAGAUGUUCUAUCCUAAUUAAUGAAAAUACCAAAAGUCUUUAAAACGUUAAUAUUAAUAGCUUAGUAUAGCAUAGUAAUGGUACUUACCCUAGCUUGUUAAAUUAAAACAAGUGAAAAUGCAAUAAAAAUGGUCAUAAAUUGUUAAAUUAAAACAAAUGAAAAUACAAUAAAGAUGGUAUUCAAAUUGUUGGCUUCAAGGAAGCUUCCUGUCUACCCCAUAGUCCACUUCAAUCGAAAAAACAUUGACCUUCAAUCGAAAAAACAUUGACCUUCAAUCGAAAAAACAUUUGACCUUCAAAUCUUCAAAUGGUCCUUCGUCUUUUCUAUUAGUAUGUAGCACAUGAAAUUUGAACUGACUCUAUCCAUACACAUGAAGAACGUUAAAUAUUUGAUGCUUUAGAUCUUACAAUUGGUCCUUCCUAAACUUCUUAUACAUGAAGAGUGAAUGCUUUAGAUCUUGUAAUUGGUCAUUCUUAAACUUUUUAUAUCUUGUAAUUGGUCCUUCUUAAACUUUUUAUACAUGAAAAAUAAAUGAUGAUUUUUGGGUUAUUCAUCUAAUGGACUAGAAAAAAUUGUAUUCCUCCAACAUAUUCGUCAAAUUUCUGUCCUCAUCUGAAAAGCUAAUAAUUAAGAUUUUUCUUUUAAAAAAAUCUUAUGAAAUGAUUAAAAAAUAUAUAAUCAAAACAUGUCAUAAAGUUCUUGUCAAUCUUCCAUUAUUUUCACCAAAAAGGUUGGCACACUCUUCUGAUGUAUGUAAUUUAACAUUUUCUCCUUCUGUGAGAAUCGAAAGUAAAGAAGCAAAAAAUGAGCAAACUCCAUGGAGAGAAUAUUGAAUUAGUUUGCAAAGGUAGGCUACAUCUUAUCAUAUUUAGUCCUAAAUCAAAAGGUUCACCAACGAUUCUCAAACAAAAGACCCUGCCUGCAUAAUCCAAUAUCAACUUUGCCAACGAAGGCUACAAAAGACCCUGCCUGCAUAAUCCAAUAUUUAGUCCUAAAUCAAAAGGUUCACCAACGAUUCUCAAACAAAAGACCCUGCCUGCAUAAUCCAAUAUCAACUUUGCCAACGAAGGCUACAAGAAACCACAAAAAUUGAGUGACGAGCCAUCCCUGCUCCAACCAACCAAGCAGGACAGUAUGGAAAGAUGAGAAUUGAAAUAGUUCUGUCACAGAGUUGCUCAAGAACAAUUGAACAAACCAAGCAUUCAAUUCAAAUUAGAUUAACUAUCAACUGUAAACAAUCUUUAGUGAUAAUACAAAAACUUCUCUACGUCAUACUUUAUGCUGUUCUGAAUAUUGCACAUCUUAACAAACUUAAUAUACAAUUCAAUAGGCUGCAGAGAAUAACUUUCAAGCCUUGUCCCGGUAAAUUAAAUGCUUGGGGAAACCUGCAAUCCACUCGUUCAUUAGCUUUAUAUCCAUAUUUGUGUUGGUUUUCUUAAAAACAAAAAAUGAAGAAGGCUGGAAAACUCAUAAAGACUACCUCAAAUAUCUUUUUUGCAAUUUCAGGAUAACAUCUUGUGCUGUCAACUGGUUCUCCACAUUUACGAAGGGCACCAUCACCUCCAAAGAGGUAGGACCAUUUUAAAGUUUGAACAUUUUAUUCAAAUUUGUUCUCCACAUUGACCAAGAGGCUACGAAACCUGCCAAGAAAGGUGAUCAAAGUCAAACAUCAGUAAUUAGAUUUAAACAAAUUGCAAAGCAAGAAGCAUUAAACGACAAGCAUAACUAAAAUCACACGAUUAGGAAAAUGACCAAACCCCUGCUGAAUAAGAAAAAAAAGAGCCUCAAGGACAUCUUGGUAAUAAAAUAAGGAAACAACAAAUAUAUUAGAUAUGAACAAUGAAACAAGUCUAGGGCAAACCACAUCACUGCUCAUAAACCUGAACACAGAGCCAAAAGCACGUCUAGCAAAACAGAACUCAAAACUAAGUGCUUACUCGAAGAAUUAGAAAAUUAGACUUAGAGAAGUAGGGCGGGUUCUAAGCAGAGGUAUCAUUUUCAGUAGCCCAUUACAUGUCAAUACAUCAGUUGUGAGAGGAUUAAGAUUAUUGCAAGUAAUCUCAAAAUGCUUUAGCAGUGUAAAAGCAUAUCAAAUAACGUGAAGAAAGUAUAUCAAGAAAGGAUACUAAGGAAGCCUUUAGAGCUACAAUAGUAAAUGUUGAGAUGAUACAGGGUACGUAAAGUCUAAUUAUAAAUGUAAAGUUCAUGAUCAUCCUGCUCCAUCCCAGCUGUUAUAGUCAAUCUAGUGUCAGCUACAUAUUGGCAUUAAACAAGAUUAGAAAUAUAAGCGUUCCUACAAACAGGUGGGGCAUACAAAGGUCCAUCACUUCAAGUACCCGCAGGUCAAGUCCAUUAUAUGAUAUCAGUCCGUAGGCAAAACAAAAAAGAAAAAAGAAAAAAGAAAAAAAGAGGAAAUUAUUCAAAAGAACAGCAUAGUGAUAAGCCCCAGUUUUCCCAUCCUUUUUCUUAUGUAAAUCUAGCUCAUAUCCAUGCCAUCUCCAACUUGACUGCAAAUUGGGACGGCAGCAGAGAAAGAUCUCUCAAAAGGUGAAGGAUGAAACUGGGCAUCCCGCCUACGCUUAAAAGCAAAGUCAUCAACGGAGGAAUUGUCAGCAUCAAGCUUCCUGCGAAUGCCUCUGAUUGCAUGUUCUUCUGUCAGUGAAAGGGGGAAUAUUUGCCCACUUGCACGGCAAAGUGAGCUAUGGUUAUCAUACAGAAUUCGUUGGUCACAGUUUUUGUCACAAAUGUGAGUCAUUCCUGUAAAUUUGCAGCGGUACAUAUUACCACACACAUGUUCAUUCUCACAUUUCCAAUCACAUUUGUGGGCAAGAACUUGCCCAUCUCUACCCAGAAUAGUUGAAAGAUAAAUAACAUUUGCAGGCUCUGAGACCAUGGAUUUGCCGUUUAACUCCAUUGAAAUGAUGCUGUCAAAAGGAAAGUCUUGCCUCAAAAUUUCUGCAGAUCCCAACACAAAAUGGAAAACUGUCAAAUUUUGGACUAUGAGAGAAGGGAACCCCCAGUUUUUUUUUUUUUUUUUUUUUUUUGUCAAACUAUAGUCUUCCCCAUCACGUCCUUAAUCAAUUUUCCUGGAUUUGGACUCUAAAUUUGACUGAAAUUAAAAGAGGGGAAAACUGCAGAACAUAGGUACAUCAACGAAUUGGUAAUCAUUCAAGAAAUUAAAAAAAAAAAAGCCUCAACACUAUUCAGUUCUCCAGAUCUUAAAACAGUAGAAUGGUAUAUCAUGAGACACGAAGAGAAAUGAGAAGAAGUAAAAGUGCCAGAUAGUUAUAAAGCGGGCGAGCAAAAUAAUUAAACAUAUUGUAAAGACUAUGGUGAUUUCAGACCAGAUCUAAGAAACCCAUGUGCGGAUUAGGAAAAAAGAACAAAUACUUAGUAACGCAAAGACGCUUAAAAGAUUUCUUAGAGGAAAAAAUAAAAUAAAAUUGUGAAUGUUUAGAUAAAGAUCUCAAAGGGGAAAAGCAUAGGAGGUGCUCGGAAAUGAUUAAAAAACGAAAAGAGGAAGAGAAGCAACUCACUUGAUCUGAGAGGCCACACGGCACCACCCAGAGUAUCGGAACAAAAGGAAGAAGAAGAAAACGACAAAACGCGGGGGCGCUGUCUCCCUCUGAAUCAACUCCCGCACUCCCUCGUCUCCGUUUCCCUUUGAUUUUGGAUAAUCUAGCAACAACCACGAUAAAAACAAAAACAAAAACAAAAAUAAAGAGAGAACAGAAAAAGUAUUAGAACGAAAGAAACGAGAAAUGGGGUAAAGCUUAUUUAUAGAGAGGAAAGAGGAGACUUUGUAGUCCGUGAUGAUGGGGUUGACGAUGUUAGUCGUUGGAGUAGAGAAGAGACUCACACUUUUUAUUUUUUUAAACAAUUUGUUUCCCAGAUCAUCCUUAACAUAUAUUUAUAAUAUUUCAACACUAUCCACCAAUUCAUCUAUCUCUUAUAUUUCUUCAUAAAACACUCAAAUUCUCAACUCAAAUCAAAUAUACUUAUAUAUUAAAUCACAAAACUUCUAAAAAAUAAUUAUAGUUUAUAUAGUCUAAACUAAUCCAUCUUUAUAAAUAUUUUAAUUCAUUUUAAUAUAUUUUAAAUGAGUUUUAGAUCUUAGUCAUUUUUUUUUAAUUUAAAACCAACUAGAAUCAUUAUACCUUUUAUUUUUACGAUUAUUAGAUGUUAUAUUAAAUGGUUGAUUUUAGAUGCUAUCAAGCCCCUCUAUAGUUGUUUUUCCACUCUCAUUUUUAUUUGUUGAACUUUCCUUCACAUUUUCAAGCCGAAAGAAGAGCGUUAGAUAUUAUAUUAAAUUUAUUUUCUUCCCUUAACUUAAAAUUUUAUGUUGAAUGUAUUAUUUGAGAUUGACUUAAUCUCAUUAAUGUUUCAACAUGUAUAUCACCGAUGUAUCAUAUUAGAGCUUACAAUGGUUCAAUCCAUCAUAUUAACAAUCAUUUUGAGUGAAUUGAAUGAAUUAAUCAUACAUCAAUCCUACGUUUGAAAUUAAAUUUUUCAAUGAGUUGUUAUAGGAAAAAUUACAUUAGAUAACAGAAAAAAUUAAAAGAAAACAGCUCAUAACAUCUCUUUCUGCAUAUUGCAAAUUUGACAAAUGUAACGAUAAUUAGACGGUAAUUUACUUUUAAAUUACAUGUUUUUGCAAUUUUGAAGAUACAAGUGACAUGAACUCUAUUAUCAUAAUUUUUUUUAGCAAUGUGUACUUCGAAAAAAAAAAAUGUAAAUUUAAGAACUAUUGCUAUACUAGUGAUAUAAAUUAUUUUUCAAAAUAACGUAGCAACACAACAUUGUAAUACUAAUACACCAACAUUAUAUUUGAAAUGAUUGGUGUUCGGUAUUUGUUAGUGAUAGUUUGAGGAUUAUCUCAUUAUGUCGGUGAACUUCAGCUUCAACUUUAUGCUACCAACUCGAACAAUGACUUCGUCUUUUGAUGGCUCGACACCUAAAACUGUCGCUUUUUUUCCGAAGGAAGAAACAUAUACAGUAUCGCCAACAGUGGGAAACAAAGGCUCCUCUGUAGUGUACAAAACUCACAAAAUUGAGGUAACAAAAAUUCUUUUAAUCACAUAAAAACGGACAACAUAAUUAUAAAAGACGGAGCUUCUAUUAAGAAGAAAAUUUGCAAUUCUUCGAAACACAUACAAUUAAACAGGAGAUUUGUCAAUGGCAAACCUGAUUGUGGUUGACUGAUAUCACUGGUUGAAGAUAUUUGCCUACGCAAUGCCAUCAAAUCCUUUUUGCCUGCUGUAGUUCGGUUAUUAGAGUUUAUUCCUGCACGUUGCAUCCUAUCAAUGGCAGAGGGCGAGGUGUACUCAAUUGUAGAUGCACGUAGUUCUCGUCCUUUUUGGUGAAGGUUAGAACGAGCGGUUGUAGCAGCGUUCGCUACCUCUUGCACUUUUCUAAGCCUCUGUCGUCUGCCAUGUUCAAUAAUGUUUCUUCUAGCAAGCAACAAUUUUUCAUAAAGAUUUUUUGACUCCCUGUGGUUACAAGAAUAUGGAUGGUUAAAAAUUCACGAUUCUACUAGUCAAGAACAUUAUCUAUUGAAAAUGACAAAAGAAAAAAAAGGACUAAAGCUAGCAUUUUGAGCAAGAACUAGUGUUUUUAAAUGCCCAAGGCACAACAAGGCACAAUGGCCUUCUAGAGCCUACACGCAAGGCGCACAAAAAGGUGAAAGCUUUUUUCUCUGAGGCGUACUACAUAUCAAAAUAUUACGUUAAAAGGAGAAAGCAUGGUGAAAGUGGAAAUAUGAAAAAAAAGACCUCAAACACAAGAAAUUUUGCAUUUAGGAUUCCUUAGUUAAUAAAGGAAAACCUUCAUUAUUACUAUUUCUUUAAAAAAUGAAAAAGCCGAGCUUUGAGCCUUGGGGCUUCACAAAAGGCAAGCGCCUAAUGCACGCCUUAUUUUGUGAGCCUGGUCUUUCCAAGGUGAGGCACUAGACCUGUGCCUUGAGCCUAAACGUGCACCUGAGAGGGCUUUUUAAAACACUAGGAAAGACCCCUAUUCAUUACUUAAAAGUAAAAUUGUUAUGUAUAGGCAAGAAACAAACCUGUAAAAUUGUUAGGUAUAGGCAAUAAACAAACCUGUAUCUUGCUAGUUUUUCUAGAGACUGACUAUUAUUACAUAUGUACAUACGGCAUUAAAGAAAACUUUGUUCAACCACCUAUCUGGAUAUGGAUAUAACAUAAAAAAGCACUAACGCCUUGUCCAAAGAUCUUCUCCUCCACAUUGCCAGGGGUCGGAAUUACAUUUUUCCUGUUCUUUUAAUUUCUUUUUUAAAUUGCUUCAAGCUGAUAAUAAUAGCUAUGAUUUUAAAAAAAAUGAGAUCCCAGUUUCAGCAACUAUACGAAUUAACAAUGAUCAGAACUUGAUAAACACAGAAGAAUUUGAAUCAGACCUAUGGCUACGAUAUUAUUAAAGGAUUUAGGUUGGGCAGACACUGUAUCCAUAAAAUUAAUCUUACUAAGAGACUUACGUCAAGUUAUUCUGAGCUUCUUGUAAGAGGUCUCCAUAUUUUUUCUUUAUACAUUCCAUAUCGGUUAUGACCUGCAUUAAAAUGUAACAUAAAAUUGUAAAUAAUGUAGUCUAACAUAUCUUGAGAAGCAAUAUACUAAGUGCAUAAAGAAUUAAUAUUCCAUAUCUGCUACUGCAACUGCCAACUGGAGACGCGAGGACUACCUUUCAGUUUUUUUAAAAAAAUUAAAGAAAGAAUACAGACUGAACAAAAAUAAGAAUAUUAUUGGAUAGUGGUAAACUAUAACAAAAUAAUUGAUAAUGAUAGUAUCUCAUAAACUUUUCUUUUUAUGAUGCUUCACAAAUAAAAGACAUACAUAAAAAGUAAAGCACAAAUUUGCAAUAAUUGUGCAUUCUACCUCAUCAAUCUGUGCACUUCCCGCACCAUAAAGUUCCCGAGCAUCAUCUACAACAGAACUAGGCAACCCUAACCUUUCGGCUAUAUUUAUAGCAUUUGAACGCCCUACAAACAUGACAAAAUAAAUUUGACCUCACCCAGAGCAUGUAUUUCACAAAGAGAGAAAUGUGUUCUUAAAUAGAAGAACAACCCAUUACAAAGAAGGAAAAAGUAAAUUUGGUAAAUAUAGUACAACCAAUACAAUAAAACAUAAUACAAAAAAGGAAAUAAUCAACAAAACAUAAUUUCGCGUCAUUUAGGUUUGCUGCGCUAGAAGAGAAAAGAGUGAUGACACAGGUGUGAAGAAAGUGAUAUUUUGAUUCAACUAAACGUGCCUUUAACUUACAAAAUGUAACAAUAGAAUUUCGAUGGUUAAGAAACCAUAACAUUAUUUAGUUGUCAUACCUUCUAAAAACUCCCAAAAAAACUCAAUGGACACAAUUGGUUAUAAAAAAAAAUGUUACAAAUCAAUUUAAUUCUAAAACCGUCAAAAUCUAAUUAAUAAUAUGAAACCUUUCAUAUUCUCAACAUCCCCUCAAACUUAAUUUGCUACGCCUAGAAACACACCAGCUUGCAGGCUUUUGUGAAAAUGUCCACCGCUUGGUCUCACAACUAGAAAUAUUUGAGUUCCACUUCUUUCUUUGUAACACAAUCCCGAAGGAAAUGAAAUCAGGUAUCAAUGUGUUUGUUCCUCCCAUGAAAUACUAGAUUUUUGGCUAAUGCAAUGGCUGAUUUAUUGUCAACAAAAAUCUUCAUUGGAUCCUCCAUUUGAAACUUCAACUCCUUCGUUAGGUUUUUUAGCCAAAUUGCAUGGCAUAUGCAUUAAGUUGUCGCAACAUACUCCGCCUCACAUGUUGAUAAUGUGACUAUCGGUUGUUUUUUUGACAUCCACGUGAACACUGUUUCACCAAUAAAAAAUAAAAACCCCAUAGUGUUCUUUCAAUCAUCCAGGUCACUACUCCUAUCACUAUCACAGUAACCAACAAUAUCAAAAUUGCUAGAAGAGACAUAGGAAAGACCAUUCUCUAUUGUCCCUUUGAUGUAACAAAGUAUACUCUUUGCCAUUUUGCAAUACAUUGUUGUCAGCGCCUCCAUUAAUCGACUAAUAAUUCCAACUAAAUAAAGAAGACUCGUCUUGUGUAUAUCAAGUAUCUCAAACUUCCAAUCAAGCUUUUGAAAUAUGUAGAACCUACCUUCUCUCCUCCAAUCUGUUUGGUAAUUUUGACUCCACAUUCCAUUGGUGUUCCAACGGGAUUAGCAUCAUCCAUACUAAACCUUUUAAGCAUUUCUCUAGCAUAGCCCUCUUGAGAUAUAAAAAUCCCAUCUUCACUUGUCAAGAUAAUAACUCAUGACACCCAAUGUCUGUCAUUUCAAACUCCUUCGUCAUCUCCUUUUUAAAUUCAUAAAAAAUGCAAGGAUCGUCAACACACAAACAAAUUAUUAGUAUGUUUUCAACUUGCAUUUUGAUACAUAGGGCAUGCUCAUAAGGACACUUCACAUACUUCCUCUCCCUAAAAUACUUGUCAAUCCUUGAAUUCCAUGAUCUCGGUGCUUGCUUCAAACUUUAAAGAUCCUUCUUCAAUUGAAGCACUUUAUCCUCUUCACCCAUGGCUUCAAAUCCUAAUGGUUGUUCCACAUAGACCCUCAAGAAUUACAUUCAAGAAUGUCGAUUUGACAUCCACUUUGAUAAUUUUAUAUAAUAUAUUCAAUAAACCAAAAGUAAUUCAGAGUACAUAUGACCUUUUACAUAAAAAAUAAAUAGACCUGAAGAAACCACAAAAGGAAAAUACAAAUAUAGAAAAUAUUAAAAGAAGUAAAAGAACAAGUAAAAGAACCCUAACCCUCUGCCCUUGCCCUUCCUCUCUUUCAAGGAAUGUUGCAGCCCUAUUUAUUCACCAAAUUCUUCAUGCCCUUCUUCCUUCCCCAACUUCCUAUUUAUAACCAACUAUCUAACAAUAAAUCUAAUUACCUUUAUACCCCUACUCUAUAUUAAUCUAGGUAUCUAACAGAGUUCUAAUUCUAAGCAUUGAAUAUUUGAAUUUUUGGCCAACUCUCGUUUAUUCUUGGAAUUCAUUGCAAUGUUUCUUCGUAUUUCAUUAUCUCAAGGGCACAAGUUAAAUCAUGCUUGCUGUGAUUUAUAGGUUAUUUAAAAUAGCUCUUUUAAAGCAUGAUUAACUAAUUUCAAGAACCGACUAAUUAAUAAGUAGGGCUAUCUGGUUAUUUGAUCAACUUAACUAGAUACCUUGCUUAAUACAGUUGCUUGAUUAAUAUGGACGCUUUCUGUACCUAAUUAGUUACGCAUCUAGGAUGGCUAAGAAAUUAACCAUAACAUUAGGACAUGUACCUUGAGACGACUUAGGUUCGUGAGCUGAGAGUUAAAAUUGGCAAAAAUUGCAUAUCUUGAGAAGUUUGUAACAACCAAAGGAAUGAAUGGAUUCCGAAUCCCUGGUCCAGAUCUUUAUGGUUUGAAUUAUCUCAUUUGCAUUCCCACUUUACAUAAAAGCCUUUACAUGUAAUUGCAAACAAAGCACACAAAGUCUUUACCUUUGUCUUGCUAAUCUAUCUCUAAUUUUGCAAAAGUGCUAAGAUGCCAAACUUGUUUUAAAUUGGUAAAAAUAUCACUUCAUAAUCAAGGAGGGCAUUGUGCUAGAGCAGAGUGUUUCUUCAUAGGACCUCCUUUCAACAAUUCGACAUUGACAUCCUAAACGUACCAAACGUAAUUAACUUAACAAAUUAAUUACUUUAAAUUUUUAUAAUUUUAAGAAUUCAUUCGUAUUUUAAAAUAAUUUGUUUAAAAUAUAUUAGGAAGUGGUUUAUCAGAUCAAACAUUAUUAAUAGAUUUAGUUUACCAAUAUAAAAAGAAUUCUAGGAAUUCCUGGGGAAUCCUUUAUUGGAAUUUUAUAAAAUCAGUUCACUUCUAUUGAAUAAGAUUCUCUCGUGGAUAUUAAGAGGCCUGAAAGAUUUAUCCUCAAUGGAGUUCCUUUUUGUGCUUCAACAUUGUUUUGGCUCAUCCAGAUUAUCUCUGGUUGGGGCAUCUUCUCCAAGUGUUUCACAGCUACUUUCGUGAUCCUAGACUUUUGGAGCACUUUUGUUUUUUCCAGCAUAUCACUUGUAUUGGAUUAUCUUUGUUUGGAGUUUUUCAGCUUCUCUGGUUUGAAUUUUGUUGUGUGUGUAAUCUGUUACUCACUUAUACAGGUUGUUGGGAGACUUGGUCUUAUGUAGGGUAUGUUUAAUUCUUCAGUUUUAGUAGUUCGGAUAUAACGUGGGCACUAAAGGGGUGUCAACCUAGUUGAGAUGCCCAGGUGCGCCUCCUUUAUCCCUUUGUAAUUUUAGCUCUUUGUAUAAUUCUCUUGUAUUUUGACCAUUAGUCUCAUUUCAUUUUACUAAUGAAGAGGCUUGUUCCAUUUCAAAAAAGAAAAAAUAUUGGAUUUUAUAAAGAAAAUAAAUAAAAUUUGAGAUCAAGUUUCACAGAAUUAUUUCCAUGUCUAAACAGUCAUAUUUCUAGGCAUCACAUUCUCAUAUUUGCAUACUAAGUGCCUAAUGGUAUUACGGAAUUAAAUGAAAACAAUGUUUCUCUUAUCCAAAAUGGAAGAAUAUAAGUUUUAAAAAAUGAGAGGGGGGGAAUGUAUAAAAUGUGAGAGGAUUAAAUGGUGAAUCAUAUUUCAAUAGUGAGAACCUGGUAUUCCCCAGAGAAUCUUGUAAGUUGGCUUUAGGUUCACCUCAUCAAAUUCCAUACAUGCGUUUUCAAAGACCUCAUUGCUGUGGAGAAAAACUUCAUAACCAUGAAUCAAAGAUCUUUGAACUAGAAAAAGGAAAAAAUUACUAAAAAAGCAUGUACAUGCAAAAGGUUACUUUGAUUUAUUAGUUUUAUUAUUUUUUAGACAAGAUUUCUAUUAAUCAGCUUAACUACUUUGACAUAUAAGUUUAGUUGUAAAAAGUGUUAGCCGAGGGCUUAAGAAAAUUAUUAUCUCAAAGGCCCUUUAUUGGAGGAAGACAAAUUAAUAGACCCGAUUCUUAUAGCCAAUGAAGUAGUGGAACUGUGGAAGAAUAUUGCUCUAAGAAAAAGAGGUGGAUUCUGAAAUUAGACCUCGAGAAGGCCUUUGACCGAGUAGAUUGGGCUUUUGCAGGAAAAAAAUUCGCCUGAAAAAACUUUGAUCGCAUAUGGUCUUCAUGGAUAAUGGGCUGUGUGUCAAAUUCAAAAUUCUCAAUUUUCAUCAAUGGUAGACCAAGGGGAAGGAUAAAAGCUACAAGAGAUAUUAGACAAGGUGAUUCUCUCUCACCUUUCCUUUUCCUUCUAGUCAGGGAAGUUUUGAAUACACUUCUGGCUAAAAUACAUGAAAAAUGGAAAUUCAAAGGGUUUAUUGCGGGAGAAGACAAAGUUCAUGUUUCCUCCAAUAUGCUGAUGACACUUUGAAUUUUUGCAAAUACAAUGAUGAGAUGUUAGAUAAUUUGAAGAAAAUUAUUGAACUGUUUGAAUGGCGCUUGGGGCAAAGACUAAAUUGGGAGAAAUCAGCAAUCUUUGGUCUUAAUAUUGAUGACAGCAAUUAUCGAGCUGAAUUGUAAAGCUAUUCAUCCCCCACUUAUCUUGGCCUACCCACUACAAGGAUACCCCAAAGAGUGACAUUUUAAGAGAAACCAGUGCCCAGCUUAAAAGAAAAAACCAAGAUUGAUUUGGCAUAUUGCAAUCAAAGCAACGUUAGCUGAAUUGUGGUUUGAGAGAAACCAAUGACUCUUUCAUGACAAAGCCUCCCCUUGGAUGAUUCGCUCGGAUAUAGCUUGGCUAAAUGCUUCUUCAUGGUGUGCUCUCUACAAAGAGCUUGAAGCUUUCUCCAUCCAAGAAAUUAAUCUUAACUUGAAGGCCUUUAUUUUUCCUCCCUCUUAGCAUUCGUUCAAAGGUCUUGUUUUCUCUUGUAUUACAAAUUGUAAUAUUUUUAGCUCUUGUAUUGUUUCUGUAUGAAUGUUCUACUUGAACUUUGUAACACUUGAUUUCAUCGAUUUUUGUAUUGAAAAUGAUGAGUGCUAAGGGGGUGUCAACCUAGUUGAGAUGUCUCAUGUCCAGGUGCACUCACUAAUCAUUAGGAUUAGUUGUUGUCUUUCCAUUGUACUAUUGUCUCAUUUCAUUAUCUUAAUGAGAGGGCUUGUUUCCUUUUUAAAAAAAUGAUAAUAAUAAUAAACAAGGUUUCUAUUAUAAAGUUAAAAAGUCAAGCAACCAAAACCUGUAAAUUUUGCUUUCAAUCCUAUCUAUAAGUUGCAUAUUGUACCUAUAUUUUAGGGUUUUAAGCUCUCCAUGAUGUGUUGUUGCAAUUGUCAAUGCAGCGCCAGAUUUAGCAAAAGAUUCCAGCAGUGACAUCCCAAGUGCGGCUCCCUCCAGAGGAUUGGUCCCUGCACCAACCUACCAAGCAGAAAAAACUAGACUAAAAUUGACGAUGGUUUUUCAACGGUUUCCAUACUGACUUUCAUACUUACUUCAUCCAAUAGUACCAACGAUUGACUAGUUGAAACUGACUGUAUGUCCUGCCAUAUGUAAGAAAGUAAUCAAAUGAAGAAAAUAUAUCAGAUAAUUCGAAUAAGUGAGUGAAACAAUUUGCAUUAUAGACAAUAGCCUUGCUGGAAAUGGGAGGGAAAACUCUCACGUAGACCAUAAAGUAGCCCUGACAUAAGUUCAUUAAAAGAAACUAUUCAGCCCCUCUCCUCCCAAGAACUCUGUUAUGUUUUCUCUUCCACGUAUUUAUUUUUUUAAAGGAAACCAGCCUCUUUAUAAUAAUAUUUUUUUAACAAGAAAUAAGCCUCUUCAUUAAGAUAAUGAUAUGAGGCUAAUGCUCAAAAUACAAUGAAAACAACAAGCAUAAAGCAUCGGAUCUGGAGAUGAAUCCAGGCAUCUCAACUAGAUUGACACCUCCUUAGCACCAUCAUCACUUCCAAAACAGAACUUAUAAAUAACUUAAAAAGACUUAAAAACAUUGCUUGUGGCUCUUUUUCCAAAAACCCAGCUGAUGUCAAAAAACGUAAAUAAUGCAAACCAACAAUUUUGAGCACAGCUGCACUCAAAAGAGGAUGUGCAGAAUGUCUUCCUCUUCUCCUUUGCACAGUGCACAAAUACUUGGAGACAAACAAUGGGAAGGACACUUUCUUCGUAAGACCGAGGAGCAAUUUAAGUGACCAAAAAUUAUAAUCCAUAACAGAAUAUUAACUCGUCUAGGACUUCUCGUCUUCCAUAAAACCUUCUUUAUUGUCGUGUCAAGUGGAGAACCCAAAGAGAGAUGAUUUACCAAUGAUUUGACUGUGAAGGAUCCAUUUGCUUCAAGGGACCAAAAGUGUCUGUCACUAGAACCUGUCACCUUUUCCUUGACUAUGAUACUAAACAAAAUUUGGAAAUCAAGUAUCUCAUCAUCCUUUAAAAAUCUUCUAAAAGAAAUGGACCGUGAAGAAGUACCUUGAUCCCAAUGAUCCACAACCGAGCCAUUGCGGCAUUGUGGAAUUUGAAGUAGUUUUGGAAAUCUGGUUUUUAGAGGGAUUUUAUCGACCCAGAAUCUAGCCAAAACCCAUUUCCACGUUUAAACACCACUAAGGCCUCCACUCUUUGCCACGACCUUGAAAUAUUUAUCCAUGGGCUUCAAAGGAUGCAACUAAUCUUACCCGAGGCGUGCCAACAAAAUUUGUAUCUACAAUGAAUGCUUGCAACCAUUUUACUCCAAAGUGAUGAAUCAUCAUUCAAGAACCGCCUACCCCAUUUGGCUAAAAGAGCCAAGUUUCUGAUAGACCCUCAAUUAUACACCAGUACAGUAGAAGGAAGAAGAAGCAAGGUUAACCGCACGUGCUAGGGAGAAUAGCCUUAAUAGUUUUAAUAUUGUUAGUAGAUGCUUCCAUAAUAAAAUAAUAGAGCAUAAGUAGGAGUUUGUUAGGGAGAGAGAAAGUUAGUUAGAGUAUAAAUAGGAGUUGGUUAUGGAGUAUAAAUAGGAGUCUGUUGGGAGGGAGAAGGGUGUGAAAAAUUAAGGCUGCAAUAUUCCUUGAAAGAGAGGAAGGGCAGGGGGUUAGGGUUCUUUAAUUUUUCUUUUACUGCUUUUAUAUUGUAAUUCUGUUGCAGAUAUCAAUAAAUAGAAACACUAUAUCAGUGUUCUAUCAGUUUCUUGCUCUUAGAUCUUUUAAACUGAGCCCUCCAUCUUCUUGUGUUUUGGAGACCAAGUCUCAUUUAACUAAAUGAUUAAUUUUUCCACUGUUGUUUCCUUCCCCAAAGAAAUUGCUCAGAACUUGUUCUAUCUUUGAUAAGACCUUACCUGGCAACAAAAUGGAAGACAUGUGAUAAAUUCAAAGGUUAGAGAAUUGGUUUGCAAAGAGUAGCUCUUCCUCCCCGAGAAAGAUUAUAUCUUCUCCACUUGUCCAGCUUGCCUUGUAACUUAUCAAUAACCGGUUGCCAAAAUUCCACCUUCUUCGGAUAGCCACCCAAGGGUAGGCCUACAUAUAUAAGUGGAAGGUGGUCCACCUUACAAUUUAGCCUUGUUGCCACCAAGAGAAGUUUGCCAUCAUCACCAUUAAUGCCACAUAGAGCAGAUUUUCCCAAUUUAUUUUUUGGCCUGAGCACCAUUCAAACAGUUCAAGAGUAUCAUAUCAUGGAGAUUAUCAAGCAUUUCAUGAUCAAACUUGCAGAAAAUUAGGGUAUCAUCUGCGAAUUGGAGGAUAGAGACAUGCACUUUUUCUUUUCCAACCCAAAAUCCUUCGUACCUUCCUUUUUCAUGUAAUCUUGCAAUCAAAGAACUCAAAAACUUCACUUACUAGAAGAAAUAAGAAAGGGGAGAGUGGGUCCCCUUGUCUAUUUCCUCUAGUGGCCAGAAUUCUCCCCUUGGUCUUCCGGUGAUAAAAAUGGAAAACUUCGUGUUUGAAAAGCAUCCCAUAAUCCAUGAAAUCCAUUUUGGAUCAAACAAAUUUCCAUGAAGCACAUUUUCUAGAAACUCCCAAUCAACUCUAUCAAAGGCUUUUUCUAAGUCAAGUUUAAGAAUCCACCCUUUUUUUCUUGGAUCUGUACUCCUCUACAACUUCAUUAGCAAUUAAAACUGGGUCAAGUAUUUGCCUUCCUUUGAUAAAAGCACUUGGUGUUGGAGCAAGAAUGGUUGGCAUCACUCUUUUCCGUCUUUCUACGGUGUUUUAGCUAAUUAUCUAAUAGACAACCGUCGUUAGACUUAGGGGCCUAAAGUCUUUUAUCAAGGCCACCAUUAUCCAUCAAUAUUGCAGGAGGGGCAAGAAUGAAAUUAAGGGGGGAAGUUAGUUAUCCAUGAGAAUGAGGAACGUAAAGUUAUGUAAUGGGUUUGAGGGGACCACGAGAGGGAGAAAAGGGUAUUUUGAGAAAGGAAAGGGUAGUAUAAGUAGCUUGGGUUGUUCUUCCAUUUUCUUUAGCUUGGAAUUGGCUUGAGACUCUUACAGUGAGAGAUGGUUGGAAUUUACAUUGUAAGGGAAACCUUACAAAUUGGUAUUCGAGCCUUCAUCCUUGGGGUGAUUGGACCAAUACAAUGGCAAAGAAGUUUGAGGGGCGGAUUGACGCCAUAUAUAGGGAGAUCGAGACUACCAAAGGAGUCAUUCGAAGAUUACCUGAGUUGGAAGAAUCAUUGAAAGGGUUGGCUGAACAACGACGGAAGCAAUUCAAAGAAACUCAGAAGAUGUUUGCAAGGUUGUCUGUCGAAUUGAUGUUGGGGCGAGGAGGUUCACUGGCAGCAGGGGAAUCUUUGUCACAGCCAAAAACAAGGGAAAUAGAAAAGUUAAGAAUGCAUUCUUGAAUGGAGAUUUAGAAGAAGAAGUGUAUAUGAGUCCUCCACCGGGAUUCGAAGCCCAGUUUGACCAUCAGGUUUGCAGACUUCGAAAGUCCUUGUAUGGGUUGAAACAGUCACCAAGAGCUUGGUUUGACAGAUUUACCACCUUUGUCAAGUCUCAAGGGUACACUCAAGGGCAUUCUAAUCAUACUUUAUUCACAAAAAUCUCCAAGUUUGGAAAAAGUACAGUUUUGAUAGUUUAUGUUGUUGACAUUGUUCUAUCUGGCGAUGAUGCCAAUGGAAUCCUCCGAUUAAAAAGGAAGAUGGGGGAUGAGUUUGAAAUUAAAGACUUGAGGAAUCUGAAAAACUUCCUUGGGAUGGAAAUUGCCAGAUCUAGAGAAGGCAUCUCUGUAUCCUAGAGGAAAUACACCCUUGAUUUGUUAACUGAGACAGGUAUGUUAGGAUGUCUCGUUGAUACAUGUAUUGAGCCCAAUGCCAAACUCAUAGAUACAAGUGAUAAUUGACAAAGAAAAGUAUCAACGCCUAGUGGGCAAACUGAUUUAUUUAUCUCACACUAGGCCUGACAUCUCAUAUGUUGUGAGUACUGUUAGUCAGUUCAUGCAAACUCCUUACGAAGAACACAUGAAGGCAGUAAACAGAAUCCUAAGAUAUUUAAAAAUAAUUCCUGACAAAAAGUGUAUUGAGGCAUAUACAGAUUCUGACUGGGCAAGGUCUAUUGUUGAUUAAAAAAAUCUACUUCCGAGUACCGUACCUAUGUAUGGGGCAAUCUCGUUACUUGGAGAAGCAACAAGCAAGGGGUUGUUGCCAGGAGUAGUAUUGAAGCUGAAUACAAGGCCAUGAGUUUGGGAAUCUGUGAGAAAGUUUGGCUUCAAAAGGUGUUAUUCGACCUUCACUAGGACUAUGAGGUGCCUAUGAAAUUUUUUUGUGAUAAUAAAGCGGCUAUCAGGAUUGCUAAUAACCCGGUCCAACAUGACAGAACUAAACAUGUAGAGAUUGACAGACACUUUAUCAAAGAGAAAUUGGACAGUGGUAGCAUCUACAUUCCUUACAUACCUUUAAGUCAACAAAUUGUUGAUAUUCUCACAAAAGAGCUACUCAGACAAAGCUUCAAGUCUUGUGUUAUCAAGUUCGGUCUUGUUGUAUGUUGAAAGCCCAAGAGUUUGUUAAGAUCUUAUAGUGUCCUAAUUAUCUUUUAUUAUUUUUGGGGGGCAAGAAACCUUUGUAGCUAUGUUAAACCAAGCUGACAAGGGAGGAGAAGAACUUACUUCUUUGUCGACUGACUUGCUGGAGUUGCUGUUAUCAAUAGGAAAAAUACAGCUGCUUUUUUUUUAAUUUUACUUUUAGAGAUAGGUGACCUUUGCUCUCCAUUUUUUGACUUCUCACAUGCCUUAUUUUCAAAAUUAGCAGACGUUGGAAGGAGCCUGGGACCCACUAAAUUGAUAACACAGCUGUCUUCCGCACCCUUCUCUUUCUUCUUUAAUAACAACUUUUCAUUUUCUGGCAGAGUAAAUGUAGCUCCCAUCUGAACUUUAUUACUUUUAUCAUUGGCCUUCGUGGAGAUUAAAUUCUUGCUGGCACUCUUAAUCAUAGAAACAUUACUAUUAUCUUUAUUACUACAUGUAAGUGACUGCUGGUCUCCUACAAGUGAUUUUUUAAAUGGAAUAAAAUUAAAAGAAGUUUCCUUUGGCGGGAAGGCCGAGUUUCUCCUGAUUGGUGGUUCUGAUUUUGAACGGCUCUUGGAAUUCUCAGACUUUCGAUUGUCUUCUGCCCACUGUUUACUAACGGAACUAACAUUAGCCGGAUGUUGAAGGGAAGAAUUCCCAGAAUCCGACGAUGCAUUGCAGUUCCGGAGAGAUGGUAUUGGUUUCUGUUGAAGAAGUUUGAACAGCCUUUCAGACGACUCAUAAGGGUUCCUUUGCGUGCUUGGGAUGGAGUUCGAAGGAAGGAGAUAGUCAAACUUGGAGCUAAAUGAAUCUUCCUCGAAGCCUUCGUCCUUCAUAACUUGGCUUAAUCUGACAAUAUCUAAAGGAUUAGAAAAAUCGAGAGUAAAUAAAUCACCUUGAAAUUUGCUGGGUGGAUUGGAUACAGAGAUAUCCCCAAAAUUCAAAAAAAUGUUUCCUCUUCUUUCAUCAAAAAUCUCAAUGGUUGUCGGAAUGAAACCACACAGAUUUUCCUUCACUUGAAUCUUGGUUUCUGAGACAUCAAUGAAGUUGAUAGUUUCAGCUGCAAUAUUUUCUAGACCUCCAAAAUGAGCUCCAAUCACUUCAAAAGUUUUAUUACACCAAUAAUCAAGGGGUAGAUUUUUUAUUGAGAUCCACCCUCCAAAGCCUUUCGAAUAUAACGGUCUUCCAUGGAUUAGAUUGUUCCACUUUUCAAACUUUAAAUGAAAGAACCAAAAGAUUGUCAUUUGCCUGGAUUUUCAAUGAACUCCUUCAAAGGACCACGAUCCAAUUCAAUCAAAGCAUUGUCUGCAAAUAAUGGAUUGAUGAUAACUUUUGAGUCGAAAAAGAGUUCUGAUGCCAUAUUAAUUUUUACCCAACUAUCAAAUUCAAAAAGUUUUGAAACAACCUAAAGAUUAUCAAAAUCGACUUUGAAGACUACCGGAUUUUUAAUCACCCAAUAUUUGCUUGUACUUUGUUUUGUGGUAUCGGAAAGAGGUCUUGGGUGACUCUUUUGAUUUUGCUAUCUCCACAUAGCUUCCUUUCGUAUUUCUGUUCGGGUGCUUCAUAAAGGAGUUGAACAUGGAUUGGGUGGAGAACCAGAAAUUGUAGUCAUGGAUGUCCUUGAAGUCUCCCAACGUUUUUCUGAAACUUUUCCACCCUUGUUUAUCUUCACCAAUGGGGAUAUGAAUAAAUGAUCUCCCUCCAGAACGAGGCCAUGCAAUGCAUCUCAGAACCCACCCACUUUUGGAUCUGAAUUUAGAAGCUUCAACCCUUCCACACUCAACUUUUUCUUUCUUAUAGAAAUAAUCUUCUUUAGAUUUCUUGUUCAAAUCUUUCACCGUUUCAAUGAACCAACUAAGUUGAAGGAUUGAUAAAGACAUAGAAAUAUUAGCUUCAACAUCUUCAAUGUGAAAAGCUUUAUCUUCAUGCCAGAUACAGAAAAUUAGGUUUUCGAUUUUGCAGCUUUUUACUUCCAUCUUUGAGAAAGUAAGAAUGGUAGCUAGGGUAAUGUCCAAGAACAAGGCAACGACUAGCAGUGUCUACCGGAUAAGGUAAUCAACCGGCAAAAAAUUUAAGGGAAGGAGGAGGAGAAAGAAAGUAGGAGAGAGGGAAGAGAGAAGGGGAGAGAGAAUUUACCGUUUUGUGAUCAACUUUAUUAUUUUUAUUUUGGAUUCUACAACCUAUACAACCUAUUAAUAAACGUUCCAUGUAUCAUUAUGAGAUACAGAAAAAUAAUAAAAAAAUAGCAUCAUGGAUUUUUUCCCUAUUCUAGGGUUUCCACGUAAAAUAGUUUAUUUCUUCUCUUUUCUUCUUUCAAUAAAUACAAGUUGAUGCACAUUGCUCGGAAAAUCUCUAUCAAACACCCUUUUCAAACCACAAAAGUCAAACAACUUCACCCAAUAUCUAUGCACAAAGGGACAAGUAAAGGAUAGAUGCUGUGAAUGCUCGCUGGCCACCUGACACGAGGGGCAGAUGGAAGGAGAUGAACUGUGAGAAGGCACUUUUUGUUUGAAUUAUUUUUUGCCUUUAAGCAUUAUUCACACCAGAAUGUUUACUCUACUUCGGCUCAUGGAUUUCCACGAAGCUUUUUCCAAAUCUUUCUCAAUGGGAGAUGACACGGGGAGAUGGUUAACAAGUGAGACCUUUUUUUUUGAAAAGAAGACAAGCUUCUUUAUUAUUAAUAAACUCAAUGUACAAGAGAUCUAUACAAUGAGAACAAUAGGGAAGCCAAGAAAAGCGGGAGAGAAAGGAUCAGUAGGUGCACCCGAACAUCUCAACUAGGUUGACACCCCCAUAGCACCCUCAUCAUAUCUAAAAUACAAAGAAAAGACCAAAAUACAAGAAAAAUACUAAGGUCAUGAAAAUACCAAAGUAACCACCAAAAUAACUACGAAAGCUACCUAUGGUAGACUAAAACAAGGCUGAAAGGAAAAACAAAACGGCAGAAAUACAUAUAAAACCCGUCCAAACUACAAAAGCACUAUUUCUGAACUGGCAAUCGAGGGAAACUACUUUGUAACUCAUCCGAUGAAGGCGGUCCAAUUGAGGCAGAUGUCUUGAAUGGAGUAAUCUUUGAAUUUUGCAUUUGAAGAACACCAAGUUGCUGCAUUUCUUUUAGGGUUAACAAGUGAGACUGAAAACAUCUUGCUGGAAUCAACAGACCAAAACCACUUAUCAGGGCUGUCUUUCACCUGAAAUCUUGAAAUCAAGCCAUGUAAGGAUUGUAGAUCCGAAAUUUCACCAUCCUUAAGAAACCUUCCAAACAUUGGAGACCAUGAGGAACAAUUAUGGUCCUAAUGGUAGCAUCUGAACCAUUUGGGAGCUGGGCAAUUCUAUAGAGAUUUGGUAACCUUACACACAAAGGGAGAUUAUCAAUCCAAUAGUCAACCCAAAAGCCAACCCUUCUGCCAUUGCCGACUUUACAGGAAGCUAAAACGUCAACUUUCAGCCAAGUUCUUGAAAUGUUGACCCACUGGCUUCGAAGACAAAAACAAGAUUUUCCAGUCGUGUGGCCAUUUGAAUAAAUCCGUAGUGUGGAUGCUUUUCAUUACUUGGCAACAUGUAUAGGGAAUUUUUCUCAUGGAAGAACCGCAAAGCCCAAUUAAGCUAAAAGGGCCAGAUUUUUAUUCUUUAAACCACCCAGCCUAGGCUGCCAUUAUUUAAAGACCUUGAGACAACUUCCCAUUUCAUCAAAUGAUUCAAUUUUCCACCGUUAUGUCCUUCCCAAAAGAAUUUGCUAAAAGUGCACUCCACUUUGUUGGUAACUUUCUCCCGCAUUAAGAAUUUUAUGCUUUUUUAGUGGAGUAUACUUAGUAUUUUAUGUUAAAUGUAUAAUUAAAAAAAAAAAAAAAUAGUGUAUCCUCAAUGUGUCCUCAUCCUAAUAUUUUAGAAAUUGGCAUAUCGCCAUGUCCUGCGUAUCCGUAUCCGGGUCCUUGUCCUAUGUCCGAGUCCGUGUCUUAUUUAUUCCUACUUAUUUAGGAGAUGAUGAUAGUGCUAAGGGGUGUCAACCUAGUUGAGAUGUUCAGGUGCACUCGAUGAUCCUCACAUUUGUCUCUUCAUUGUAAUACUUCUCAAUUCUCACUAUGUAUUGUCUCAUUCCAUUAUCUUAAUGAAGAUGCUUGUUUCCUUUUAAAAAAAAUAAAAAAUUGGUCUUUGGUUUCACCCAUCGACAUCCCCUGUUUUUUUAUCUUCCAUUCUUGAGAAUCAUACAUUCAAAAGAAGGAAGAGUCUUUUAGGGAUGCAUCUCAUCAGGGUAUUUGUUUGGUCGGUUUAGUCUGAUCAUAACAGACACAUUUUCAACAACAAAGAGCAGUCAUUUGAUCUUUUCUAAUUUUCUUGGAACAUGUUAUUUUCUCAGAUAUAUCUUGUGUAACUUGUUUAGGCUUUUCUCCAGAUAUAUUCCACAUAUAGCUUCGCCACUUGUUUGUCCAAUCGGAGACAUCUUUCAUAACUCCUUUGGAUUGGGAUCCUUUCCCCUUUUUCGUAAUUUCAUACAUCGAUGAAAUUGUUUCUUUAGUUAAAAAAUACAGCUCGUGAGAAUAUAUAGAAAAGGAUACUAUCUAAACCAAAAAAAGAUAAAAGAUAAAGAUAAAAUAAUUCGAACAAUGAAUGAAGGGGACAAAAAUAGGAUUGGAUCCAAAUUUACUUACACUUAUUUUUCUCAAAUGGCCAGAAAAGGUGGACAGAGAUUGGGUAAGGGACUGUUCAUCACCGAUAUCAGCAAAAAUAGAAUCAAACCAAGGGAUUUGUACGGACUCUGAAGCUAAAACGUGAAGCCCUACAAUGUGAACGAAAGGAAAGAAAGGUCAUUUAAAUAUUCAAUUUUAUAAAGCCAAUAUCACAAGCGAAAAAGUUGAAGCAUAGUAAUAAUGAAGAAGGUCUUUCAAUAUCAAAUUUUUUCUAGUCAUCAUAUAUGUAAUAUUCGUCUGCAUCUCAUUCCACCACAUUUUGAAUUGUUACGUAAAUUAGACCCCAUUCCACCCCAUUACCAGCCCCACUUGGGCCAAACAAGAUUGAGCAACCAAGCUCAGCUUGAAUUCAUUACAGAAAUAAAUCAUUUACUAAACCAGAAAAGAAAAAUUAAUUUAAGAUAAAUAAAUAAUAAUAAUAAAAGAAGCCGACCAUUCUUAAAAAUACCUGAUUUUGCCAUCAUAGCUGCCAAUCCAAUGGUCUUCAAACAAACAGUCUUACCCCCAGUAUUAGGACCCGUUAUAACUAAAACUUUUAUUCUGCGAGAUAUUGAAAAAUCAACCGAAACAGGACGAGCUUGCUCCAAUUGAUCAACCUAAUAAGAAGCACUUUUGUAUUUGAAUGUAUUAAAGAAUAAUACAAGAAGAUCUCAUCAACGGACACUAAAUCACAUUAACAAAUUACCUUCAUUUUAAAUAAUGAAAUAUCUAUAACUUCUUUUUCUUUCCAUGACAUAUUCCCUCCAGGAGGUUUUCUCCCCAUCUCCUAGGAGAAAAAUGAUGGAUCAGAACAGCUCAAUUUAAUAAAUAAUUGCUCUACAGUAUCAGACUCAGGAUAGCUUACAUUAAAAGCAUUUUUAACAUCCCUCUUAGCAUUUUUCAAAUUUUCUCUAUAUUGCUGAAGUAGUAAAGGGUGAUGGGUAUUUUGUAAAUAGAGGACCCAUUCAUUCUUCUUCAAGUGUGAUGCCUCAGAUUGGUCCCCUGAUAAACAGACAUUAGCAAUAGAAGAGUUGCAGCCUUCUAGUAGGACUAAAUUGGGGCACGUCCCCCCAAAUGAAAGACCAUAAGAUGCUCGAGCAUUGACCUAUCCAUUAAGGAAAAACAUAAAUUUUCCAACUAAGGAAUAACAUUGGAGAACAGGGAUAUUGUGAUGAUUUCAGAGAAAUUCAUAAAUAAAUAUGUCGAUGCCAAUUGUCAAGAUUAGUGUUGAGAUAAAUUUAAAAAGAAAAAAAAGGGUGGUUAUAUAGAUAAUAUUGUUUUUGAGAUAGACACUUGAUGAUAUUACAAGUCAAGUAACUCAAAUUAUUUCCUUGUAUAGUAAUGAUUUUUCUUUCCAUAUAAGUUUAGAUUGAUAGCUUAAUUUCAGCACAUUGGUUGAUAAUCUUCUCGUACAUAUUGGGUCUUUUUCAAUCACUAGAUAAUAAGAGAGAAUACUUUUACUCAGCUUUAGAGAUCAAUGGCACCUCCGUUCGUAAGCUUCCACACGGGAUUCUAUCACUUCACCAUCCUCUCACGAGCAAACUGAUAUUCAUUUUAAUUUGUAUACAACUCAUUUUCUCUCAAGACCUUGAGUACAACUGAGGUCUUAAAGAAAAGAACCUGGCACAUUUGCCAAAAUGGGGUUGCCGGUAUCUUUUUUUUGAAACGGAGACAAAAACUUCUUUAUUAAUAUGAACUCAAGGUACAAGAUUCUAUCACUUCACCAUCCUCUCACGAGCAAACUGAUAUUCAUUUUAAUUUGUAUACAACUCAUUUUCUCUCAAGACCUCGAGUACAACUGAGGUCUUAAAGAAAAGAACCUGGCACAUUUGCCAAAAUGGGGUUGCCGGUAUCUUUUUUUUGAAACGGAGACAAAAACUUCUUUAUUAAUAUGAACUCAAGGUACAAGAGAUUUAUACAAAGAGAACAAUAAAGAAGUAGUAAUCAAGGGUGUCCUAGAGGGAUCAAAAGGCGCACCCAGGCAUCUCAACUAGGUUGACACCCCUAUAGCGCCAAACAUCAUAUCCCGAGUACAACCAAUCAAAACAAUAAAGAAAACAUAAUAAAAGCAGCCAGCUUAGUGCAAAGGUCCAGAAAAACAAUAUGGGACCGGAAGAAACAACAACAAUAAACUAAAUGGGGAGGGGGGGCAAAAACAAUCUGAAACUGGGGCAAUCCUUCAAGGCUUCAAAAAGCAUUAGAGGGCUACAGACUGAAUUACCUGCAGACAUUUAAACUGAGGCAGCAAAAGAUUAGGCAGGUUGAAAGAGCAAGGCAGCCUAAUGAAGGAAAAUGUCUUGGAUGGAAUAAUUAGCAAACUCCUUUUUAAGGGAACACCAAGCUGCUGCGUUAAGGUCUGCUACAUGCAUAAUUUCUGCCCUUGCCCUUACUUUAUCAAGGAAGAUAUGUUGAUUUCGUUCGAACCAUAAUUUUGAAAGUAAAGCUUUGGACAAGUUUUCCCAUAUGAUAUUUGAUUUUUUGGGCAAAAUUGGACCCUACAGAAGUUGAGUCAAACUAGCACUUAGUGAAAUGUCAAAAUCCCAAGCUAAGUUAAACAAGGAGAAAAUCCUUGCCCAGUAGAACGAAGAGACAGGAAAGUUCAGGAAAAUAUUAGAAAGACUCUCACUAGCCUUCAAACAAAGAGGACAGAUCGAGGGGGAGAGGCUUUUAUUGGGGGCUUUCUUUUGCAAGAUUUCUGAACUAUUGAGGGAUCCGAAGACCAUAAUCCAAAUCAAAAUAUUAAUUCUCCGUGGGCUGCCUGUUUCCCAAAUUGCUGAAAACAGACGUUUAUCCAUUGGAGAGGCAGACUUUAAGUGAGCCGAAAGAGACUUAACUGAAAACCAGCCUUGAGGAUCAGUGGACCAUGUUCUAUACUCGUCAGAGUUAAACACUUUUUCAGAAGAGAGGGGGGAAAGCAGUGAUUAAAAAUCUACAAUUUCAUCAUCCUUUAGACUUCUUCUAAAAGCCAAUGACCAAGAAGAAAUAUCACGGUCCCAAUGUGCAGCAACUGAACCGGUGGGCAACAGAGCAAUUCUAAAAAGCCUAGAAUAUUGCUCUUUGAAGGGGGCGUUACAAACCCAAAGAUCUGUCCAAAAGCCAAUUCUAUGGCUGUUUCCAAGAUUAAAAGAGGCUAAUGAGUCAACCGACCUCCAACUCUAGCAAUGCUAACCCAAGAACUCCUUAGGCUAUUACCGGACUGCCCUUUAGUGAACCAAUCAAAUGGCUCCUUUCUGUGAAUGCUUCUAAUCAUUUGCCUCCAAAGAGCUGACUCUUCUUUUGAGAAUCUCCAACCGCAUUUAGCGAGCAAAGUGGUGUUAUGAUUUUUAAUUCCUCCUAGGCCGAAGCCCCCAUCUUUUAGAGGAGCUGAAGCCUUGUUCCAUUUAACAAGGUGGUUGAUUUUGCUACCGGCAUGGCUUUCCCAAAAGAAAUUUUGUAUGAUCCUCUCUAUAGAUGCAGCCACAUUUUUUGGUAUUGAAAAUAAAGAUAGGUAAUAUGUAGGAAGGCUAACCAGAACUGAUUUGCAUAAUGGAUGUCUUCCGCCUCUAGAGAUGUUAUAUAUUUUCCACCUAUCUAGUUUCUUAUGAAUUUGAUCGAUGACUGGUUGCCAGAACAUCUUUUCCCGAGGGUAGCCUUCAAAAGGGAAACCUAAAUAAAUAAUCAGAAGCUUUUCUGCCUUGCACCCUAGCAGAUUUGUUGUUUGAAUCAAAUCAUCCUCUCCCACAUUAACACUCCCAGUUUACUUUCUGCCCCGAAUACCAUUCAAAUAAUCUAAUGGCGUCUUUAAGCUUAAGAAGCAUCAUCACGUCGUACUUACAAAAGAGAAAGUGUCAUCAGCAAAUUGAAGCAAUGGGAGGUGGAUUAAGUCUUUGCCAACAAGGAAACCUUCAAACUGGCUGUUACUAUGAAGCUAGUUUAUGAUUUCUCCUGGAACCUCACUUACUAGGAAAAAUAAAAAGGGGGAGAGGGGGUCCCCUUGGCGGAUACCUCUAGAUGCUGUUAUUCGACCUCUUGGCUUACCAUUAAUGAAGACUGAAAAUUUUGGAUUUUUUAGGCAGCCCAUUAUCCAUGAGAUCUACAUGGAACUAAACUUUUUUAGAGAUAAAAUAUUUUCUAAAAAGUUCCAAUCGGUUAUCAAAGGCUUUUUCCAAAUCAAGUUUUAAAAUCCAACUUUUUUUCCGUUUUCCCUAUAAUCUUCCACUACUGCCUCGUAAGCAAUUAAAAUUGGGUCAAGAAUUUGCCUACCUUUAAUAAAGGCACUUUGAGUAGGACUUAUAAUUGCAUCCAUAACAUGUUUUAGACAUUCAGAUAGAACUUUUGCAACUACCUUGUAUGCUAACGUAGUAAGACUGAUUGGGCGGAAAUCCUUGACUAGAGUCGCGUUCUCUUUUUUAUGCACUAAACAAAUGAAGUUUUCUUGAAUGCAAACAUUUAAUCUUCCAUUUUUGUGGAAAGAUUUGAAGAUAUCCUUGAAAAUAGACCAGUGAUUGAUUAGGAACUCCGCUGUGAAUCCAUCUGGGCUCGGAGCUUUAUUUCUGCCAAGUGCCUUUAAGGUUUUAAAGAUUUCCUCCACUGAAAACUGGGUAACAAGAGCCUCAUUUGAAUUGCGGAAACACCAGACCAAUCACUAUUAAUAGGGAUGAAUCUGUCCCCCGGAAUUCUUGUGUAAAGUGUCUCAAAAAAUUCUAGCACAAUCCUUUCAAUGUCGCGGAAAGAAGUCAAAACGACCCCAUUAUCGUCUUUUAAUUCGGUUAUGAGGUUCCUUCUUUUCUUUGCAUUUAGAAAGCGGUGGAAGAAACCUGUAUUCUCAUCACCCAAAGACAGCCAAAUGAGUUUACUUUUCUGAAUAUAAUUCCGCUCUUCAUUUUGGAAAAUGCUAAUUAAUUCCGCUUGCAUAGCUGUUCUAGAGCCCAGCUCUUCUUCAUUUAACCCGAUCAACUCAGCCACGGAAUCAUAUUUUUCUAAUUCUGACAGAAAGAUUUUCUCUCUUUCUUUGACCUUGGCUUGCACCGCAAUAUUCCAAGCUUUUACUGCCAAUUUAACUUAUCCAACCACUCAUGGAGAAUGAAACCAGCCCAACCAUGGAAGUUUGAACUGCUCACAGUUUCAACAAUAAUCUGAUUACAUUCACUGGACAGGACAAAACCAAAAAGGAGAGGGACCCCAAAGAAAAGCAUCAGCUUCCAAGAUUAAAGGAAAGUGAUCGAGAAGAUACGUGCUUUUUGUGAAACCCGAUGGGGUUGCAGGUAUCUUGAUGAAGAAAACUCGUUUUGGUACCAGGAUGUUUGAAGCACACAUGCCAAAGAUUAGCACAACGCUGGGAAUAAUGGUAAUAGUUUUGGGAACCCCUGGAUUACCAUAUCUAGAACCUGGUUAAAGGUGGAUGCUUUGGCAUCUUUAAACUUGGUUUAGGUACCACAAUUGUUUUUUGGCUAGACCAUUGGGAUGGAUUGGCUCCCUUUGUGCACUUGUCAUCCAAGGUUGUAUAGGGUUGCAUUACUUCCAAAGGGAUCGGUGGCAGAACAUUGGGAUGAAAAUUCUUCAUCUUGGUCUACAAAGAAGUUUUGAAUACACUGUAAAUAUAUAUAUAACAGUACUUACAUAGACCAUUCCUCCAACACUAGAGAGAAACCCAAUAUAAAGACUAAAACCUUCCUACCCACUUUCAGAUACCACCUCCAAUUUAGACAGACCUUCAUAACUGUCUAGUAACCACCCCCCAUAACUACUCAUAACCAUCAUCCGUACCAUGGGGAAGCAGUGCCCCUAUCAACUCAACUGGCAUCAAUAAAAUUCCACCUUGACAUAUUGGUUUCAUUCUUCAAGUUGGGGUGAGUUAGCCAUACUUUUGUGUGCACAUCAUUCAAACUAAUAUAUACAUUUCAAUCAUUCAUUUAGAUACUUCAAGAAUCUUCAACUAGAUAUAGUUAGUGUUAGUGUUGCAUUUUGAACAAGAACAUCUAGAAUUGGCCAAAGAAAGGAAUGAGAAGGCAAAGGAGUUGAGGGUGUUGUGAAAAAUACUCACCACAUCUAAUUCAAUUAUACAGCCAAUGAGUUUGCUAAUAUCUUCAAAAUCCAUUUUCACCUGUCGCGGAACAUAAAUAAGAUUUAAAAUAUAAUUAAUUGAUAUUAAGACUAUAUUAAUUCUAACCUAAAAGCUUAAAAUUUUAGGAUUAACUAUUAUUUAACAUCAUAUUCAUACCAUAAACUAAUAUACUCUAAAUAUAUGUAAACUUCAAAAUCACCAAAAGGAUGGUGGUUGCAUAAUAAACAACGUAGUUUCCAAAAUUAACGUUGGUGUUCUACUUUUGACGUUUAUGAUCACCUAUUAUUUUUUAACCAUCUCACACAUACCUUUUCAGUUAGCACAAAGAGAACAUCUUCCUCAGCUUUUGCCACUGAAGCCCUUGCUUGUUGCAACUCAUCAUUUAAAGGAACGGCAGAGAUUGGCUCUAUGAAUGAACCAAUCCCCGCAUCACUGCAACAAUACAUUCUUUUCAGAUAAGGAAAAUUUAGGAGCUGAUCUCCUUUCAUAAGAAAAAAGUUGGGGAAAUGCAAACAAAUUCUUCAAAUUCACCUACUUUCCAGUUUUUCACUAGUACAAUGUACAAAUUCCCGAAAGGUAUUAUAAUUUUUUUAGUUGCAUUAUUAGAAACAAAACCCUAUCCAUUUUAUUUUUAAUUAGUAAUUUAUUUUCAUCAUUUGUUGCCCAUAUGUACAGCAUAACAGAGUAUAUAAUUACUCACACCACUAUUACAAGCUAGCAUUAACAAUGUAAAAGCGACUACAUUCAAGUAAUGUGUAUCUUAAUGUGAGCAAUCACAGAAUCUUAAUAAAAAAUGUUUCCAGACUAGAAUGCAGUAUCUUCUAAUAAGUGCCUUGUAAAUCUAACAGCUCCAAGGUAUUUAGAUGAUUUUCUUAAAAUCCCUUACAAUUUUCGCCUAGAGCCACAAGAACCUCUUUCUUCCGAAGCAAUAAAGGUAAAUUUGUUUCAUUUAUUUAUCCUCUAUAACUAGCCACCUUCUUCAUUUUUUCCAUUUUCUUUCACAUUUCACAUAUCAAACUUGAGAUAAAACCCAAAUGGCUCCAUCUUUAAUCAUUGCAUAAACUGCAUCUCAGUGGGUUUUGUGUAUAUGAAAGAGAUGCACGCUCAAUGGAUUCUGUAUAUAUGAGAGAGAUGUACACAUAACUAUGUGUAUAAAAGAGAUGCACAUCCCAAGUUAUUAAAGAGGAGUGAGCACCGGGAGGAGGCAAGUUUGGGUUCCACCAUACUUAUACCUGCAUAGUCAUGGUGGUUGUAUGUACAUGUCCUGAUCCCAACAGUCAGGUCUCUUACUAAGCAUGCCAAUACUUUUCCUUUUCUAGAUGUUCAUUUAAGGUAAAAACAGAACUUAGGCAAACGACAGAAUUUGUUUGAAGGGCCGUGGAAAAUAGCUUGGUUCUUAAAUUCUGCUUUGAACUGCUUCACAUUUAAUUUUAUGUUUUCUUCUUCCGAAGAUAUACAGUUUGUUAAAGUUUUAUAAUUUCUACUUUUAUAACUAUGGGAUCCCAAACUGAAGCAUUGAUUAGAUUAUUUUUUAAUUUAAUUUUCCGUUCAAGUUGAUUUUGAAUUCAAAUAAAUGUCAAGCAAUCAUUGUCUUUAGAAGCCAAAAUUCUAAUAGAGCCUUAUUCACUUGCAAUGGUUUGAUGACUAGACACACAAUAUAUCUUAUUUAGCUUUUGAAAAGGAAACAAAUCUCUUCAUUGAAAUAAUGAAAAGAGACUAAUGCUCAAAGUACAAGAAACAUAAGUAAGAAAACCUAAUACAUAAAGCCAAAGAUAACUAACAUAUAUGAAAAUAUGACAGAGAGACAAUAAAUGCAAUCCAAUUCAGCAAAUAUUUUGAAUUGAAUAAUCUACAAAGAGCUUAGAAAGUGUGCACCAGGGUGACGCUAUAAGGUGAGCAGAAUUCAAUCUAAUCCAUGGAAGUUAAUAAUUUUUUAAUACAAAUGAAUGAAAGAAACUAAUUCUGAAUCACUAUAACCCUCAAAUUAGCUCAAUUUCAACCCUAAGGAUUGGGUUAGACACGGAUUGCUUUAAGAUCAAAUAUCUUGAGACAAAGAACAAGUUCCCUUGCCCAAGAUUUGAACACUCCACACAAUAGGAUGAUCGAUCUUGAAUGUUGUGGCAUACAUGAAUUGCAAAAUUCAAGAAGCUCUCCAAGCUAACCUUGAAAGAAAAGCUCAAAGGCUAAAUUCAAUUCACCAUAAAACUUAACUUUUGAAAAAUCUAAAGACAAAAAUUUAAAUAGUUUUCCAAUAAAACUCUAAUGCAAACAUAGUAAAAUGACAAAAUUAACCUUACUUGUCAUAAAAAGGAUAAAUUUGGAAAAUAUUAAAACUAAUCAAAAUUAUUAAAAAAAUUAAUUAGUAAUUUGACGCCCAUAUGGUUUAUAUCAUCCUUUCCUUCUUUUAAAGGAUUCAUCCUCGAAUCCAAAUCAAAACCUUGUAAAGUAGCUUGUUCCAUUUUGUUGGAAAUGAUGAGAGUGCUAAGGGGUUGUGAGCCUAGUUCAGAUGUCUUUAGAACUCAAAGACAAAGAUGUACAACCUGUAGAACAGAUCCAGUUCAAGUAAGGUCGUAGCCUAGUUCAAAUGUCUAGGUGCACUCUUUGAUCCUUUUGAAUUAUUGUUAUUUGACCAUUAAGAUAUAUUUUGAGCUUUCUCUUGUGCGGGUUUCACUUGUAGCUCUUUCUUUCAUACUUGCUAGACCCUACCCUCUCUAGAAAUUUUCUUUUUCCUGCACUAUGGAAGGUGAAAUCCCAAAUGAGGUUAAGUUCUUCUACUAAGUUAUUCGCGAAAGAUUUAUUACUCUAGAUCAACUUUUUAGAUUUAUUACUCUAGAUCAACUUUUGAAAAAGUUUUCUUCUUUGGUAGGCUCUUUGUUAACUUCUUUAUCAAAGGAUAAAAAAAGAAUUGUAUCGAAUUUUUUAGAGUCGGGGCUUCGCACAGUCUAUAGGGAAGUUUCUUAUUCUUUUUCUUUUUCCUUCCUUUUUUUCAAGGUGCUUGACUUUCAGUAAUCUUGUAUCUUGACACGAAGCUACUCUGAGAUGAUUGAGUUCAUUUUCCAUUUACUGUUUCGGGAGAAGGAAAGGUUCUUAGUGUCAAGUCGGAAUAUGUGCCUUGUUGUCGUGGGAUCUUAUAGGGAGAGAAGAAAAAUAGAAUUUUUAGAGAAGUGGAAAGGGUUCCCAGUGUUGUUUGGACAUUACUGACAAUUGUUUUUUGUAACUACUCAUUAAGUUUUUUUUUUUUUUUUAUGAAAACAACUUUCAUUGAGAAAAAACGAAAGAAUACGAGGGCAUAAAAAAACAAUCCUCCCAAAACACCCCAACUAAACGAAGAGGUUCCAAGUAAGUAAAAUGUUACGAGUGAAUAGUUAUAAAAAAGUUUCAAAACCGAAGCCCAAAAGGGCACAUGAAAUCUAACUAAGGACCAAACAUACAAGGGUCCCUAUCCCUCGCUCUAAAAUCUCUAUUAUUCAUCUCCCCCCAAAUAUCCCGUAACACAUCACACACCCUCACAAACCACAGAAACUGACAUUUGUCUCCGAAAGGUGGAUGGAGGAGGAAUUCCACAAUCACAACACGAACGUCACAAUGGUCGGCUAGCCAAACCUUGAACUCCUGCAAAGUAAAACUCCACACCACUUGAGCAAUACUGACAACCCCAUGGAAGACAAUCAAAGGCCUCCUCCGCUUUCUGUCAAAGGCCCUGCACGCAAGGUCCUUCUCCUAACGAGCCUUUCUAAGGUGUUCAGCUGACCCAGCAAGACUUGCCACGUAAAGUCUAACUUUCUUAGGAAUCUUAAUCCUCCAAACCACAUAAAAAAUAGACUCCUUAAAUGGGGUGGGAUUCGACAACAAUCUGAAAUAGGCUUUACAAGAAACGCUAUCACGAAGGUUUGAACUCCAAAUACGAACAUCCCUCCUCCCCAACCUAUACGUGGACUCCUUCAAAAGAGAAAGGAGGGUAGCAACCUUCAUUGUCUCCCUAUGGAUUAAAUGACGACGAAACUCGAAAGAAAAAGACACAACUCUUAAACCAACUCAAAAAUUCGAGAUCAGACAGUUCUUUAAGGAAGACAAAUGAUAAUGAUGCGGUAAUGUAGAAGAAAGGGAAUUGUCUCACACCCAAAAAUAAGUGUCCCUACCAUCCUCCACAAUACACAACAAAAGGAGAAAAAGAGGGCAGCUCAAGAGAAAUGUCUCUCCACAGAAUCCAGUGUGUGCCUUUAACCCCUUUCUCCACCAAAUCAAAAGGAUGGUUACCAUGUUUAUGCGCAAUAAUCCGAUGCAACAAAGAUUCGGGCUCGAGGGCAAAACGCCAAAACCGCUCAGCCAACAAGGCUCUAUUUCUAAUCCUUAGGUUGCCAAUUUUCAACCCUACUUAGUUAAUAGAGCGUCCCAACGCCUCCUAACUGAACAAGUGAGAAUCCUUCCCUUCCUCCCCUCCUUCCCAAAGAAAGUCUCUCAAACACUUUUCCAAGCACUUGAAACCGAGCUAAGCACCUUAAAGAGGGACAAAAAUACACGGCAAUACCACUAAGCACCAAUCUUAUCAAAGUAAGCCUUCCUACUUUGGAGAAAAAACAUUUCUUCCAUAAGUCUUCUUUUGUUUGCUUAAAGCCCCUUUCUUUAGGGAUGCUUUUAUGGGCUGGUUUUUCUUUUAGUUUUUUCAAUAAAAAGCUAGAAUACUAUCAAGAAGAAGACUUCUCACUUGCAUUUUAUAACUGCCAAUUGAACCACUUUUUUUGUAUGCUUUAUUGCAGCUCGGAAGAACUCAUAUAUUGUCCUAUUUUUUGUAGUAGAGCUUCGUUAAUAUGAUUGCAGCCUUACAGGUUUCUUAUUUCUUUCAAUAAAGAUAUACUGCAUUUGAUAAACAAUAUUUCAUUACCAGCGUUACUUAGCAUGAUAAAGAGGGCCAAAAAGCAUAAUUCAUAAGCUGAUGCAACGGAACAUGAAUGAAUGGAUGAACCUGGACAACAGGAGACCCUUAACAUCCAUUAAUUGAUCACCCUCUGAUUUUAUACACCACCUUCCAUCAACAAUUUCCACUUCCUAAGCCAAAAUUGUAGCAGUGUCAUUAGUAAGAUAAAUAAUCAGUCCACUAACUUCCAUAUGUUUUUUAUCAUUAUAAAUUAACAUUCAUUUGAAAACAAACAAAUGAGUCAAUACUUAAUACAAGUCCAAUCAGAUGCUUCUUACCAAAAAGGAAGUUCCACUCUUUGCACUCCUAACUAGGCUGUCCAUUAACUGAGAUAACUGUACAUAAAGAAAUGAUGUUGAAUUUAGUAAUAGGAAGUGCACAUAUAGCAUCCAGCUCAUAGAAAAUUUUAUUAUUGAAUCAAAAGCAGCAGCAUGAUAUUAUGAAUCUUAGUAGCAGGCAACUUUCAAUAUGAAAACAAGGGAUGUAGGGCAUCUGUUCUUGAGAUUCUUUUCUGAUUCUUGUUAGUUGUUGGAAACUUUCUUGAGUUCUAUAAAAGAUGUUCUAUUUAGUUUUUUCUUGCUGGCCUUUUCCUUUAUGUUUUUAGUAUUAAGACGGGCACUUAUAGCAUCCAGCUCAUAGAAAAUUUUAUUAUUUGAAUCAAAGGCAGCAGCAUGAUAUUACGAAUCUCAUUAGCAGGCAACUUACAAUAUGAAAAACAAGGCUAGCUCGGGCCAUCUCUUAUUGAAAUUCUUUUCUGACACUUGUUAGUUAUUGGAAACUUUCUUGAGUUCUAUAAAAGAUGUUGAAGGAGAAGGAAACCCCCGGAAUGUAAGCAUUUCAAUUCUUAAGGCAAAUAAAAACUAAAGAUUACUCCCAAAGUUUUUUAAAGCUCAAAACCACAAAAGCAAACAAUAUAAACAUAUACCAAUGUUGUAGCCCAACACUUACACUCAUUGUCAUUCAUCAAAUAUAACUAAACCUUAUGCCAAAAUAAUUAACAAAUCCCUGUACAACAAAGCUUACUCAAAACUUCAAUAAAAGCAAAAUAAACAUCACCUUUUUUUCAAGCUUGCGAACUUGAUCUCGAGAUUCUCUUAAGGCAUAGCUCUAGUUAAGAGAGAGGGAGAGAGAGAGAGAGAGAUCAUGGAUCAUGAUAAAUUAAGAAAAAUAAAAUAAAUAAAUAACAGAUGCUCUCAAAUUUACAUACUUAAAUGUUAAUAUAUUUUCUCCAUAAACGAAAUAUGAAGGAAAUAGUAUGAAUAACCAAAUGAAAUUAAAACAUGAAGAUGAGUGUUUAAGACAAAAUUAUUAGGAUUCUAAAUGCAAAAAGCAUAUGUAAGUAACAAAAUCAAAACCAGCAAGUUUAUAAGGAGCAAACCGCAGAAUCUUUGACCGAGCCAUCUUCAUCUACAGCAUUCAGUAUCAGUUUAAUCAAUGAUUGAUUUACAACCAUUCCCAUUAUCUACAAUCAAGGUUUAAAUAAGAUGUCACAUUAUAUAACAGACUAGAGCAGUGGUUUAAGGUCAUACCCAGAUACUUAUUUACCACGUUUGUUAGAGGCAUAAAACGUGUAGACCAAUCAACAUCUUCUUUGAUUGCUGUUUUCAAAUUAAAUUGCAACAUAUCAGCAAACUGUAGAAGAGCUGCAAUAGCUAUUGCUUCAUUUCCAUCCAUUGCUAGACUCCUUUGAGCAUGUUCUAUUGCCGAUUUCACCUUUAACAAACAAGACAAAGCACUUUGAAGAAGAAAGGAGUAAUUACAGAAUUGCAAGGUAGCGGAUUCUUCUCCUAUGUCAAUAGAUCUGUACAAAACUUUGUGGAGAUAUAAAUGCCAAAAUAAAAUCAGUAUCUGUUCUUGGAUUUGCUCGAUUGUUAUCUGAAUACAGCUGAUGUGCUUCAGAGGAAGCUUCCUACUUCAUGUCUUUUGCCUCCUAUUUGCUGUUUUUGCCAUGCGGAAGGGGAAUCUCAAUCAUAUAUUUUGUGAAAGUUCUUUCUCAACAGCUUGUUAGUUUGACCGUCAUUUAUUCCUAGUCUUGUUAGAGUUUGUUUCUAUGUUUCUUAUUGAGUUGUAAUGGCUGUGCUUAGCCCCCAAUUGGACUUUAUUUGUUGUUUGAUCAUUUAUUUUGUUGGAUAUGAUGAGGGUGCUAAGGGGUACAACCUAGUUGAGAUGCUCAGGUAUUGUUUGGUUUGUCUUGUUUGCUCAUUGUCUAAUCCUCUUGUACUAGCUUUUGUCUCAUUGUUUAUCAAUAAACGAGGUUGUUUCCUUUUCAAAAAUAAAAAACAGCUUGUUGGUACAAACUACUCAGUAUCUUCAAUUUGCAGUGGAUGUUUUAUCCGACAGCCAAGAGUAUUGGUUUCCAGUUUUAUUGGGCUUGUCUUUACCUUCAAGGCCUCAUUUAUGGAUCAGUGCAGUCAAAUGUUGUUCUUUAAUAGAUCGAUUUGGUUCUUCUCAUCUUAAAAGCUUCAUCAUGGUGAUGUUUUCUUCCCAAAACCUCCAAUGCUUUCUUUUUGCACUAUAUUUGUUUUAUUUUUCUUCUUCUUUGUGUUUUUCUGCACUAUGUUUGUUUGAAUUAAAAUGCCUUCACACGCCUUUAGUACUUUUCCUUUUACUAUAAGAGUUUGCAUCUUUUUAGUAUCAUUUUUUGUUUAAGAGAAUGAAAAUACAAUAACAACAACAACAAGAGAGUGACAUGAGUAACAACUUUUAGUUUUUGUUUUUUCCGGAAACAAUGUGAAAAAACACUAUGAUUUUGAAAAGAAAUAAAAUAUUAUAUUUCUCUUAUAGUUUAUGAAUCAAACACAAGAUCUUCUUAGACAAGGUGAAAAUCAUCCACCAAUAAAGUAAAAAGGAACAUAUAAAUUUAAAAAAUAUAGACAAUGCAAACAAUGCAAAAAAGAAAUAAUAUACAACUCAUGCUUACAAUAUAAAAUGAAAAUCCAACACUGCCCAUGUUGGAGCCUUUUGGGUAGUUAACGGAUUGUAUAGGCUGCUGGUAUUCAUUAUCUUUUGUGUUGAUAUUUUCUUUUUAUAGUUCGCUACCUUCAGUUACGAUUAGUUGUAGUAUAGGUGUGAUCAAGCCCUUCCUCUUUAGGUACAUUUAAAGGGUUAAUUUUCAUAUAACGGAUAUAACAAAAUUGCUAAGUUUUCUAAAGUUGGUUUUCAAGAUGGCUUUAAUAUUCAGCUCAAAUGAUGAAACAAAUUAUGGUUAGACCUUUUCAGGAAGAAGAUAUGCUUUCACCGAAUAACCAACUUUUGCAGUCGGCUUGUAGACCAGUUUGUCAAAUUGUCAUUUUUAAAGACUUAGUCUAUAUAUAGAAAAACCCAAAAGGGCAGGUUAGGAGAUUGAAGGUAAUUCGGUUGCCUUGCCUCUUGAGCACUGCAUUACUGAGGUAGGUGAGCAAAAUUAAUUAAAUUCUUUGGAUGAAUAUUCAGUAAUGGUGUCUUUGUCCUCUUCACUUCCCUUAGUUAAAAAAGACAAAGAGGCACCUACAAGUCAGUACAGCGUUUGACUGUUGAUAUCUCCAGAUUGAACUCUUUAUUGGCCAUCAAAGAAGUUAAAGACAAAAUACUGAUUCAUUGAAACUUCAACAUUUUGUACAAGGAAAAAACGUUCUUACCUUCCCAUCUUCUCAAAUUUCAGAUGAUUUCACAGUGGUAAAAAGGGAAAAUAAGUGAAUGCACUAACCAGAUGAAGGUUGACGCCACUUAAAUCUAAGCUGCAGCCACCAUGCUUGUGCAUUUCUACUGCCGCAUUAGUCUCAUCCAAAAGUCUAAGGCUUUCUUCAUAUGUCCAGUUCGAAGACCAAAGUUGGGCCUGUUCAUUUAACAAUAAAGUGAAUCAAAACUGCUUUAAAUGGAGCAUAAAGAAAUUUACUAUUGUAAUUAUAGAAAAUCAAGCUAAAAUUAUGCAGCUGUAAAUUAGAUAAUUAAUUUAGACUAUUUCUUUGUAUCAUGUAAUUUUUUCGCAUUCCUUAUUAAAUUUAAGUCUUCAACUGCCUCAUUUGUGUUCACACGUGCUUGGUUUGACUCCAUUUCUUCUUCUUCAGGUCGUCGAGACUAGCCAUUAAGAUACGUGCUUUCAAAAAAUCUAGGACAUAAUGUAUUUUUGGUCUUUGAGGUUUGAAGCUGAUGUCUAUUUGGUCUCUGAAGUUUCAAAAUGAACACUUUAGUCCUUGAGGUUUGAGAAAUAAUUCUAAAUGGUCUCUGAAGUCACAUUGAUCGUUAGUUGACUAACGGAAAAAUGAUAUGGGGUUAAAUAUAAUUAAUCAGCAAACUCAUUUGGCAAAAAUGAUUAUAAUAUUGAACUUUUUUUUUAUGAUGUGGCAUCCAACCUCACUCUCUUCUUCCACCUCCCAUCACUGUGUUAAAAAAAAAAUUGUUGUCCCUGUUGUUAAUGAAGAACAAAGAUGAAUUUAACCAUCGUCUUUCUCCAAAUCCCAUCACUAUGUUGCAAAAAAAAAUUCUUGUCCCUGUUGUUGCACCAAUUGUGGUUAGCUCUAUAAAUAUAUUGAAGAAAAAGAAGAAAUUAUGCAGAUAUACAGGGAAAUAACAUAUUCUAGUUUUCUAAAUCAGAAAUAAACUCCUGCAAUUCUAAUUAAGACGAUCGGCAAAUUGCUUGAGAAGCGAGUCCAUGACGAACUUGUAAGCUGCUUCAGUGGGAUGGAUGCUAUCCCAAAACAUGAGUUUUGAUGGGUUUUCACAUAUUGUACUUGUUUCAAUGUUACAUAGAGGUCCUGCUUCUGCCAUCCCAGUACCACAGGGCACAGCAGCCUGCGUUAACGUGUGCAAAACCUGUUCGACAAAAUGCCCCAAUGAUAAAAUUCAGGUAAAGAUGUGAUUUGAUACUUGGUUGUCCUUAAAUGAUUUAUUGGCUUGCUGUAAUUGUGAGGAUCACUGACCAUGUCCAUGAGGGGAGUGUAAAUGUCACCAUAUAGAAUUGUGCUUCCAGGAAGUUGUGGCUUUUCUUCAUUAGUCCUCAAGGUUAAAUUCAUCUUUGUUCUUCAUUAGCAACAACAGGGACAACAACAAAAAUUUGCAGCAUAGUGAUGGGAGGUUGAAGAAAGGGUGAGGAGAGGGAUGCCACAUAAUAAAAAAAGUUCAAUAUUAUAAUCAUUUUUGCCAAAUCAGUUUGGUGAUUAAUUAUAUUUGACUGCCACUUCAUGGUUUCAUUAGUUGUGACUUCAAGAACCAUUUAGAAGUACAACUUCGUGAACUAAAUUGUUCAUUUUAAAACUCGAGACAAGUAGACAUCAACUUAAAACCUUAAGACCAAAAGUUCAUUUUCGCUAAAAAUGAAGUCUAGUUAAGGAAAAUUCCCCAUAGGAUUCCUGAGAAACGGACUCAAGCAGACUAGCCCAUUGAGAAGCAUGCUCUCAAAAACUCUGCGAAGCCUAAUCAAACAGAACUACGCAAAAACUGAACCAGUGCAGGAGUGAGAAAAAAUCACGCACCACCAAGCUUUAGGGAUCGGAACCAAAAAUAAGCUUCAAAUUUACCUCCUCUUCUUACACCCAACACAGAGAAACCACGGCCAGAAAAGGUUCAAGAUCUCCAAUCUACUCUUUCUAAGUUGUUUUAUCAUUUUCUCUCGUAUCUUUUCUUCGUCAAUGAAAAUAAUUUAUUUCCUUUUCCAACAACAUCAAAGAAACAAACAAGCUUAUACCUUGCUCCUAUACUUCUUCCCACAACAAAAUUAAACUCACCACUCAACCUCCAGUUUGAGGGGUUAUAACAGAGCAAUUGCUUGAAUGAAAUUUUGUAGCAGUUGAUAUUUUUAGAUUCGGAUUUUUUUUUUUCAAUCGGUUAGUUAUGAUGGUAUCCAACUUUCAGGAAUUAGUUUGGCCUUGCUAGGUAGUAGGUAACAUGCAUUCAAUCCUAUAAAUCAAAAGGUGAAGCAGUGUUCUUCAUAGGAGAAGUAGAAGCAUGGCCAAGAAAAUGAGAACUUAGCUGCGAUACAGACCUUGAUAGCUUGACGCCCCAGAGAAGUGCGGGCGAAGGAAGCAACUGAAUCGCAAAGUUUAUCCCAUUCUAGCGCUCUGAGACUGUCCAGGCGGAUUGAAUGUUGGGUUGUGUUAUCUCUAAUGUCAUUGCUGACGGAAAUGUUUGCAGAGAGGGAGAAAUGUAGGGACGCAGUUCGAUUCCGGAAUAUAACCGGCACCUGCAGUGGCAGUGUAGAAUAACUGAUCCAGGUCCAGGUGAGGGGAUGCCGGAGAAAACAGAGCAUCGUUUUACCCUUCCUUUCCUUGCACCUACGAGGACGAGAGUGCUAUGUCCUGACAAACUCACCACUCCCGCUAAUACCUACCUAUCUCUACGUUCCAACGCUGAUACCACAUCUACUUUGCAUUCUACUAUUGAUUUUCUACUCCCAAAAAAUAUAUUCUGAUAAAUUGUACCCAUAAUUCAAAAUUUAAAAAAAAAACCAAUCGAAAAUUGAUUUUUCACCUGCUUUCUAAAGUUUAGUUUUUUUUAUUCUACUAUAUUAGGAUGAUGGUACCUUUUUCCCUUCUAAGAAAUCUACGGUAUAUGUAUUAGGGGUGUUCGCAAUUCGAUUUGAUUUGAAGCUAAAAUCGCACCGAAUAGCUUAUUUGUGUCAAAUCAAAUGGAAAUCGAACCGAAGCAAAACCACUUAUGCAUAAAUAAAAUCGAAGCAAAACCAAAUCGUUUAUGCAUAAAUAUUAUAAUUAAAAUCCUUUAUGAACAUUGUACAUAAAUAAAAGUUUUACAAAGUUUCAAACAUGGAUUAAAUUAAUUCCUAUAAUGUUACAAGCAUAUAAGUUUCAAAUAUUGAAGUUUGAAAGUCCAUCAAAACAUUGAAAUUUCAAAGUCCACCUAACAUAAUAUAAUAGUUCUACGGUUAUACAAACUUUCUUUACGUUCUUAUUCUUCUCAUUCCUCUCCUUGAUUUUUUUCUCUAUACCCGCUUGGAAGUCUUAAAAAAGUUUUAUUAUUAACAUAGUAAUGGCAUAAUCAAUAUAUUUGAAUUAUGAAUUAUACAAAUUAAUUAGAAAGAAUGUUCUAUAGAUACGAACCUUUUUCAACUAUUGCAAUCCCCUCCAAGUUUUUUUUUUUAAGAUCAAUAGAUUCAAUAUUAAUUGUUUUUGAACGUAGCCAAUUUUGUCCACAUACAAGUGCCUCAACUGUGGUUGGAGCUAACGUGGAACGAAAUGAAUCAAUCACUCGUACAAACUUCAUCAAGACAACUUCUUUACAUUCUUGUUCUUCUCCUUCUUCUCCUUCUCGUUCAUCUCCUUGACUUUUGCCCCUAUACCCGCUUUGAAGUCUAAAAAAAUCUUAUUAUUAACAUAGUAAUGACAUAAUCAAUAUAUUUAAAUUUUGAAGUAUACAAAUUAAUUAGAAAUAAAGUUCUAUAGAUACGGACCUUCUUCAACCGUUGCAAUGUCCUCAAAGUAUUUUUUUUUUUAAGAUGAAUAGAUUCAAUAUUAAUUGCUUUUAAACGUAGCCAAUUUUGCGCGCAUAUGAGCGCCUCAACUGUGGUUGGAGCUAACAUGGAACGAAAGAAAUCAAUCACUAUGCCACUAGUACUAAAUGAAGACUUAGAAGCAACUAUGGAUAUCAGAAUUGCUAAAAUAUCUCUUGCAAUUCGACUAAAAACCUUAUAUCUUGAAGAAUUUCCUUUCCACCACUCUAAGAUAUCAAAGUUCUCCUCAUGUGCAAUACGAUAGUCCAAUAAGUAAAUAUCAACUUAUGUAUCCACACUUAGGACAUCCUCUUCAUCCAUAUUUUCAAAAUGGAUACGAAAAACGUCUGAAGCAUAAGAAGAAGUUCUAGAUGUAGCGGAAGUAGUUAUAGAUGUACUGAAAGAGUUGCUACUACUAGUAGUAGCACUAUAAACUGAAGGUUGACUCAUAUAUGUACAAUCCUUAAACACUUGAAAUUGAGAUGAUGCAAUCGGGCUUGAAGAUGAUUCAUGGCUAUGAUAGUUUAAAGAAUAUUCACUAAAAAAUCUUCUCAAAACAGAUUUCACCUUAUUCCCCACUUCUUUUGUUGUACCCAUGUCAAAUAAUUGAGUCAAAGAAUACAUAAGAGAUUUUAUCUUGUAACGUGGAUCCAAAACAAAAGCAGUAUAAAAAAAGAAAUUUGUUUUUGCGAUCUUCCCCUAAUACUUAUCGUACUUCUCUUGCAUUUUCAAAGUCAUGUCAUGCAAUAACUUAUUAUCAGGACCACCUACACUUGCAUGUUCUUUUAUGCAAUUCUGGACAAUACUAAUCUCAUGGAAGAUAGUGUUGGAAGUAACAUAAAUAGACCUUGAAAGCCUAAUAGUUACUUCAUAGAAAACAGACAAAAAUUUGAUAAAUAUUCUUGCAAUUUUCCAAUCUCUAGAAUUUGAUAAAUAUUCUUACAAUUAAAUUCAAUAUAUAUAUGCAACAACACCUAACAUGCAUGAAAUCCUCAUCUAACACAAAUGCAUGUUUGAAACAUUUCUUUAGAUAAGCAAUAGUUGUAUCAUUUGAUGAAUCAUUAUCAAUGGUUAAGGUCAAUACCUUAUCAAUACCCCAAUGUUUCAAACAUUUUUCCACCUCUCUUCCUAUUGUUUCCCCUUUAUGAUUUUCAAUAUAAGAGAUAUUAAUUAUUCUCUUAUGAAGUUUCCAACUUCUAUCAACAAAGUGUGAAGUCAAAACCAUAUAAUUAACAUUUUGAAUUUACGUCCAAGUAUCAAACAUAAAUGGAACUCUAUAUUCUUCAUUCACAAAAACAUCUUUCAGCAGUUCUCCCAAGUUAACAUAUCUUUUCCAAAAUAUCUAUAGCAAUUGUAGUUCGAGAAUGAAUAAUAAAACUUGGUUCUACUAACAUCAAAGUUCCUUCAAUAAACUUUCUAAAUAUCUCAUUCUCCAUAAAUCUAAAGGACAACUCGUCGACUAUGAUCAUCAGAGCAAUUUGUCUUCAAGCAUUCUCAAUGGUAAAUAUCUUAUAAUUAUUUUUUUUACUGUCCCCAUCAUUGUCUUUAUUUAGAAAUACUAACUUUGUUUGAGUUAUAUCUACUUUAUUGUCUUUCAAUUGAUAAGGAUUUUUUUAUAGUAAUGGUCAAGAUGUGUCCUCAUAGUUGAAUUUCUAUUCCUUCUUAGAUGGCAUGCAUACACCACAUUACAAUAAUUGAAAUUAUCAUGUGAAUCAUCAUCACUAUAUUCAGAACAUUUAGUAAAAUUAUAUCAUACCAUAGAAGUAUUUUUCCUCUUCUUUCGAGAUGGUUGGAGUUCUGGUGGUGGCACGAUAACCUCAAUAACGACAUCAUUUUCAUUCACACUAGAACAAUUAUUGCUAUUGCUUAUGGUGUUCGAUUUAGUGUCUGUGUUUUCAUUGUUAUUGUCAUCGAUCAAACUUGUUGACAUUCUGCCUACGCCUACAAUAGGGAUAAAAAGGUCUUUAAUUAGUAUGGAAAAAAAUGUCUUUUAUUAGCAUGAAAAAUAUAAACAUCUUACACUUGAGUUAUCUGCACCAAUGAAACAGUCUCCAUUGAAUAGUAUCCACGAUUUGCACCAAUGAAACAUUGAUUAAUGAUAAUGAGUAAACAAUAACUUAUUCCAAACAAAUAGAAAGUCCUUAUAGUCAGAAGUCCCCAUAAAUAGAGGGGUCGAGAAAAAGAUUAAGCAGGCAGCAGAAUGGGGUGAAGCAGAUAAUGUUUCUUCGAAGUGAAGAAGUGUCAAGCUAGAAUAGGCGUAGGCUUUUGAGUAUGAGAUUGAAGGGAUAAAAGCCCUAGGCAGCAUAAUGCUUUACAUAACCAUUUCUCAAUUUAAUUUGGGAAUCUCAAAGUACCAAUACAUGGCAAAAUAAUAUACAAACUAAUUUUUUUUACUAUAACUUAAAGGCUAAGCAUUCUUUCUAACUAUAGAUUAGAGAGAUAACAUACUUAAAACAUAACUAUACUUAACUUCUCAGAACUCUUUUUUGUUUUAUUUUACUAGGUCAUUCUCCACCCAGAGUUAUUUUUGGUUCAUUCACUUAAUAAUAUAUAGUACCUUGAUCUCUUGGUUGACUUGAACUCACCAAAGGACGAUUUUUUGCAAAAUGUCCUGAUUUCUUACAUCAAAAGCAAAUGUCUCCUCCUUUGAGACAUUGUCCAAGAUGAUCUUUGUUGCAUUCUCUACAAAGAGGUUUACUGUUGCUGCUUGCAACCAUCUUCUGGUAACCUCUUCUUGAGUUUUGAGAUCAAAACGAGCUUCCUUUUCUAAGUCCACUCUUAAAAUUAUUUUCUUUCAAUACUCCUAGGCCGAAGCUCUUUUUGUUUUCUUGUUUCACUCCAUCAUAACUCAUUUUUAAUCAAAAUGAGAAUCCAUAACAUCAAACUUCCUUGAUGAUAAACUUUGUUUCACUUGUAAUGCAAUUUCAAUCAAAUGUGAGAAAUCCUCCCACUUUGAUGUUGAUGUUACUGAAGUCUGAAUUUUCUGUCUAAGCCCAUUCUCGAAUUGUCGGCAUCUAUCACUUUCAGAUGCCACAAUUGGUCCAAUUUAACGAUAGAGUUUCAUAAAUUUCCUAUUGUACUCAACUAUUGUUAAUAAAUUUUGCUUUAAUUUUAGAAAUUCAUUCCUUUUUGUUUCACAAUAGAUCUUUGUAUAAUAUUUAUCUUCAAAUAUUCCUCAAAAUACUAUCCAACUCAUAGUAUGUGUAUCUCUUCUUCUAGCUUUAAUUGAAUCCCACCAUCCUUCUGCUUCCUUUUACAGUAGGAAGGUUGCUAACUUAAAUUUCUUCUCUUCGGGGCAAUCCAUCACCUUAAAACACUUUUCUAAUAGAUUCAAUCACACUUCUACGUCAGCCAAAUUUGUGCCUCCUUAAAAAAUCGUUGCACCUAAAGAUUUCAAUCUUUCGAUGUUAUGUUUCUUAUCAGACCUAAUUUGCAUUGUUCCCAUUGACUCCAUAACUUCUUGGAACGUCUGCUGGUAGCUUUAAUCAUCCAUUCCAUCUUGUCUCGUACUUCAUUCAUCUUUAAUCAUCCAUUUAUAGCUUAUGCAUAACACACACACACAUAUAUGUUUAUAGCUUAUGCAUAACACACACACACAUAUGUUUAUAGCUUAUGCAUAACACUUUAAACUUUCAAUCUUAGUUCAGCUAUCAUAUUUUAAUAAACAACAAGUAAGUAACAAACAUACUUUUUAUUUAUUAAUUUCAUAAGCUUUCCUUACAUACAUAAGCACAGAUAAUAUACAAUUGAUUUACAUAAGCGCACAAGAAACAUACACUUUUUACAUCUUUUUACAUUUAUUUCAUUCUCUUUUUCUUUCAGAUAACCUAAUGAAGUUUAUCUUUUCCCUUAAUUGAUGUCGCUACUUGCGUCUAAUAGAUGGAGCUACAGAUAUUACUCUCAUCUCUACUUGUCUAUCCAAACUAAAUGCUAAAGAGUUGUUCUUAUGUUGUUCUAUUUGAUGGUAGUAAUAACAUGAAACUUUAUCGAUAUUACACUUAUCCCUAUGAAACCACUUACACUUAUAACACUGCUUCUUUCUCUUUAAUUAUGAAAUAACUUCUCCUUCUUCAAAACAAGAUCCUACUGACUCUUGUUUGCUUUCUUCCUCCAUCUCUCUCAAUCUCACCUUUCUAUAGUGUUUGAAAAAGUAUUGUCUUCCAAACAUACUUUGGAAUACAUCCCAAUCCUGUUUGGCUUUUUCAGUCAAAUCUUCCUUUAAUGAGAACCACUAUUAUUUUGCAUUGUCAAUAAGCAUAGAUUCUACUAAUGUUACCUUUAUAUCAUCCUCACAACUAAUUAUUUCAAGGCACUCUCUCACCCUAUGCAUCCAUUCCUCAACUUUCGUAGGGUAGAUUGAACAACCCUACUUUUCUACUCCAUAAAGUUCUAGUCAUCCUCUUACAUUAUUGUUUUCCAUGGAUUUGUGAGUAACAAAUAUUUUCUUGUUUUAAUGCUUGAAAUAAUAAUAGAGAAUACUUACAUGGAUUUUUGAAGAGAUUGUGUCUCGAUUGCUGCUUACAUAUGUUGCUUGCAAGACAAGUUUUAUUGAAAAUUCAUUUUAUAAAUUAUUUGUUUUCUAUUUUAUAGGAAAUAACUUUUUAAAACAAAUUUUGACUUUUAGCGCUUUGCUUCCUAGGAACUUUAUUGCUUUGAUACCAAGUUGUCACAUCAUACCACGUCUUGGCCCAAAAUGCAGGUGCCUGGGGUGAGGUGUGACAAUAGGUCAAGAAGGGAACUUGUUAAGGGAGUACUAAAGUGCGGACUUUAACGAUCGAAAGGUGCUCAAUGCUUCUGAAGAGUGGCGAACGUUUGGUCGUUGUUAGAAACCACAAAAAUGCAUUCUCCGCAUAGAAAAUGCGACGAGUUUAAGAACUUUUGGUGCUGGUCCCAUAAAGAGGUCAAUGUCUAUGCCCUAGACUCAGUUUUUAUCUUGGGGUCAGAAGUGGUCAUUACCAAUUUCAUUAACUUGUCUUGGUCUAAAGCCUUUACAACUUCGAGAUUCUUUGAACAAGGACUUCCUUUUACAUUCCUAGCAUGGUUGAUUCCACAUUUACCCAAAGUAUAGGUUGAGAAGCGAGCUCGUUGGGGGAGAACUAAGGUAUAGACCAAAAGGAUCGAAAAGGUGGCCAAUGCUUCCUAAGAGUGGCAAACAUUUGGCUUGUGUCAAAAACUACCGAAAAUGCAUUACCCACAAAGAAAUUGGGAUGAGUUUAAGAACUUCAGUUUCGAUCCUAACAAAAAGAUCAACGACUAUGACCCAGACUCGAUUUUUAUUUUGGGGUCAGUAGAGGUCCUUUAACUAUUUCUUUGUUUUUUCUUGGUCUAAAGCCUUUCCAGCUAUGAGAUUCUAUGACCAAGGACUUCUAUCUACAUUCCUUGCAUGCUCCUUCCACAUUUACCCAAAGUAGAAGUCAGGAAGCAAGCUCGUUGGGGGAGUACUUAAUACGAAUCAAGCAACCAAAAUUUAAUCAAAUGAAAAAGUUGAAGAGAUGCAAUGGUUGGAAGUUGAAGAGUUAUUUUGGCAACCCAAAAUCAUAAUAUUAAAUGUUCAAGGAAUUAUGUAUUUAUGUGUUUUCAAUUAUAAUGGCAGUUGAAAGGACAUGAAAUUAAAUGUCGUUACCUUUCAUUUCAUAUUUUAAUUAGUAUAAAUAGGGUUGUAAUUUCCACAUUUUAAAAAAGAAGAAUUUGGGAUGAAUGGAAUAUGAAAAUUCUAGUAUGUUAAAUUUUAUUCUUGUGUGUUCUUGUGAUAGAAUGCACAAAUAUUUGGAGCAUUCAAGUGAGAUUUGAUCUACCUUACCUGUGGAGUGUUUUGAAGAUCGAGGGUUGAUGGAAGUUUCUAACUUUAUUCGAUCAUUGGUUUCUUAGAUCAUCUAAGCAAUAUGUUUCUAGGCUAUCUUAGGGGUUGAAAUCAAAUUGAUUUUGGAGCUGUUGGGGUUGUAUUCUUUGAGUCUUCUUGUUUAACAUGGUUCUUAGAACCCAUGCUCAGGGGUUUCAUAUCAGUACUAAGGUGCAAACCAAAACAAUCGAAAAGGUGGCAAUGCAAGAAAGUGGCAAACAGUUGACCAAUGUCAGAAACUACUAAAAAUUCAUUUUCCACAAAGAAAAUGAGAUGAGUUUAAGAACUUGUGGUGUUGGCCCCAAAAAAUGCGAACGCCUAUGCCCCAUAUAGUUUUUAUCUUGAGCUCAGAAGUUGUUCUCUAACAGUUUCUUUGUCUAAAGCCUUUCCAGCUACAAAAUUCUAUGAACAAGGACUUUUGUCACCAUUUCUAGCAUGGUCCUUUCCACAUUUACCCAAAGUUAUGUCAGGAAGCAAGCUUGUUAGGGGUGUACUAAGGUGCGGACCAAAAAGAUGGAAAAGGUAGUCAAUGCUUCCAAAUAGUGGCGAAGGUUUCGUCAGUGUCAGAAACAAUCGUAAAUGCAUUCCUCUCACAGAAAAUGGGACGAGUUUAAGAACUUUUGGUUUCGAUCCCAAGAAAAGGUCAACGACUAUGUCUCAGACUCAGUUUUUAUUGUUGGGUCAAUAGUGGUCCUUUAAGUAUUUCUUUGUUUUGUCUUGGUCUAAAGCGUUUUCAGCUAUGAGAAGCAAAUACUUUUUUAAAGUCAAGAAAGACUUGAUUUUCAAUACUUUUUUUUAUCUUGAAUCACUUCCAAUAAAGUUAUUUAAGUUUUUCAAACCUAAAUUUUAUUACUCAAUCAUACAUAGAUACUUUAUCCACAAUUCAUGAAAUGACGAAAAGAUUUGUGAUGAAGAUCAAUUUGAAGAGAGAACGUCUAAUUCACUUAAAUACGAAAUAAUAAUUCUAAAAAUAAAUUUCUUUUAAGAACUCACGAAUGUUUUGCGAGAGCUCAAUAUUUUACUGCUCACGUAAAAGUAAUACGAGUUUUACAAUUUUAGCUAUUUAGGUAUUUUUUUUCUUUACCUCAUUCUCUCCCGCGCGCAAGACCCUCCCCUCCGCCGUUUUUCCUCACACUCACAGAUCCCGCUCGGUGACCCUUCGCCCGUCCGCAGCUCUUCUCUUCGUUCACUCUCCCGUCGUUCGCACUUCGGUAAGUUCUUUUCUCUUUUCUUUCCUUUUUUUACUCUCCAAUUGUAAGAUAAUUGUUUUGAUGGGUUGUUGCUUAACUGCAUCAUUCAAAUUUGCUUUUGAUCUAAAUUUCUUUGCCAUGGUCGGAAGCUUUGAUCGGCUGGAACAGGGUAGUUUUGUUUAGAUGAGUAUCAUCCUUACUGGUUCUUUCAAGCUAUGGCCAACCUGGUGACCUUUUUGGUUCUUACUUUUGCAUACUAAGCUUUUCUUUUCAUCAAAUGUUUUUUCUAAACUUUAACUGGCGAUGGAAGAUUAUCAGGACUUUGUUUUUGGUUGGCCAUUUGACCAUUGGUGUGUGGCAGGCAAGAAAAACUGGUUGGCUGAGCAACAAUGCUUACACAUAUUUUUAGAGCAUUUUUUUUACAUUUAGUAUGCUUAUGUACCUAUAGUAUAGGGAUAUAUAUAUGAGAAUUUGAGCAAAGUUGUUUUAAAUAAUAAAUUUUGAACAAUUUUUUUUCUUUAAUUUUUCCGAAAGUUCCUCUCUUUGUGCUUAAACCUAUUUCACGUUAAACCCCCGCCCUCCCAUUACAUGCUACUCCCCCCUGCCGCACGAAUUUCCUAUCCAGAUAGUUUCUGAAUGUUUGAAUUUAUAGCAGCUUCAAGUUUAGAAGGGUUUAGGGUUUUCAAUCGCUGGACCAAGAUGAAGCAAGUAGUGGGGAUGGUGGUCUCAAACAAAAUGCAGAAAUCAGUUGUCGUUGCAGUGGACAGAUUGUUUUAUCACAAGCUCUAUAAUCGCUACGUUAAACGCACUUCCAAGUUCAUGGCUCAUGAUGAGAACAAUCAAUGCAAUAUUGGUGAUAGGGUGAGAAUUUAAUUCCAUCUUUACUUCCCCAAUUAAUUUGUUUUUCUUUAUUUCAAUUCACUUGAUCAAGUUGUGGACUCGAUGUAUAGUUUCAGUUAAAACAUCGUGCAAAUUUGUUCGACAUCACGGUAGUACUGGAUGAAAUGGAUAGCAUAUAGCAUGUUGUGGUGGUCGUUCUUUAUGUUUGAAGAGUUUAUUUGUUAAAUUACAUAUGCAUUAUGUUAAUUUAUAUAAUUCUUGUUUCAUUUUCAUUUCUCUUGAACAUGUGCUUGGGGUUUGUUAGUAUUUAACGUUUCUUGUUAAUUCACUGUUGAAACAAAUUGAAUUUUAUAACCUCAGGUUAAAUUAGAUCCUUCGAGGCCAUUGAGCAAGCAUAAACAUUGGGUGGUUGCUGAAAUUUUGAGGAAAGCAAGAAUUUACGAGCCACCAUCACAAGAUAAACAGUCUGUUUCAGACAAAAGCAAUGUUUCAGCUCCUUCAACCACUUAAGGUUUGAUUGAUACACUUGUUAUUUUCUUUUUAGAAAGCCAAACUUGUAUCUUAUUGAGUUCUGGAUCGUCCUGGGCGAUCAUAAUCACUUGAAUCUCUGAUGACUAUUUGCGGCAAUUCUUUGUUUCCAUUUAGAGUAUAUUGCAGUUGCACGUGAUUGUUAUUUAUUAGAAACUUUACUAGAAUACAUCUUUUUAUUGUUAUGUGAACAAUAUGUAUUACCAUCUUUCUUGAUGGCAUUGUAGGUUCAUGAGCAGUUCUUUUUUUUUUUUCUCGAUAUAAUCAAACAGCUUUCACUGAGAUAAAAAUGAAAGAAUACAAGGACAUACAAAAAAACCAGCCCACCAAGCCACCUAAGUAAAAUACUGUCUAUGGAGUAGUUACAAAAGUUCUUCGAAAUCGUAACCAAAAAAGACAUGAAAUCUAAUAAAGGACCAAAUUUCACUAAGAUCCCCCUCUCUCUCUUGGAACACCCCAUCAUUCCUCUUGCCCCAAAUGUCCCAAAUAACCGCGUACACGCUGACAAGUCAUAAAAAACCCCCUUUAUCUCUGAAAGGCGGAUGGAGGAGGAACUCCUCGAUCGUCGCUUUGAUGGUACGUAAACCAGCAAAGCUAACGCUGAACUCCAGAAGGAAGGAGCUCCACACGGCCCUCGCAAACUGGCAAUCCCAAGAAAGAUGAUCAAGAUCUUUCUCCGCCUUUUGACACAACAUGCAGCAAAAAGGUGCGACAAGGGAAGAUCUUCUCCUAACAAGCCUAUCAACAGUAUUAACCAAUAGACACAUAUAAUGUCUUUGUGGGCAACUAAGAUGCCCUUCCCAUUUGAAUCUCUUUGUUUGAAAUUUGAUGAUAACGUUGUCUUAUUUUUGCUGUAUGUUAAUGACUUGGUGCUUGUAGUGAACCAUGAAACACAUCUUGCCUUUUGAAAAUGCAGUUCAGAAAGUUUUGCUAGCUUAGAGCCUAGUAUUUUCUUUGCUUUAUUUUUCCUAUUAGGAGUUUAUUUCAUUUUCCUUUAAAUGUUUCUUCUAUCUUUUUGUUAUGAGGAGUUUGCAUCUUACCCAAAAAAGGGACAUAACGAUAGUAGUUCAUGGGGGUUCUUUCAUAAUGAUUGAUUUUAUGUUCAUUCUGCCCUCCAAUUGUUUGCAAACGCAUUGCAUUCAUUCACCCCCUUUUAUCUAUAUAAUUCAGUGUUUUGAUGAGCUAGUUGGCUGUCUUUAAAUACUCAUGGGUGAUUGUUCAAGAUUUUUAUUUGAAGUUUGAUUAAUAGGAUACUUGGUCUCCAGAAAGUCCUAUCUUGUUCCUAGCGAUUGUGGUUGGAUUGAGAUUAAAAACAUGUUUUCACGUAUCAUUUUAGAAUUACUAACCUUAAAAACCAGCAUGGAUUGGCUAAUGGCCAACAAGGGUGAAAGUAUAUACCUAAGAUUCGAAAUCAUACAAGUGUUUGCUCGGCAACCGAAUGCAGUAUGGUCAAAUGGUUCUAAGAGGAAACCUUCAACAUCACCGAGGAUUCUUUGGAGGUUUUAAGGGUGUGAUCGUAUCAGUGCUGGGUCUUGUGAAAAAAAUCAAAGUUAAAAAAGAAAAUAUAGUGGUUCUCUUACAGUGAAAAUAGGGUUUUCAAGGGUGCUGGUCCAAUAACAAUGUCCUUGGUUCCUAAGAGAGCUACAUGGUUAUUAUGGAGCCAUUUCAGUGGAUUUUUGUUGACAGAAGCUCCAUAUUGUUCAUUGAGUUCAAUACGCUAUGGGAACCUUUCAUUUUCAUUUACAAUGCAGAGAAGAAAGUUUCUCUGUUGUCCAAAGUUCCCUGAAAAAAUAAGAAAUGGAAAAUGGUUGAUUCAUGAAGUCAAAUCAAUAGACUUCUCAACUUUUGACCGUGUUUCUUUGAGGGGAAGAUGCAAGCAUCUGUAGCACCUUGAUUUCUUGGAAGUUGGAGGGUGCAAAGCAAACAUUUUCUCAAAGGAGGCUUUUAAGGUACUGUUGAAGAUUUUUUCAAAUCAUGGGACAUCUACUCAACAUAUAAAUAGUGACCAAUUUUGCCUCUAAUUAGUCUCCCUUUUGUACAUAGUGGUGUGAUUAAAUGGGAAAAAAGGGCCUUUAAUAAGACGGUAUUGCCCAUCAACUACCUCCAGGUAAAAGGUUCAAUUAGCUCCAUCUUUCAAGCCCAUUUGGUCUCUAUCUGGACUGGAGAAGGUUUUGUACCCUUUCAACUGCAAGAUCAUGUGGAUGAUUCCUAAUGCCUGUCUGUGUAGAAAUAGCCAUCAAUUAGUUGAGGCAUUAUAAUCUUAACCAACGGGUGUAGCCUGAUAAGUUCGAAUUCCACCUAUAUAUUAUUGAAUAUUUUCUUUUUUCUUUGUUUUAGUACGAAAGGGGUGGAGGUACGUGGGUUGGAACUUACCUUGAGAGGAGUGCAUAUUUAAUUAUGUGGUUUGCUUUAGUGAUUUUCAUGCUAGCUACCCUUUUGGGAGUUUGGUGGGAGAAUCUUCAAAGAUGAGUGAUCGGGAUUUAGGUGAAAUGAAUAAGGAAGAAAAUCUUUAAAGAUGAGUGAUUGAUGGAUGGUUUUAUAUUUCAUUAUUGUUUGUCUCUUCUUGUGCCUCGCCAGUUUUUUCAGUAACUGUUUUUUUUAUGGUUCAACCUAAUGGGUCAUGCAUGUAUAUAAUUUUUGUCAACUCAGAUAAGUUGACGCCCUCUCCCUUCUAUUAAUUUCUUUCAUCAAUGUAAAAAACUGCAAAUCUGUCUCGCAUUUAUGUAAAAACAUUUUCAAUAAUAUAUCUGUUUGCCUAACCAUUUAACAGAAAACUACUGCAAACCACUACAAGACCAAAUUGGAUCUCUCAUUGCAUUGGCAAACUGAAGAACGAAAACUCUGGAGAAUGAACUACUUUCUGUAAGCGGUAUGUUUCUCAUAUCAAAGAUUUGUAGUUACAUUACCAUUUCGUUUUGGACUGUUGUGUGAACCUUCUUUUUCAUAUGAGGCAUUUCAUCUCCACAAGUUGUGAUGUUAAAAGUGCAUAAUAAACUUAUUAAAAAAGGUUCUAUCCAUCAGUUCAUAUGUCUGGGAUGAACUCAGAAGUCAGAAGAGAUCCAACUUUAUUCUAUAUUCAAUCUUCUUACUAUUCUUUUAUUGAUUCUGUUUUUCAUGUUUUAAUGAUACUUGAGUAGUUUUUAUCAUAAAAAUGAUAUCAUUAUUGAAUUUUUAAGGUUCAUCUUAUGUCUAAUUAGGUUUAGUUUGGAGAAACUGAAUUAGGAGUUAUUGAAGAUUUUGAUUAGGUUUGCAAUGGUAGGUUAGUUUGUAGUCAAGGUUGAUUUCACUAAUGUAAAGCAAAAUUUAUUGAAAUUAUUAAGCAUGAAAUUACUUUUGGAAAGGGAAACAAAUGAGUGAAAUUAAAUUCACAGCUAAACUAAUUCAAAUACCACAGAUUCUGCAUCUAAUAUUUUAAAGUUCAUAUAUAUUUUUUAACUGACAUUACUAUAAGUUUUAGGGUAUUUAUUAAUAAAUCUCUUUAAAAUCUUAGGACAUUUUGACUGACUUUUUCUGUCAAUAAUACUAAUAAUUAGGUUUUUUGAAGAAUUAUUAUGGAUUGCAAAGAACUUGAGAAAAAAAAAACUCAAAAGGACUAUGUGAGAUGAAUGAAUUAUGCUAUAUUUUGUAAAUAGUGUCUAUAUUUUUCUAUUUUUAUAAUGUUUCUAAAGGAUUAAGGCUAAAGAAACUUUUGGAAUUCAAAAUAUAUUUGGGAUAGUUGCAAUUCACCAAUUAGAUUCCAAAUAAUGAAAUAUAUUUUAAUAUUUUAAAAAAUUUAUAAAUAUAGUAAAAUUUAUCAAAUUCUAUCAACGAAGUGUACACCAACUUAAGCAAAGUGUACACCAAAUUAAGCAGUGUGAUUUCUGUUUUAUAAUUAAUUAAGCAGUCUUGUACUGUUUUAUAAAAUUAAGCAGUCUUGUACUGUUUUAUAAAAUUAAGCAGUCUUGUAGGUAAUUUUCAAACUACGUGGUUUUAUUUAAGUUUAGAAACUAAACUCCAGCUUUAAACAGCUUUCUUUAAACUAUUGGUCCUAAUUUUGUGGUUUAAUCUAAUUUUAAAUUAAAAUUAUUACAAAUAUAUAUUUGGUGAAAGUACAUGCAAAAAUAUAACCAAUUUUAAAAUCUAUCAUUACAAAGAGAAGUCUAUGAUAUCUAUAUAAAAUUUAAAAUUGGCUAUAUUUUGGUUCAAUUUGUUGACAAUGUCUUGAUUUUUAAUUGUAAUUUAUAUUUAUAAAUAAAUUAAUAAUAGUUUAUUUUUUACUAAAUCUUAGUAAAUAAGUAAGACUAGUUUUAGGGUGUGUUUGGUUGAGAUUCUAAAGUGUUUAAUUUUGUAAAAAAAAAAUUAUUUUUUAGAAAACGGUAGUGUUUGACAAAUUAAAAUAAUGUAUUUUUAAAAAAUUCAUUUAUAAAAUAAUCUAUUUUGGAGAAAUCUUUAAAAAUUAAAUUCAUAUCUAAACCUUUAUAAAAAAGUCUAACCAAACAUUACGUGUUUCUAAACUCAUUUCCAAAAAAGUGUUUCGGAAGAAAAUGUAUUAUUGAAAAACAUUUUUUUUAAUUACCAUUUUUUUACUUGAUAUAUCAAAUUAAACCCAAUCAUUCUUCUUUUUAUUUGUUCUAAAUGUUUUCCCAAAAAAAAAAAUCUAAACAGAAACAAAAACUAAACUAAAUAUUAUAUACCAAAAUAUUUUAGAAAUACUUCCAACUUUCAUUCACUUUAACACGGUAGAAAUAAGAAAGUAUGUUUGGAUUAUACACUAACAUAGAAAAUAAAUCAAGGUAGAUCUAUCAUUUUUUCAUAUAAAAACAUGUAAUAAAAUAAAAUAAAUAGAUCUAAGUUAAACUUAGUUAAUUAGGACGAAAAGGAAAAUGAGAAAAAUCAAGGGACGAUCAUCCACAGUGUCUUGAAAAAAAUUGGGGGUGGCAGAGGUGGGGUGGAGGGCGACAACCAUCCACACUUUGUCAAGAAAAAUGAGGGGCAUCGACUGUUCGUUUGCGAGCAAGAAAAAGUUAGGGUUGAAUAGUUCGCGUGGGGAAGUGAGGAAAAUGGUGACGGGGAAUGGAAGAGGUGGGCGACUGUGUGGGAGUGAGAAGGAUGAAGAACAUGGUGAGGUGGAAGGGAAGGGGUGGGCAACUGUGUGGGAGGAAGAAAAGAGAGCAAUAAAACAUGAAGAAGGGGGAGGGAAAGGGCAGCAACGUGGAGAAAGAAGAAGAAGAAGAUUUGGGGAAACAUCGUGAACUAGGGCAUUUUUUGUUUUAAACGAACUGCCAAUGGUUAUUUUAAAUCCAUCGGCAUUUAUUCACUUAAGCCGACGGUAAUAAUGCACUGUCGGCAUAUGUCUACAUAUGCGACAUAACAAAAAUAUGUCGUCGGCAAAACCUAUCUAUGUCAACGCUAUAAAUUGGAUUGUCGGUGAUUCAACUUAUUGCCGACGAUAAAAUAAUCUGUUGGCGUAUACCACUUCUACCAAUGAAAUUUAGGGGCGUUGGCAUGCGUUUCGUCGGCAAAGGCAAAAUUUCUUGUAGUGUAGCUCAAGUUCACAUUAAUUUGCAAUGACUUAAAAUCAACUAUAUGUGUUGCAUCUGUUACAUACUUUCUCAGCAUAAAGACAUGGAAUACAUCAUGAGUAGUAGAAAAUGACAGAGAAAAUGUCAAAGGGUAAACUACUGGACCAAUCUGCUCAAGAAUCUCAAAUGGCCCUAUAAAACAUGAACUUACCUUUUCCUUCUUCUCAAAUCUCACAACACCUUUCGUAAGUGCUACUUUCAGAAAAACCAUGUCUCCUAUAUCAAACUCGAGAUCCCAAAUAGUAAUGCAAUCCUCAAUUGGGUAUCUAGUAGAAAAAUCCUUACUUUAGGUUAUGCUAAGUUUCUUGCUACAAAUGAAACCACAAUAUCACCUAUUUUUGUAAAAAGAAAUCUCAUGGAUCAUGGUGAGAGUGGCCAAAGCUGAGAGGUGAGAGCUCUCAAAAUUGAUCAUGAACUCAGUUUCUUUUACCUUAAAAGACUCUAAAAUGAAAAUAAAUUAUAUGUAAGCCUCGUCCAACAUAUUAUAUACUAGCAUUCCUGCAGUACUAUCCAUUUUGUGUGCUUCUUCCUUGAGUGCCCAUGUGACAGGCCCUUUAGGGGUAUUUGCCUCUUUUCAUUCUCGUUGAAGCCUCAGUCGCUCCAUUGUACCCAUAUGAUAUAAUAGCUCCAACUUAACCUUGACCCAUCCACAAUUCUCAAUAAUUAUACACAUUUUAAUUGAUUAAUAAUUCUAGACGAAUGAGAUUAUAGGCACUGAGAUAGCUAAUUAAGGGGCUUAUUGCCUUUUGGACCACAACAAUAUGAAUAGAAUAAAGGAAAAUAUUUAAAAAUAGUAGAUUUUACAAAAUAUUUACAAUCUAUAAUAAAUUCUAUUGUGAUAGAAGACAAAAUUUUGCUAUAGUUUAUAAAUAUUUUAAUUUAUUUUGCUAAUUUUAAAAAUGCCCCACAAUAAAAUAUCAAACUGAUUAUAUGUUAAUCGAAAACAAUGACACUUAAUAUUGAGACUCAAACUAGCAAAGUGAUUAUAUGUUAACUAGGGGGUGUUUGGAGAGGGAAAGGAAAGGAAAGGAAGGGAAAAGAUUAUGCAGUCAUUUCUAUGUUUAGGGCAAGGAUUAAGUGGGAAAAAGAAAUAAGUUUAUUCUUUCCAAAAUCCUUCUUUUUCUUUCUCUCGUCAAUCCUUCUUUUUCUUCAAUAAAUAUAAUCGCAUCAAACUUUUCUCUUUUUUCGUAACAAUUAUAUAUAUCGACAUAUACAUAUAAUUAUCAAAUUUCUAACAAAGUUUCACUCUUUAAUUUAAUUAAAUAAACACCCAAAAAUAUUUAAUUAAAUUCAAAUUCAAGAACACUAAAAUUUGAAAUCUAAUGAUUAAUUAAGUAUUCAAACCUACAAAUAUUUAAUUAAUUUUAAUUUUACAAAACCAUAAAUAUUCCAUUCAAUCAUUUAUCCAUUUUUACUUUGGUUUCUAUUGCUUUAUUAUUAUUAUUAUUAUAUUAUUAUUAUUAUUAUUAUUAUUAUUAUUAUUAUUAUUAUUUGCAUUAUUCUGAUGUACGACAUAAUUGACAUCACCAUUUAAUUGCAUUCCAAAAAAAAAAAAAAUGUAUUUCAUUUUGUUUCAAUGCUAUUAUGUUCCUUCUCGUUCGUUUAAAUCGGUUGUUAGCGAUAUGCAAUUUUUCAAUAUUGCACUUACAAUAUCAAUUUUAAAAAAUAGAUAUAAUUUCUUUCAUACGUAACACAUCAAUUAAUUUAUUGGCACAGACAGUUUACGUAUAAAACGUUUAAAAUUGACAUCAUAUUUAUGAAAACUAAUGGAACAUGUUUUCCAAUAAAAAAAUCUAAAUUUUGAUAAAUUAAAAUACGAAUAUUUGUGUAUUGGAUUUACUAUAAAUUUUUUAUAAAAAAAAAUUCAAGAGUACGAAUUAAAAAAAGAAACUUUUUUUUUUGUCAUAGUUCUUCCCCAUCCUUCCCAAUUUAUUUUUCAAAACCUUUCAAAAUGCAACCAAAGAAAAAACAUAUUUUAUAAUGUAUUGGAUUUAUAGAUCAAAUUAAAUUAAAAAUUAAAGACAAAUGAAAAAAAAUAAUAAUACAAUUUUUUUGUGAAUUGAAUUUACGAUACAAAUUUUAAAAGCAUAUUUUACACAAAGCAAAAAAAUUAAUACAAUUUGUUUUGUGUAUUGGAUUUAAUGUAAAAAAUUAAGAAAAAAAACUACUGUACAGAUGAACAAAAAAAAUCACUUUUAUAAUUGGGUUGGGUGUACGUUACAAAUAAAAAAAUAUUUAUACAAAAUCAACCAAAGAAAAGGUUAAUACAAAUUUUUGUUGUUGUAUUUGGGUUACAGUAGAACUUAACUAAAAAAUGAAUUUGAAUACAAUUUUCUAUUGUUAAGGCUUUAAACAAAAGUUUACACAAAUGCAAAAAAUAUUAGCACAUUUUUCAUUUUGUGUUGGGUUCACGAAAUAAACAAGAAUUUCAUACCCAUGAAAAAAAAUAAUUUAGUUUUUUUUUCUUAUAUUGGGUUGACGUAAUUUUUUUUUACACAAAUGAAAAAAAUGCAAUUUUUUUUAUCAUAAUCUUUUUUCCAAAUAAGGAUUAUAAAUAAUCUCUCAUAAUCUUCCCAUUUAUUCUUUUCUCCAAGGAUUAUAAAUAAUUCUCUAUAAUCCUCUCACUUAAUCAUUUUUCCAAAUAAGGAUUAUAAAUAAUCAUUUUCUUUUCAUAAUCCCCUUUUUCCUUAUUACUUCUCCCCAUUUCCCUUUCCUUCCCCCAAACACCACCUAAGGAUUAGAUAUGAAAACAAUCAAAACUUGAAAGAAUAUCAAAACCUUUGUAUAUUCAAACCAUAGUCAAGACACGUUUCUGAUAAGCGUUAUCUUCAAGACAAUUAUCUACAUGGGCUUGCAAACAGAUUACAUCGAUCAUCUCAAUAGGAUACAAUGACUAACCUCUGAUAGAAUUGUACCCACAAACUACUCGAUGUUGACUAAACUCUUGGAUACUAAGAAAGAAAGGAGUGAGAAAACUCUUCAAUUUGAAAUGAGAUGAAACAAAGGAAGAACAAAGUUGCUAUUCGUACCAUAACUCCAAAAUAGAAAAAAAAAAUUGAUACAAAUAAAUACAAAAAUCAAACAUAAAUACAUGUUAUUUGAAAGUUCUUAGACAAUGAAUUUAAUCUACCCAACUAAACCUAUAUACUCAAGAUUAGUUGAAUAAGUUUAAGAACUCAAAUUUUAUGAUAGAAAAACGUUCGGUAUAUAAUUGAAAAAUUGCUCGAAAUAUGUUAAAGUUUGCAAUUCCUCCAUCGGACCAUCACAAUAUCAAGUAAAAUUUACCUUAUUUACAAAUAAUAUCUUAGGACAAAUUCCCACUUACAAUUGCCUCCUAAUCUUAAGAUAAUUGUGAGGAAAAUAAAGAGAGUAAUUUUGGCCAUGCAAAACUACCUGACUCAAAGGACCAGAACUUGACAGAAUGACCUCAUCAGUAAUGUUGGCAAACUUUUUUCAAGAACAUUAGUUUCAUCAUUUAUUUAAUUAAUAAUUCAAGUCCAAGUUAGUAAAAAUGAAAACUAAUUCAGGAGUUUUAGUAAAUAGUAACAAUAAUAAAACUGUCACACAAAAACAAAGACAGUAAAAUAAGCCCGUUUUCCCUUCAAAACAAGGAUUAACAAGUAAAUUUACAUGAAUUACACUGUUGGCUUUUCAUUUAAGUAAAGCUGCCAGAGCAGAUUGUAAAGAACAUUAAACAAAGAAGCUGAACCCAGUGCUCUAGAAGAAUCAUCAGCCAAAAGAAUGGCAUGUUACAUAAUCCUUCAACUUGUUAGUGCCUUCCUCAGGCAAUGGUCAUUUGUGAGCAUUACAAAACUGUUGCUUAACUUGGUCCCUUGUUAUCUAUCUAUCUGUCUCCACCAUCAAGUUCCUCUUGAUCAUUCAGUAGAAUUGCUUCUUUACUAUUCAUUUCUCCGCUCCCCUCUACUCGGUUUUCACUCUUGUACCCAAAAAAUGAUUCUGAUGUUGACUCAUCUUCAUCAUCCUCUUCUUCAGUUUGCUUAUCUUUUGAUCGGAAGCCCAACUCACUUUGCAUCCAAGUGGGACAAUGGUGCACAACUCCUAGACCACCAACCUGAGCUUGCGAUUGGUCUGAGACCUGUCUUGAGCAAGCACAUUCAGGAACAGGAUGAGAUAGAAAAGAUAUUGAUUUAGAUAAUGUUGACGCUUCUAUCAGUCCAUCAACUAAUGACUUCCUUAGAUGUUGACGAAUCGAUCUCAGCCAUGUAUAGUUUGCUUGAUAUAGGUGUUCUCUGGUUUCUGCUAGGAGAGUUACCAUUUGUUUUCUGCACGGACAACAGCAUUGUAAGCAAAUGGUGUUUGAUCAUUAACCAUUGAUGAUACGUCAAUAUAGAAAAACCAAUACCUAUCAGGUCGGUAUGUUUUAAGUGAAGCUGACUGAUAAAGCCUGUGGCCCAUCACCAAGCUUGCAAAAUUUGGAUGCCCCUUGCCAUCACGAUCGAACCCAGGAAUAAAAACAUCAGCUUCAACCGAUAUAAAGUAGUCUAUAGCUUCCCAAAGCAAUUUAUGGGCAUUGGUCCUCAACUCCAUCACAGUACUUUCGGGCUCAAUGUCACUCUCAGCCACCCAACCCCACCAACCUUCAAUGUUGUGUGGAUAUUUUGGCCUUGCUGGUGGAGGUGGCAACGGGCGAGGACGUGGACCAUCAGUAUUCCACGCAUCAGGUUUCGACUCCUUCAAAAUGGAAGGAGGCGACCUUGGAUAGUUUCCACCGACAUUAAUCUCACGACCAUAAAGCCUAUUAAGUUCCCAUGGGGUGCUAAGGGAAGUCCUGUCAACAACAUUCUCAAAAGUAGCAUGGAGAGGAAUCAAGGUUCUUUGUCCACCGAAAACUUCCCCACCUGACACGUAUAUAAUGGUGUCCCAUGAAUAUCCACGGGCCCGGAGAAGAAUUCCUACCUGUAAAAGGUUCACAAGCAUCAUAUUCUCCACUUUCAUAAUUUCAUCUAACCAUUGGAUCCAAACUAUAUCACCUCCAUGUUAUUUCUCAGCUUACCUCUUCUGGCGUUAGAGGACAAGAACCAUUUAGCCGUUGAUCCUCAGAAUUCACUGAAAGCUUCCCCUUGACAAACCCCCGUCUACGCAUCCACAAUCUUUUGUGCUGAAUGAGCUCAUUAUGUACAUCCUGAAUGACAUUUCAAAUAAAAAACAUAUCAAACGUCAAGAAUAAAUCACCAAACAUAUGAAUUACAUAAUCAAGGUUAAAAUAUGUACCUGAAACAAUUCAGCACAACCGUAAUAAGCUAAGGCCUCUCUUGUCAUCCCAGGAUAGUAAGCUAUGAAUGGCCUACCCGGAGCUCUUAACCUAAAAAAAAAAACUGUAAGAAGAACAGUUUCAAGAACCUUUCAAAACAUUUCAAAUAUUUACCUAUGCAGAAUUUUGGUGGCAAGAUCCUGAACUUCCACUCUGAAUUGAAGAGCAUGGAAGGCAACUCUACACCUCAAUCUCUGAUACUCUUCAAGAUCGGGCGAAAGGAUAGCCUAGAUUAUCAUUUAAGUGUACAAUCUAUUAGAUUUUGAAGAUAUUCUUUUUCUCUUUUAAUGGAAUACCAACCUUCCAUGAAGGCAAAUGAAAGAAUAUUGUGAAAAAGGUCCUCGAGAGAGAUUCUUAAGAUAUUACAAUGUCCGAAAACAAUUUUGGAAAUAACUACUUUCAAAAUAGUGACACAAAUAUCCCCCCAGUUUGCUGCUAACCCAUACUUCUAACCCUCUUCCAAACACAAACUAAUGUUAUAACUUCAACAAGAUCAUAUAAAACAUAUUUUGACAAGCAUAACAUGAACUACACUUUGAAUUCAUUAACUACUUUCAAAAUAGUGGCACAAAUAUCCCCCAGUUUGCUGCUAACCCAUACUUCUAACCCUCUUCCAAACACAAACUAAUGUUAUAACUUCAACAAGAUCAUAUAAAACAUAUUUUGACAAGCAUAACAUGAACUACACUUUGAAUUCAUUAACUACUUUCAAAAUAGUGGCACAAAUAUCCCCCCAGUUUGCUGCUAACCCAUACUUCUAACCCUCUUCCAAACACAAACUAAUGUUAUAACUUCAACAAGAUCAUAUAAAACAUAUUUUGACAAGCAUAACAUGAACUACACUUUGAAUUCAUUAACUACUUUCAAAAUAGUGGCACAAAUAUCCCCCAGUUUGCUGCUAACCCAUACUUCUAACCCUCUUCCAAACACAAACUAAUGUUAUAACUUCAACAAGAUCAUAUAAAACAUAUUUUGACAAGCAUAACAUGAACUACACUUUGAAUCCAUUAACACCAGUCAUACAAGUUAGCAUUUCUGGUGAAGAUAGUUCCAAAUAUAAAGGAAUUCAAAAGUGUUCCUUACCUGCAAACAACCGCCAUCGGAGACAACAAGUUCAACCACCGAGUGCUUCUUUAAAACAGGAAGCACAUUGUGCCGAUAAAAAUAUGGAGAUGCUAAGUAAGGUGCUUUAAAACGUGGGAUCUCUUUUUUCCUUCGAGCACCUUUCAGAUUUCUUGGAAGUGUCUUAACAACUUUAAUGUCUCUAGUCAACGCUGCAAUGAACUGGUCUUCAUUAUAAAGGUAAGAAAAACUCUUGAACUGGGAGCUGCACGAAGAUAAUUAGACAACUCGGUUAAUAAACAUACUUUUUUGAACCAUGGAAAAAGGUAGUAUGUUAAUUUGAAACAGUUCAAACCUGAUUCCUUUGCUGCUUGUGGUUGAUUGAAUCUCAGGAACUACUAAGGUAGCAUUAAGGAGCCGAGCAAUGACAACAACAUCACAUAUCUAGAAGACCAAGCAUUUGCAAUUCCUUCAAUUUGCUACCAUAACCUGAUAUUAAUAUCAUAAAAGAGAUUAAACCAUUGCAUCCUUACCGAAUUCCUGAUCUCAUGGAAUCCGCCCUGUAUCCUGACAAAGAUGAAUCCAUUUGAUUGUAAUGAGGGAUCUGCCGAUGUGAUUAGUUCAGGAAUGCAUCAUUUUAAACACAUCAUAAAAAAUUCUUACCAGGUAAAAGAGAUGAAGAUUAGGUACUAGUUUAUUAUCAGCGCCAUGGAAUUCAACGGGCACAAAUAUAUAUAUCAAGAAGAUAUUAUCUAUAUAUAUCUGUCUGUCUGUCUAUCUAUCUAUCUAUCUAUAUACACACACAUAUUUAUUUAUUUAUUUAUUUAUUAUUAUUAUUAUUAUUAUUAUUAUUAUUAUUAUUAUUAUUAUUAUUAUUAUUAUUAUUAUUAUUAUUAUCAUCACUAUUAUUAAUAUUUUGCUUGGUGCAGGUGGAAAACCAAAAUUAAGAUUCAGAUAUGAGAGAAGCAAUAUGACUCUAGCUAUAAUACCUUUUUUCAGAAAACAAAAAAGAACGAACUGUAAGCUCUUAACUCCUCAAGACUGUGGUCCGAUAGAAAAUAAGAGGGAGGAAUCCAAUACUGACCUACUACGUGUAGCUUCAAGCAUUCAUUCGUGAAGAUUAUAUAUGUAUCAGGAAAAUGAACAAGAAAUACCUCACAUCAACUUUUACCUAAUGACUAAAAUAAUUAUUUACACAAACAAAACAUUUAAAAGUUCAAAGACCAAAAUGAAAUAAGCAUGAAAGUUCAAGAUGCAGAGUAGGAAUCAAACCAAAUUCAAGCUCUCUAUAAGAGGAAAAUCUGCUACACCAUUAAGUUGCAACAAAUAAAUGAAGCUGCAGAAGAGGCAAUACCAGGAUAGUGUUGUCUGGGAUUUGCAUCAGGAUGCAAAGUCUCCAGCCGCCGAACUGGGCCCCAAAGCCGUCUAAACAAAGGACUCUGAACAAUAAAUUAGGAGAAAAAACACAAACAGCAGCAAAUGUAAGAUUUUGGAAACACAGAAGCAUGAAAAUUUUAGCAAAAAUCUAACUAAACAACAAGAUACCCAUUUCGAAGGAAGACAAAAAGCCUCGUGUUACUACAUAAAUCACCAAAACAGAGGAACCCUAGAAGUGAGAUUUGAGGUUAUUUUAAAUUCAUAGAAGAAACCCAUAUCCCCAAAAACAAAAAAAAAAAAAAAAAAAACAAGUUAAGAUCUCUGGAAAAAAAAACAUGAGAGGGAGAGAGAUGAGAUCUUACAGUUGGGGAAAAGUCUGCAUGUUCAAAAACAGGUCUCCAAGAGAAGAUUGUAAUAGAGGAUUGGAACUCAGAAAUGCUGUCCUGAGUAAAUCUAGCAAGAAAGAAAUGGGUGAAGAGGGAAAAAGCAGAAAGAACAAUACCCACCAAACCAACCCAUUUCAUCCUUGAUUUGAACACCAUUUCUCCCUUCCCUUUCAUUGCCCCCUCCCCUUUAGAUUUCUCAAACUACAGGGCGAAGCUUAAGGAGGGAGAGGAAGAAGAGGAAGAAGAAGAAGAAGGUGAAGCAGUGGAAGAGUGAGUAUAGAUUAAAAAAUUGUUGAGUGAAUCAAGUAAACGAAGACAGAGGGGGAGAAGGCAGAAGUGGAUGUGGGAGACCAAAAUGGCACGUGCGAGACAGAUCAAGCAAGUUUGUUAUUUUUAUUUUUAUUUUUAUUUGGGUAAUUUAAAUAUGAUUUAUGUGUGAUAUUACCAAUUGAUUGUGGAGAAGAGGAUGUAAUAAAGGAUGGUCCUUUGAAGAACAUAAGAAAAUGUUGCCUUUUUGCCUUUAAACUUCAAAGUAGGGUGAUCACAUGAUACCUAACCCCUUUUUCUUUCUUUUUUCUUUUUUCUCUCAUGUGACAUGGAUACACAACUUUUUGCUCAUGCCUUUAAAUAGCUUCCUACAUUUUUCUUUCUUUGUCACUUUACAUUCAAACCUUUAGAUUCUUGAAUUGAUCAUACUACCUAAUACUGUUGAUUUAUGGUUGAAUUCUUUUGUCAUAAAUAUCAUCACUCUUCAUUUAUUUAUUAGUAUGUAGUUAUCAAAUAUCAAAUACAUAACAUUAUAAUAUUGUAAAACUAGGUAGAUGGUUUAUUCUUCCUAACUUUUCAAGUUUUGAACUUUUAACAUAUUGUUUCUUUUAAUUAGUCCUUUGAAUUUUAUUGUUUUGUCUCUACUUUUAUGUCUUAGGUGUUAAGUUCAACAUUUAGUCCACUGAAUAUCAAAGUUAAUUAAGACAUGUAGGUUUCUCUAGUAUAGAUACUAAUCAGAGAAUUACUUAUAGAGUAAUUAAGAGCAUGUUAUAAUUGCUUUUUUUUUUUAAGAAAAAGAAUUGUCAAAAUAGUAAAUUUGACAAAAUACUUAGAACAUAUAGUAACAAUUUUCAUAUUUUAUCAAUAAUAGACAUUAGUGAAUACUGAUAUGCUUCUAUAAGUGACAUUAAUAGAUAGUGAUAAAAAUAUAUCAGAUAUUUUUAUUGAUAAAAUCUAAAAUUUUGCCAUAGUUUAUAAAAUAUUUUAAUUUAUUUUGCUAUUUUUUAACAAAAAUAUAAAUAUAUUAGAAACAUUUAAAAGUCAAUAUGAAUAACACUAAUUAAUGAUUAGGAAAAGUAUUUGUUUUUAUUAUAUUGUUUUUCAAGAAUCUAUUAGAAAUAAAAGUUCAAUAUUUUAGGUAAUUGUGAGAAAAAAAACCAAAUUCUAAUAUUUAUAAAUUAGAAUAACAAUUCAAAAUAUUGAUCUUUUAGGUAUGUUGCAGCCUACUUAUGUAUGCCACUCCAACUAUCACUUUCGGCCACUUUAUCGACAAGCUUUUGCAACUAAUUUUGAUGACAGUUGCCAACCAACUUCUAGCCGUCGCCAGUUAAACUUGAAUUUUUUUUUAAUAAAGACACUCUUAAGGGAGUUAUCAAAUACAUUCAUGUUUUUAUUUUAAAAACUAUUUAUCAAAAUGGUUUAAAUAAAAAUAAAUUUUUUAAAAACAUUUUCUUACCGGUUAUUCUAGAUACACUCUAAUAUUUUUAGAGAAAUUGUAGUGGUAAGAAUUUUAGAAAUAAUAAUUAAGUAUAUGGUAAUAUUUUUAAAAAAUUAUAAAUAUAACAAAGUUUAUCAGUCACUAAUAGAUUACAUUCAGUGAUAGACUUCUAUCACUUCUAUCGCUAAUAGAAUCUUCUAUCAGUGAUAGACUUUGACAAAUUUUGCUAUAUUUACUAAUAUUUUGAAUCUAAUGGUUAUAUUUACAACUAGUCCAUUUUUUUUUAAAAAAAAAUACACUUUUUCAUUUAUUUUUUCAAACUUAUUAAUAUUAUUAGAUUAACUUUUUAAAAUUAUAUCUCUUCCCUCGUUCGUUUGAAAUUAACGUUUUUUUUUCAUUUUAGGAGAUAGUAGUGGUAUAUAUACAUAUGGAGAGAGAUGAUAAUCUUUUUGUAAAAUAAUAGCUCAUUAGAUUACAUUUAUGUAAUUAAGUUCAUUUGGUUAUGUUAUAUGCGUACAAAUCUCUAAUUUAGUUUAAUAACAUCUUUAUUUUUUUGUUGGUCAAUUUAGCUUAAACACUUAAAAUUAUCUUUUAAACUUGAAAAUUACAACAUUGAUAAAAAUUAGAGACCAUACUUGAAUUUUCUAUAAUUGAAUUUAAAAUUAAAAUAUUCGUUUUACUUCAAUUUGAAGUUAACACGUAUUAAAGUUUAAAAAAACUAUAAAUUUUUUAAUUAGUUAGAGUAAUAUAAGUCUAUUGAAAAUUUUAUUCCAAAACCGAGUAAAAAUCAAAUAUCCAAAUAUUAAAUAAAUUCUCUAGAGAAGUAUAGAGUAAUCACAAGCUAUACGAAUUUAUUUUAGAAUCAAGACAUCAAGACAUAGGUAUCACGCACCCAAUAUCUGUUCUACAAAACUCACCAAAUGUCAUUAUUUAUAAGCAAUUUGACAAACAUGAGAUGAAUUACAUGCUCACUAAUGAUUGGUAUCUUCAAGACAUAUGACAAUGUAGAUGAAAGAGAAAAAAGUGACACACGAUAAUAAACAUUGAGCAUAAUAUGACAUCUACUCUAAUAAUAUUUAAUUAUAAUAAUACCACGUUUUUUUUUAAAAAAAAUUUCAAUUGUUUUCAAACUUUUUUUAUAUACUAGCCUAUUUAUCUCAUGCACAUACUCGUUUUAAUUGGUUUUUCAUUAAAACUUAUAAAUGUUUGUCAACAAUCAAUCAUUCAUAAUGUUUAGAUUAGAACUUCCAAGAAAUAUUAUUUAUCGUGAAAAAUGUAUGGAGGUGUCUUUGUAUAGUCUUUGAUUGUAUAAGUUCUACUGUUAAUAGUUGUGAGCUGAGUUGUUAAGUAUGAAAGUAAUAUGUUUAUAGAAUUAGGACGUCUACCUUUAACGUGCAAAAUUGAGUUAUUAAGUCUAUUUUAUAUAUAGUUACCUGAAAGAGGCUUACGUACGAUAUAGUUUUGAAUUCAAAAUUAAGAAAUAAAAAUUGUAUUAUAAGUGCACAACUUCCAAAUAUCUUAUUUGGGGAUUAUUAGAUUUGAUUUAAAAGCAAAGGAUAAAUAUUUUCACUUUGUCCAAUUGCCCCUUUUGGUACUCUUGGAUAUUUAGGCAUAAUGCUUGAUUGUUUUCUUCUUGUUAUUAGUCUAAUCCACCAAAAAGCUAAUAAGAGAAAAGAAACUUGUUCCAUCAUAUAUAUCCACUCAAAAAGGAAAGUGACAACCAUGUAAAGAAUGUGUACUCAAUUCACAUAGUGUAAAGGGGAAAUGAUCAUAUUGUUGCUUUAAUAGCCAAUAUCUUCCUAAGAUAUUAUAUGUAUUUAUGAUAAUUUUGGUUGAAUGUUUGUCUUUUUAAAUAUGUUCAUUCAAUUGAGAAUGAGAUAGGCCAAACUUUAUAAACAAUUAGAUUUUGGACAAUUUCCAUAUAUAUUAUACACAUUUAGAUACAUCAUUGUUUGUUUUCAUUUUAGAAGAUUUUCUAGAUGUUAGGUGAUUAUUAUUGUUAGUUAUUGGAGUUGUAUGUAGAGUAGAUACAAUUCAAUUGGUUGUAACGUUAAUAAUCUUUUUAUGAAGCCUCCAAAUGCUGGAAAGCUCUUCUACAUUGUAAAUUUCUUUAAUGAGUUUUGUGGGGUUGAGUUUGGUUGAUUCAUGAAUGUAAGACCCCAAAUCACCUCUUAAGCAACGUGUUAAGACUGGAUGCGGUAAGAGUUGUCAGAUUGGAAGUGUUUCUAUUGAUUUGACAUGUUAUGUGUUUUGAACAAGCGUUGAAUAAGUUCCUAUGCGUUCUGGCAGUUGGCUAGAGAUUUCUUAGCAUAGUACAUGAUGCCAUCCUUGUGUCUGAAGGGAGGUGCUCAGUAAGUUGGUGUUCAGACCCAGCCUCCCAUUGAUGAUCAAAAUUAGGAUGGUGACAGCCAAUGACAGUACAAAAUUUGUUGAAGCUCACUGUUGGACAAAGCUAAUCAUUUUGACAUGAAAAUCCUCACAAGAGAAGUGUAUAAUUAGGACAGUUUCGAGCAAAUUUUUAGAGCUUAAUAUGAACUUUGAACUAAGUAAGAAGCUAGAGGAACUGCCAAGGGUUAAGGAGGUUUCCUCAUAUGAGUCUCGCAUUUAAGGUCGAUGAGGAGUUUGGCCAAGCGCUUAGGCUAGAAGGAAACCUUAUCUUGACUCUUAGUGCUUUUAAAAUGUUUUGAAAACCAAAAUGAUUUUCAACUUAUAUUUGAAACUCUUGAGUAUUGAUGUUUAUUUAAUAUUGUCAUUCGAUUUAAAAAUGAAUCAUGAUUUAUUCUUGUGAAAUGUUUUGGUACCCUAUGCAAUGAACCUUACAGUUACUUUGUGAUUUGAUGUAUGAUGUCUUAUACUUGCUUUGUGAUUUGAUAUAAAAUGUCUUAUACUUGCUUUGUGAUCUAGUAUAAGAUGCUCUUUGCUUACUUUGUGAUCUAACAUUGGAAUACGUGUUAUGCGUAUAUGAAAUUGAUGAUGUUCGCUAAAUGCGUUGAGAUUAGUCAAUGAUGAGAAUGGAUGAAUGACAUCUCAACCGAGGUGAUGGGUACAUUUGUGAUACAUUGUGAUGUAUGCCUUAUGGUUUAUGAAAUGAUUUAUUCGAGGAAAAGAUGAAUUUCCAAAGAAUAUCUUUGCGAACUAUUUGUUGUGGAUUUUAAAUGUUUAAAAUUGUUAGAUGCAGCGAAAUAUUUUCGGAUUUGAAUCGCAUAUUCUUGUCAAUCGUGUUGUGCUUGCAAGCUGAAUUUUAAGUUUAUGAUUUAUGCGUUGUAUUUAUGAAAACCUAUUUUAAUGAAAUGUGUUGAAGAAAUCCCACUCAGACAUUUUGUCUAAUCUUUCAAAUGUUUUGUUUUCUCUCUCCUUUCCAGGUAGCGAAGGACAUCCAACGUUUGAUUUGUCGUCUUAAUCGCCUACCAUAUCAUAGUUGCAUCACAUUUUCUUGUUAGUGACACCCACCGCACCGCACGUGUCCUUAACCUCGCUAUGCAGCAUUCUACACAGUUUGAGUAGCUCUAACGCCUUAAAUUGAAACACUAGAACGCUCAACUUAAUUAAGUCAUUCAAUCUUGGCUUUAUUGCCUAGUUCAAACUUAACUCCUUUGGUUACUAAACGAUAAGCAAUAAUACAACUUAGUAGAAAUCAACAAACAACAUCUCUUUGAUUAACUUAAUAAUAUGCGUUCCAAAAUACAAUAUAAUACAUGUUUUCUUUUACAAUAAGACUUAAGAUAAACUUUAGGCAUUCAACUCCUAGCUCAACUUUUCAAGCUUAAACUUAGAUCGCCCCAUUGCAUAGCAAUUCACCAAACUUUUCAUAACUUGGCCUUAACACCUUGUCACAUGAGGAAGGUAAAUACUUAGUGAGUGAUAUUUUGGAAAUUCUUUUGGAGAAACACAAUACAUUCAAUAAACACAUUUCAUAAGACAGACCAUUACGCCUCAAUUGAAAACAUAAACCACACACUUGUCUUUCAUAUUCCUUCCUUCUAAGAACAUGAAUUAUUCUCACGCAUAAACUAGUGUGAUGAUUACAUCAUCAACAACAUCUUCUAAGAAUCUUUCGGCUCAUUUCUUGUUGCUCAAGCUGCUAACACAACUGCACUGAUCAACUGCUUACAACCAUGCAACCCUUUUCUACAUGGUGGUCUUGACUCAUUAUGUGCACAUAAAAGCUAGCUCAUAGAUAGAAAUAAGAAUAACAAUUUUCUCAUAUACAUAACAUACAAUCAUCACAUAAACUUAUAACUAAAAUCUCUUUCUUAUAAAACAUUCAAGCUUUCUCAAUAGGAUCAAUAAGGUUGCACAUGCUUAAAACAUUAGCAUAACAAUACAAAGGAAAAAAGAAAGCUCUAAAACUCUGUUAAGCUUUGAAAAAUUACCCACAACACUAAGUUCCCUUUUCUCAGAAUGCCUAACACCUCCUUGCCUAAUUCUUCUUCCUUUUACUAGAGUAACUUUAAGAAUGUUAGCUUAAUCGUUCCUUCUUCUGACUUUUUACCCUUAUUUAUACUAAUUCAAAAUUGGAUUAGUCAUCUUUAAGCUCUCGUUAACUCACCAACUUCUACUUAAAGUGCUACAAGUGUAGGCUUAUUAUCUUUCCAAAACAUGCUUAACUUAAUCCUUUACACACAUCCUACUAAUAAAUCUCAAUUAGAAAAUUUCCAGAAAAUUCCUAACUCUCUAUCGCUUGGCCUCUUCUCGUCUUGCAUCAAAAUGUCUUCCUUCUUUCUUGCAUUACCUAACUUCAACGUGAGCUACCAUUCAAAACGCCCAAUUCAAAAUACUCUUCUUAAAAUGCUAAUAAAUAAAGUCCUAAUUCAAAAUAACCCUUAUAUUUUAGUCACGGGUCUCACAGUUUCGCUAAAUUAAUUAAGUAUUUGGUAUGCGUUAAAUAAGUGAAUUGUGGUAGAAUUUCACAUACUAGGUAUUAAAUCACCAAUUCACCCAAAAGCUUAAGCUUGUGGUUGAAUUGAUGAUUUAAUAUGGUAUCAGAGCAGGUGAUCCAGAGAGGUCCUGUGUUCAAGCUCCUCUAAUGUCGUUUUCUCUCCAAUUAAAUUUCCACUUUGUUGGGUUUUUCAAAUAUUUUAAGCCCACAAGUGAGGGAGAGUGUUGGUGAUAUAUAAUUAAAUUUGCCUUCAACCACUAGCUUAAUUUAAUAAUAGGUAUUCAACAUAUUGUCGCAUGGUGAGACAGACAUUGAGUGUCUAGGCGAUCACACGUUCUCUUAGUCUUUGUGGGCUGGCCAGGGAGAGAGGGUGACAAUGAACCGGGCCAACUAAUUAGAUUUGAGACUUUGUUGGCCUUUGAGACAAAUUAACCCUUAGUUUUCCUCCACUGGAUUUUAACACAAAUGUUAAUGUAAAAUUGGACCAAAUUAAUAUUAUUCAAUCCAUCAUUCAUGGUAAAUACACAUGAAAUUAACAAGAUUUUUCACUUCAUGUCUUGAAUAUCAAUAUGCGAUAUAAGUCAUGUUUUAGUUACGACAUUAAUUUGAUAAAUGACAUAACGAUUUGCAAUUGGUUUCUUAUUUAAGAGACAUGCUAUUUAAUUGAUUUUAUCUUGAUUGCAUUUUGAAGUGAUUAAAUUAAAAGAUAAGUUGUUUUAAAAAAAAUACCUAAAAUGGAUCAAAUGAGUUUAUAAAAUAACGUGGUUUAGGAUUAACACUUAAAACUAACUUUUAAAAAAGUAUUUUUUAGUGCUUAGUGAUUAAUCUCCCUAAUUUGUAUGUAAGACUCUAGUCACCACCUUCGGCUUUCCUUGCUAGCUAACCUCCAACAACUGUCUCCGCAAAAUGUCACUGACCAACAUCCGACCACCGUCUUCAGCAAUCAUUGUGAAUGAUGUAUAUAUCAUGCAACAAAGCAGUUAGAACAAAUAUCAUCCUAAUUACAAUAAUUGAGAGGACUAAAUAUAAUUUCAAUAUGUAAAAGUAAAAACAGUGUUUAGGUGUUCAUACCUUUGUAGCUCUAUUCUUCACUUGUUUGUUAUUAUAGUGUAUCGUAAAUUUAUCUCUGUAACUUUAAUCUUCACUUAUUUGUUGUUGUAGUUUAUCGUAAAAUUUAUCAAAGACAACCAUCUAAAUCUUCUCUACUAUUCUUUGAACUUAGAACCAAGUUGUGGGACAAAAUUAGUGGGACAAAAUUAGUGAUCCAAAUUUUGAGUUUUUGAGAGAAAGAGGCUCUGAACACUGUGAUUUUCCAACAAAAUUCACUAAGGUUCAUCCAACUUUUACACAAUCAAAUUUGUUAAAUUAUAUAUAGCCAAAAGACAUGCAAAAUCUUACUUGCAAUUUAAUUUGACACUUAACAAUCAUUCAGUAAGUGAAUUUGGUGGAUGGAUUUGCUUGUGGAACAACACAUCAAGCACACAUAACUUAUUCAUCACACUUGGAAUCAUCCACUAAAUCAAGGUCAAAGCCAACCUUUGACUUUCAAAGCUAAAGAAUUAACCUUUUGAAUUUGGACUAAAAAUCAAAUUUAUUUUUUUAUUUUUGUAGUUUAUGUAAGAAUUUAAAAUUAUUUUAAAUAAUCAAUUUUAUAUUAGACAGUUAAUCAAACAAUUUAAUUAAAGAAAAUUAGUAAAUUUGACAAAAAAAAAAAAUUCUAACGUAUGAUUUUUUUUUCUUCAGAUUCUAUCAAUAAUAAGCAUUGAUAGCCACCGAUAUGCUUCAAUCAGUGACAUCGAUAAACAAUGAUAGAAAUCUAUGAGUGGCUAUAGUGCUAGCAUUCAAAAUUUUGCUAUAGUUUGUAAAUAUUUUAAUUUAUUUUACUAUUUUAAAAAAUGUCUCUUUAAUUAAUUAAAUUCGACUCAAGGUUGGUGAAUGAGAAUGAUCUAAUCAAAUCCAUAUUUAAAUUUUUGAUAUUUAAAUUCUAUUUCAAUAUCAUUUUUCUCUCAAUUUCUAAUAGUUAAUUAUAUUGAAUAUAUAGAACAUUAUUAAUGAUUUUACCUUUAGUUAUUAGACAAAGAAAAGAAAAGUGAGAAAUGAUAAUUAUAACAUAAUAAUAACAACAAUUAAAUAUUAUUACAAUUGUUAUUAUUAUUAUAAUUAUGUUUAUUAAAAACUUUUCGUUUUGCGUGCAGUCUCUCUUCCUCUUUCUCAUUCUCCUUCUCCUUCACUCUCCCUCUUCUCUACCUGCCCUAGCUGCGGCCUACAGUCCCUUCACCGUCGCCGUCCGAGCUCGCACGCCACCUACAUAGAUAGAGCCGUCUUCGCUCAGAUCUGUCCUCGCCGUCGAAGUCGAACGCCAACCGAAGAGUUCGGCCUCGUUCGCGUCGUCUCUCCGCUUCGCGCCAUCGCGUUUGUUGCUGCCGCUCCACUUCUGUCAAGCCGACGUCGUCUGCCGUCCGUUUUCGUUAAGAUCCAAGUUGACCCGAGUCAGUUUUUCCUCUCCCAGCCAUGCGUUGAGCCGACGCGGAUUUCUUCCCAGUCUCCGAGCCGCACAUCCCCGAUUUGAGUCAUCCCUCUCUAUCCCGAUCUACACGCUUCAAUUCCAUCCUUUCUAAGUUGCAGUUUCUGCUUUGCCCGGAACUGUGGUGGUUGUGGUAAGGGUGUAAUUUAUGAGUUUUGUAGUUGUUUUCAUUGCCCUUGUUUGUUAGGUUAAUUAUUGGGUUGUCUUGUGUUCCUUGAAGGCGUUGGAGGGGUCGAGUUGUUGGGUUUGAUAACAGAUUCUAGAUUUUAGUUAGAAUUCAAUUCUUCACUAUUUCGAUAAGUGGAAUUUACUUUUGGAGUGAAUUGAAUGGAUGAAAGUUUUGUGAAAGCAUUAGAAUUUCUACUUAAUUGUUUUAGGUUGUUUCGUUGGAGUUUAGUUGAUAAACAAGCUUAACUUAGUUAAGGAAAUGAAUUUUCUACUAAGUGAUCUCUAUAUCCAAAUGAUGAGUAUAGAUUGAAUUGAAAAUGCUUACAUUUAUACUAAAUAAUUUGAAGUUAACAAUUUUCACCUCUAAUAAGACUAGCAAUGAGACUAGUAAUGAGUCUCUUAUCGGGUAUAUUUAUGUUUAGCUUUUUCAAGAUAAUACGAGAGCUAGACCGACGAGCGAAGAGGGACAAGAAGGACACGUGAUCGUCAUAGAAGAAUUUUCUUUCAAAACUUGGUUUCGCUUAAUGUUUUUAUUGAUUUUCUAGUUUUGAUGACUAAGAUAAGUUUGACAUUUAACACUUUGAUAUUUACUGUUCAAAUAAAUUUUAGGUUAAAAUAAUGGUGGUUAUUAGGAUGAAAUCAGGUUAAGUUGGGUUAGGAGGCAACCUAUAUUUUCGGGUUAUUUGGGUUGGCAACCCGAAUAACUAGAAUUUAGUUUCUAACCCAACGCAUAGGUUGGGUUGUCGGUUGUAUAUAUAAAUAUGUUUUAAUUUUUUUUUUCAGUUUUCUAGUUUCUAAUGGUUAUAAAAAUGAAAUUGUCACAUUUAAAUUUCCCUCGUACAUAAUUCAAACUUUCAUAAAAUAAAUUCAAAAUUUAUAUACCUCUAAUUUGUUUUUUAUUAAAAUAAUAUAUGUAUAUUAUAUUAAUUCGGGUUGGGUUGGGUUGAACCGAAUUUUUCAACCCUCCAACCCGAGACCCAACCCAACCCGAAAAAAUCAAAUUUUUUUAACCCAAUUCAUAUUUUAACUUAGCUCAACCCAACUGGGUUAUUCGAGUUUAACCCAUAUUUGUAUAUCUUUAGUGGAUACAUUCUUUUUUUAAAAAGACUUCCGAUAAUACUUUUAUUAAUAGAUAAUGUGAAAAGAUGAGAAGUUGGAGAGAAAAACUAAUGGUUAUAUAAAACAUAACCCAUUGAUUUACUUUUUUUUUCAUAGGAGAUUUAUAUUUGUAUGUUUUUAUAUGUACUUUGUUACAUUCUACCUUUAUAUUCCAUAAAUUAAGGGUAUAUGCAUUAAUAUAAGAUGUAAUUUAUGGUUUCAUUCCAUGUCUAUAUUUCAUUAACCUGAGAUAUGUUUAAUAAUAUGAGGUAUAUAUUAUUGUUUCAUUGCACGUUUAUAUUUCAUAUAUGUGAGGUAGUGUACUUAAUAUAUGAGCUAUAUAAUUUAAAUUAAAAAGAGACUUGGUAUAUAUACAUAAAGAAGAUCACAGGCAAAAAUAAAAAGAUCAUAGAAAGAAAUAAAACCUAUGAGAACAAAAUUGUUCAAAAUUAAAAUUUGGAUAAAGAUAGUAUAAAAAUUAUAAUAAUAACACAAUUGAUUAUUCAUUAUUAAUUUAACUCCUACAUAAUGUAAUGAUCUGACCCUUAUAUUAUGAGGUCUGACCAUUACAAUAUGCAUACCUGGACUUUUCUAUCUUGGGAUGUGUUUUGGUCAAGAUCUUUUUGAAAAGAAACCUCAGAAUUUAAACUUUACAGAAGUUUCUUUUAUAAAGAAAAACGUUCGCCAAGUGAAAUGCAUGUGUGAUCAAAACAAAGAGUUUGAUGGUUGGCCCUUUGAGUUGCUUCCAGUCAUGCUCUCUACAUUGUAUCCUCCCUCCAAAUUUUGUAAAAUAGGACGUGAAAAUAUAUGGUUAGGACUCAAAGCUCGUACUUGUCAUAACAUGAGGUAGUCGGUUACACUUCCAACAUAAAUAUUUCUGUCUUGAUAGAAAGAUGUAGAAACUAACCCAUCUGAUAAGUAGCAUAUAAUGUAGCCAAUAAAGCCAAAAUCACAUCCAUUAUUAACUUAUAUAGCAUGAGUUUUUCGCCCUGAUAGGAAGAUGUAGACUUAAGCAAAACAACUCAUCUGAUCAUGAGUAGCAGAUAAUAUAGUUAGUAGAGCCACCUUUGCAACCAACAUUGACCUGUAUAACAUAUAAGGAAAUUGGGGCGGUGCAAGCAUACAUACUCCAUACUAGCCCCUAACAUAAACAUAUCAAGUAAUGGGUCUAGAAUGGUGCAACCCAUACAUACCUUGCUAGUCCUGGAAGCAUAAUCUAUACCUGAAAAGAAGCUUGAUCAUGAGCAUACAGCAUGAGGUCCCCUAUCAAGAAACAUGUUUGAGUAUGCAAUGUAACAUGACAAAGAUACAAUCAUAAUAAUGCAACAUAUCAAGGGCACACUACCAUAAGCCACCUAAUAAAAGAGUAAGAUAAGCUACCUACCUCAAUCAUGAUUCUAUUUAUUCUGAAUUAAUAUUCUUAUGGUUUGAUCCUACGAAUUUCAUAAAGAACCCUUAGGAUUAAAACUAGUUUUAAGGUUGUUGCAUUGUCCAAUAAUAAUAAUAUAACAAUAUAGUCUAAAUUAUUACGAUACAAUACUAUAUAUAAUGUACUAGUAAUAUGUUUGAAAAUUUUCAUAAAUAUAACAAAAACAUAAAUAUUUACCAUCCUUGUAAUAAAAUGAAAAAGUUCAUGAAGUCGAUUUUUUUUUUUUAAUAUUCUAGGUUUGUCCUUACUUAUCAUCUUCUUUCUUCUGCAAUUUUUCUUUUCAUUUUCGUUGUCUUUUCCUCUUCUUCUGCAAUUUUUCUUUUAUUAUUUUUGUAAUAGUAAUUUGGUAAAGAUCGUGAACAAAAUAUAAAAGAUCUAUUUUUUCUUUUAUUUUUUUCAAAUUAUUGUUUAGUUCAAGAUCGUGUACUAAAUAUAAAAAACCUUGAAAAAAAUUGUUGGGAUAUUGUUACACGAUAAUCGUUUAGAUUUGGGUAGCCAAAUCUAAAUGAUCGUAUAAAAAAAAAUAGUCAAAUCUAAACUACCAAUAUAAACGAUCGUGUAUAAAAAAAUAUUGAACAAAAUCGUUUCAAUUUGGCUACCAAAAUCUAAACGAUUGCGUACCAAAGAAUAAUUAAAUCUAAACGAUAAUGUGCUAAAGAAUCUUGAAAAAAACCAUUUAGAUUUAGGUAUAACCAAAUCAUACCAAUUUAAAUGAUCUUGGUACAAGAUCGUGUACCAAAUAAUUUUUAAAAAACCCAUAUACUUACAAUAAUAUUAGAUAAUAAUACGAGAUCUUUUUAAAAAUAUAACAAAUCAGUAAAAUAUUUACACCGUAUAAAACAAUUUUGAAAACAAAAAUAGUCCACGCCUCUAAUACUAAAAAUGAUCCAUAUCAUAAUUAUGGAAGCAAUAAAAUAUUUUUUUAAAAAAUAAAAGUUAAAGGGAAAGCUGAAAGAUAUUUAUUUUUAUAAUUGAGCAUAUAUCAAAAGUAAAUUCGUAGGUAUGUGAGGAAAUGAUAUAGAGAUACCCAAAUGAAAUGAAAAUGUUGAUAUAAAUAUAAAAAGCAAAGGUUGUGAGGGCAAACCACCAUAGAAGCAUGCAACAUAAGUGGGAUUGCUUUAUAUACCAAUUUCCCAUUCAUUAUUUAACGCUUCUGAAUUAACAGGCAAAACAAAACUUAUUUCACAUUAAUAAACUUGUCAAAAUAUUUCUUCCAUUGUUGUAGUAAACAGACUUUGAUUACUAGAAAAUUCACUUUUCAAAAACAAUAAAUGAGUCAUUUAACAAAACAUCCUUCAAAUACAUUCCUUCUUAAUUAAUAAAUUCUUUCUCACAUCAAAAACUCGAAUGACUAGUAGUUAUUUUGUGGCGUUGUCGAAAAAUGAUGGUUGAUGGUUAGCCAAAAUUGACCAAUAAAAUGUACGAAAGUAGUGUUUGUCAUUUUCCAUACAAAUUAGGAGAGAUUAACCAUUACACAAUAAAAAGUUAAAAAUAAAUUUUUCUAAAGUUUAUUCAUAAACCAACUUAUUUUAAAAAUUCAUUUUAAUUUCAAAAUUUAUUAUGUACCACAAAUACAAUACAAACACACAAGUGAUUACCACAAAUAUAUACAAUCCCCCAAUUUUAGAUAGAAAAAAAAAGGAAUCAAUAUAUAGGAUGAAUAUUGAUUAGAUCAAAAUUAAUACCUCAAUAUUAAAAAGUAUACAAGAUCGAUAAAUUAAUAAUAUUACAAAAGAAAUACUUUAGGAAAUAUAUUUCACCUAUUAUUAAACAAACAAAACCACUCAACUAAUAAGAAAAUCCAGCAUGCUCCCUUGUACAAUCAUUCCAUAAGCCAAGAAGAACAAAGAUAGUGAAUUCUAGCACGUCAACUAACCCUCUUUGUAAGCUUAAUGAAAAAUCAGAUAACAAAGUUAGAAGAUAAAGGGAAAGUUGAGGCAGUGUUCAACUUAAGCUCACAAAAAAUAUCACAACGUCACUCUAAUGCAUUUUCACAAUGCUACAUGUACUCGUCAAAUGUCAUAACGUUGAAUUUUCUCAAGUUUUACUUCAAAACAUCUUCAAAUAUUCUAUAAACAAAUAGUAGGACAAGAUAAAAGAGAACUAAACCAAUAAUGGAAAUUUAUAAACUUAAUUGUAAAUCCUGGAGAGAAACGGUGUCUUAAUCAAUGUGCCAAUAAUUAAUGUUACGAUGUUGUAUUCAUCAGUUUAUGAAGUAGAAUGGACCCAAUGAGGAGAAAAAAGAGACAAGAAAUGGAUUUGGAUGUAUCAUUAUUAUUGAAAAGUUAUGUUAAAGAGAUAUGAUGUGUGGAAAGGCACUUCCUCAGAUUUGACUAUUUUAUGCCACAGUAUAAAUAAUGAUACAAAAUCCCACUUUUUUUCUUUUUAUUUAUAAUUUACAUUCUAUAACCCACUAAUGGAAGUGGGUAUAGCAAAACCCAAUAGAAGUUCAUGAUCGAGGCACCAAGUUUUGCCACCCAAAUCGCUAUUGUCUCAAACAUGUUUGGUUGUUGCAAUAUUUUGACCACACAAUUAAAAUUCACUCGUUUUCUCUAAAUAUACUUCUAAUAAACAAAUGCUAUAUAAAAAAAUAUCAACUCAUGUAUUUGGGUCAUUGUUGGUUGUAGAAAAUGGAAAAUUAGUUAAAGAAUAUAAUAAAUGGGUUUUGUUGGGGACAAAGUUGUAAAUGUGCUUAAAUGACGUUUUUGCAACUAUAUAUACUUCAAUCUUCUUCCUUUAGGUCACUUAAUCGUGAAAAGAGAAAGAGAUUAGGGAGUGAGAAAGAGAGCUAUAGAACACACACCUUGAGAGAGAAAUAUUUUUUUUGCAAAUUAGCGAGAAGAGUAGCUAUUUUAAAAGACGUCUUUGGUGCUAGACAAUCUCAUGAUAAACAUUAUUUAAAUAUUGAGAAAGGUAUAAAGAACUUUGUUCUAGGUUUCCUUAUAAUCAGUUGACUGAAAGGGAUAUUGUGCAAUAUUUUUUUGUUAGAAUUGUUGUCAUCAAAUAGGAACUCACUUAAUGCCGCUUGAGGAGGGGCCUUAAUGGAUAAAACCCUCUCCUAAGCAAAGAAGUUACUUUCUAGAAUGGCCGAAAAUUCUCAAAACUUUUCUAGUAGAACACUUGAAUCAAAUGCUUCAUUGUCUUGUGAUAAUUCUGUUAAAGAACAAGUGAAUCUACUAACUAAAUGUUUUGCUUCUUUCGUGAAGGGAGAGGCUCCUAAAGUCGCCUCUUGUGCCGUUUGUGACUUGCUAGGUCACCACAAUGAUCAAUCCCCGGAGCUUAAGAGGUAAUUGCCAUGUGCGGUUUUAGAAGAAGUGAUUUAUAAAGUAAGACCUACAAUUCUGAAUGGAGGGAUCAUCUAAAACUAAGGUUGGGCCCUAAAAAACCCAAACCUAUCAACACUUCCACUUCCUCAUCUUCAUCAUAAGGUACCUACCUAGAGGAGAUCAUCUUAAAGUUAGCUCUUAGCUCAAAUAGUUUCAAAAUUGAUUUUGAGAAGAAUUUAGCUAAGUUGAGUGAACAAACCAUUAAUACAUCUGAAGCUAUUAGAAGUGACAUAGAUAUUCUGAAAGCAUCAAUUACUGAGUUUAGGACAUAAGUUUAAUCAAUUAGCAACACAUGUUCUUAGAACGAAAGGGAAGGUCAAAAUUUCCGCCCCAACCCGACCAUGCAGACUUGAGUGCUAUUACUUUAAGAAGUGAAUUUUUUAAAAAUAAAAAUGAUGAUAUUUCCUUGUCUCAAAGUGAUCCAAACUUAGAAAAAGUCAAUUCUAACGAAGAAAACAAGGUACACACUAACCCUUCUUCCUCUAAUGCUUUUUCUUCUUCCAACAAUGAUUCAAGAGACUUUACUGCUAAUCCUCCAUUUCCUUCUAGGCUUACACUAACAAGGAAGGAAAUUAAGAAUGACGAAGAAAUCCUUGAAGUCUUCAAGAAGGUAGAAGUGAACCUUUCCCUCUUGACGGAAAUCAAGAGGCGCAUAUCGAGGUAUGCAAAGUUUCCCAAAGAAUUAUAUAUUCAGAGGAGGAGCAGGAGCCAAGAAAAAGCAACGAUUAGUAGAAAUGUAUUUUCUCUUUUAAAGAAAAAUCUUCUAGAAAAAUGUGUUGAUCCAGGUAUGUUUUCACUCCCUUGCACAAUUGGUAAUAUAUACAUAUCUAAUGCAAUGCUUGAUUUGGGUGCAUUAAUAAAUGUCAUGCCUUUUAGCAUUUUUAAAGAUUUAAGACUAAAUGGACUUGAAAAGACUAGCAUUUGUGUACAAUUAGUCAACUGGUGUUUUACCUCACCAUUAGAGAUUGUAGAAGAUGUUGAAAUCAAAGUAGGAAACCUUAUAUUACCUGGUAAUUUUUAUAUAAUAGAAAUGAACAAUGAAUAUGCAUGUACCUUCACUUGCCAUUAUUCUUUAAGGAAGAUCGUUCUUAAAAUCUCCGCUAAGGCCAUAAUUAAUGUAGACAAAGGUCUUCUUAGUGUCGAUUUUGAUGGUGAUAUAGUGUCAUUGAAUAUUUUUGAUGAUGUACACUCUUCUACUGAUCAUACCUCAUUGUGUGCAUUAGAUACAGUAGAAAUAUUAGUAGAAAUAUUAGAAGAGCAUGAUAAAUUUAGUGAGUUGAUUAAUCAAGCAACUUUAGAUUAUGUCGAUAAUGAAUUUUCUAAGAACAAACCUAGUGAUGAUGAUCUCUAUUUUCCUUGACUUUGUUGCUAUUGUAAAUGAUGAACAUGUCUUAGUUGACAAUAUUGCAACAAAUGAACAUGUUUUAAAUAAUGAUUUUGCAUUUAGAAAUGAGUAUGAUCUAGGAAGAAACAUUAAUAGUGACGAUGAGCAUACUUUGGAAGGCAUUGACAUUGAGGAUAAGCAUGACACAAACAUCAACGUAGAAAUUUGUGAAAAAGAGCAUGUUUUAGAAGUAGUUGAUGAUUCUUAUGAUAUUUCUUUGCAUAAAGAAUGUGAGAAUUUCAAUAUUAAUGAGCCUACUUCGCCUUUGCAUGAAAGUGUGAUAGAACUAAAGGAUUUUCCUUCUCACCUCAAGAAUGUCUUCUUGACAGACAAACACACACUUUCUGUCACAAUCUCAAUGGAGCUUACCGAGGAGCAAGAAGAACUAUUAUUAGAGAUCUUGAAAAAAAAACAAGCAAGUCGUAGGAUGGACUUUGGAUGACUUGAAGGGUAUAAACCUAUCAUUUUGCCAGCAUAGAAUUGACCUUGAAAAAGGAGCAAAAGAUAAAGGUCCAACCUCAGAGGCGAUUGAACCCGACCUUGAGGGAGUUGGGGAAGAAAGAAGUCUUGAAGCUGAAGGAUGACGAAAUCAUAUAUCAUGUGGUACCAAAAAAAUAGGUAUGAUAAUUAUGGAAAACGACAAAGGUGAGUUUGUUCCAACUCGUAUACAAAAUGGUUAGAGCAUGUGUAUAGAUUAUAGAAAGUUAAACGAGGUAACUGCUUGUUUUGGGUUUGUAUGCACAUGCAAUUUUUCGUAAAUAUGUCAUGUUAAAACUAUGAUUGAGUGACUACUAGGCUACUAAAUAGGAUUAUGCAAUAAAAGAUGCAUUCCUAUGCAUGCGUUGCAAAACAUCUAAUGAUAUGUGCGUAAUGCAAGUUUUUCUCUAUAUCGUCCAAAUGCAAGCGAAGAGAGGUUUCCUGAUAAAUUCAGGGUUGAACACAAGAAAUUAAUUUUCCUAAUGAUCUUAUUGUGCACUAAACUCAUGGGGUAUGCUCUAUACAGUAUAAAUAUGUACAAUAUGAUUUAUCCUAGUUAUUUACACUAAGGUGCCUUGGAUGGUGCAAGCUUAACAUGGCGAUGAGAUGAUAUGGAAAAUGAACUCAGUUUAUAGGUGUGGUAGGAAAGAAUGCUUAAUUAACUAAUUGCAAUGGAUUGUUCAUUAAUAGUUCGAGGUGAUACAAAACAUGUAUUAACUUCAAAAUUAAGGUGAGCGACCUUUUGGUGCCUUCACUGUACUUGUUCGCCUCUCGAGAUUCAAAUACUUAAAGUUAAUCUAUGAUUUGUAUCUAAUCAUCUUGUUUCUAUUAUAAGCAAUUUAUCCUUAAUUAAGUCGGAUAACCUCUUGGUGAUUUUGCUGCACACGUUGGUAUCUCUGCAACUUAUAUAAAGAAUGAACUUGGUCAAAAGAUUGUAUUAUUACAAUAUUUUCGCUACUUGCUUAGUUAAAUACGUGCUCUCAUUUAUCAGGUGAUUGUGAUCAAUACCAUUGUCUUUCUCUCGAAUACACAAUAUGUUGAGAUUCAUGUUUAACUAAGCAAAACUUAUAAAACAUACACUUAGAUUCUGCAGUAUUAUAAACAUAUUCCAUUACUCAUGAACUAAUUAAACAGAUUGAACAUGGAUAGUAAGAGAGAGAUGGGAUGAUGAAAGAAGAAAUGUAUCACUAAUAUAAAUAUAACUUUAGGCCUCUCUGCCAUAGAGUAUCAAGCAAUAUAAAAUAAACAAAAAGUGGAAUAUAGAGAAGUGUGUCAAGCCUUAGAGUAUGAUUUCUCAUGCUCGUAUCCUUAGAGUAUGAUUUCUCAUACUCCUUGACUCUUAUUUUUGCCUGUUCUUAAGGGGGAGAUGGUGGGGAAAAAAUUCUUUCUCUCUUUGUGUUCUAAGCUGUCACCUAAAACUCAAGAACAAAAGAAUAAACAAUAUGAACUUGCCCUCUAACCAAAGAUUGCACAAGUUGUUAAGAAGUAGAGUAUUCUAUUUAUAGGUGAGGAGUGAUGUUGAUAGGAUGUCCCAUUCAUCGUUAAUGCCUCUAAAAAGUUGCAUCAAUGCCGCAUAGACGUGAUCCUUUCGUCCUUUUUCUGAUAUUUGUGUCAACCCAAUUUGUCUGCUAGUGGAACAGAGCGCAUAACUUGAUCGCUUUGUUUUCGUGUUGGUUGGACACGUCUUCUCGUCCAAUAUUCUAUCACCAAGCUCUACUUCUUUUUGCCUAUUAUCAUGCAAUAAAGACAUGUAAAACUUGAUAAACAAGGACAAAGUUCUUUCGUAAGAUGUGAUACACAAGUUAAUCAAAAUUACUUACUUUUUCCUUUGCUUUCUUCUGAUCUUAUGCUAUAAGACUUUAUUAUUUUACAUAAAAAGCAGUAAUAACUUGUAUUUCUACAAGCUAUCAGUAACAAAAAAAGAUAAUUUACCUUUGCCUUAUUUAGAUAAAAUGAUAGAACAACUAAUUGAAAAAUCAUAUUUUUGCUUUCUUGACAGCUUUUCUAGUUUUUACCAAAUACCUAUUGCAUGCAAUGAUCAAAACAAAAAUAACUUUUACAUGUGAUUUUGGAGCGUUUGCCUUUAGAAGAAUGCCUUUUGGACUAUGUAGUGCUCCUGCUACAUUUCAAAGAUGCAUGCUUAGCAUAUUCCCCUAUUUUGUUGGUAAAUGCAUUGAAGUGUUUAUGGAUGACUUUACAUCCUAUGGUGAUGAUUUUGGGACUUCUCUAAUAGUUUAGAAUUGAUUUUAAAGUGAUGCAUAGAUACAAACUUAGUACUCAGUUUAGAAAAGUAUUUUACUUCUCACAAAGAUUUUCAAUCAAAAGGUAUCAAACGAUCAUUUACUUCUUACACGAUUGACUAACUUUCCAUACGAUUGUUUAACUAUACAUGAUCGUUUAACAAAGUACUCUGUCAAAACUUAAUGAAAAUAGAAUGAUAGUGAUUUCAAACAAAUCAUUCAAAUUAAAAUGAAACUAAAGUUGUUAAUCCACAACAAGAAAUCAACAGUGAAAAGCUUAUGUUUCUCUCUCUAAACAAUUAAUCGACUAAAUGAGAGAGAAGUAGAGAGAGAAUCAAACCAAUAUGAUGCUUCCAGUGACAACAAAUUGGAGAAUAAGAAACCAUAGAAGAGAAUUGACUAUAGGUAAAUAAGGAACAAUUUAACCGUUGAGGGAAGAAGAAACAUUGUGAAAACAAAAUUAAAAAAAAAAAAAGAAGAAGAAGAUAAGAAAAGAUAUGGUUGAUUGAUGAAAGAAGUGAAGAGAUAAAAGCCAUUGGCAGCGAAAGAUUUUACAGAACUCUUCCUCAAUUUAAUUUGAAAAUCUCAAAACAUCGGUACAUUGACAAUAUUUAGAAUCAAAAUUCUAAAUAAAAAACUAAGCAUGUUGUUUAAAAUUAAAAGAUUAAGAGAACUUACUCUUGUUGACGUCUUUAAAUCUACAAUUUAUCAAAUUGGGGACACCACCUGUGACAGACCUUCUUAUCAUUUACGAUGAGAUUAAUUUGUGGUAACCAAUUGAAAUAGGAAAAUGUUAGAGAAAAACUAUUUUGCAUAAAAGCAAAAUCAUUUUUUUAUUGAUUGAUUAAAAAAAACUAUUUUCCUUAUGCAUAUUUAUAACUUUCUUUCCUUUAUAGUGUAGAAAUGAAAUAGAAGAUAAUGAUUGGAUUCUAUUAAUUUAAAAAAAUAUUAAAUUAAUAGAAAUUUCAAAUAAACUAAUUAAUUAACGAUUAAUCAAUCAAUAAUUAAUUAUAUUAUAUUUAAUUAAUAAUUCAUUUAAAUCAUAUUUAAUGAAUAUCUCUCCAAUAUCUUAUAGCUUUAAAUUAAUUUAAUUAAAUAAAAUAAAACAAAACUAUUAAUUAAUUCUCCAAUUAAAUAAGAUCUAAUUAAAUAUCUUAUAUUUAACUUAAAUUAAAUUUGAAUCAGAUCCAAACAUAAAUUUCUUUAUAACCAAUAAUUUUAAUAUGAAUCUAAUUCACAUUAAACUAAUGUUUGAAUUCAUUCAAAUAUUUUAUCACUUAUAAAUUAAUUUAAAAUCAUAUCCAAAAUAAAAUUUAUAUAAUAGAGUUUGAUUAAAUAUAAACUUUUUAUUAUAAUGCAUCACCAUAUAUUAUACUAAUUUCCAAAAUAAAUUUGAACAUUUCAAAUUACAACCAAUAUAAAUAAAUCUUAUUACACUUUACGAGCUAGGAAGAUGACUUAAUGGAUCUACAGAUCAAAAUCUACAACAAUAUGAGAUUAAUUGACUAAACUCAUUAACCACAUUAAUCAAUAUUUGUUAAUUGUGUAUACACUCCACUAAAAACUCACAACUGAACUCUUCUCGCUCUAGAUAUACUUUUUUAUCUACGGAUAUAGACCUGUAAUAGUAAGUUAGUCCUUCAUGAGUAUCGUAACACCAAUUAGGUCAAAUUACCGUUUUACCUCUAGGUUUCCUAUAGUUCUUAGAUAUUAGUGCUCCUCUAAUGAAUAACAUAUUUAUGGUCCAACCAAUAAACAAAAACCUCUCUUAUGCCAUGGAGAGGGUAAGGUCCUUUAUUUAGACACCAUAAGGAAACAUUCAUCUACUUACCCAAAAGUAGGGAAUGACUGAAUUUCAUCUUGUGUAAUUAUGUUUCCAAUCCCCAUGUGGUUUUGUCUUCAAAACGAUAAGCAUAUUGAGUUGGCGAUCUGGUCACUCUCACCCGUACAAAUUAAAGAACAAUCCAUCACGAACAGAAGUUCAUAAUACACUCAGGAUUAAGACUAAGUUACCUAGGUCAUCCUAAUGAAACAGAGUUACAUCUAGUGGUUACUAUUUCGUAGUCCUGUCGUAUGCAAACUCAUUGCAUAAGAUACUCUCACUCACAUGUCAACUACACAAUGUGUUGGAUCAUUCCGUUUGUAUCAAAUACAAAAUGAGUCGUAUCUGUAUAACCAAGAUAAGAUACCCAAUCUUAUUCCUAUACUAUAAGCUUUUUAAGUUGAUUUCGAACAUUAAUCCAUGUAUAUCUCUAAAUACUGUUCAAAACUUAUCAAACAACUUAUGAUGGAGAGUUAUUAAGAUAAAAGUAAUAAUAUAAUGAUAACAUUGUUUUUUGAAUUGUAAAUAUAAUGUGUGGCAUUCAAAUUCCUUAGUGGCAUAAUUAAAUGCCCCUCUAACCAAUACCCAUUAAUUAAUUUCAAUUCUAUCAUCAUUAAUAUUCAACUCUUAUGCAUUUCCAAGCCGCCGCGUCCACUACCAAUAUAUAUAUAUAUUUUUAUUCUAAUUGUUUUCAUUUCCAAAUUGCUUCCCUUUCUUUCCUUUUCUUUGCUCCAAUCAUCAUUGUUGUAAACAUCAAUGUUUUUUUUAAUCAGGCUUUAAAAUAGUUAAAAAUCUUUCACAUCUACCAACCCACUAAACAUUCUUCGUUUCAACUUUAUCAAUAUACAUUUGAGUUGUUGCUAAUUGGUAAAGAUUAACGAGAAAUUACAACUUUUUUUUAUUUAAUAUAUGUCAAAAUAAUAUUUUUCUAAAUCACCUGCAUGACACUUUUCUUUCUUAUAAAUUAAACCAUUUAAAUUAUUCAUUUUUUUUAAUAUUUACAACCCAAAAUUUUAAAAUCUAUCCAGUUAAAUUCUAGUAUUUAUAAGUGUAAAUUUACCAAAAUGUACCGUUUAAAUUUUAAUAUUUUAAAAGAAUAAUUCAAAUAGGAAGGAAACCGUGUGUUGAUGUACAAACAAUGCUCAUCAAACCUCUUCCAAAAAUGUUAACAAAUGAUGGAUCAUUAAAUUUCUUUGUUUGCACUUGUUAUGAAUUACCAAGUAUAUAGUUUGAAAAUUUGACGAAGUGACCAAUUUCUUGUAAUUCUUAAUCUAUUUGAACAAAAUUAAAAUCUAUAUAUAUGAUAUAUCAAUUGAAGCAUCAUAAUAUUUUAAAAGCAUAUAUAUGCAUCAACUAAUUCAAUGCUAACGCAUUUGUUUUUCAUUUUCAUUUUCUUUCGGUUUUAAGUUAACCUUCUAUAUUUGGUUGGUAUAAAAAUUUUCAAGAAAUUAGAACAAAUGGGACUACAGAAUAAAACCAUAUAAAUAAAUAUUCAUAAACAAAGUUAGCACGAUCCUUUAACUUAAAUUUGAGAUCAAACUUCAUAGUUUAGCAAUUAAUUAUUUAAUUACUUGUAUUAACAGAAGAGGUCAAAAAUCUAAAUUUUUCGAAAGUGUCUGUCAAAGGAAAAGAACCAUGCCCUCAAAUUGAACUUAGAUGGUAAUUAGCAAUUUAGCAUGACAUUCCUUCUAAAGAAGGUUUGUUAGAUGUCUACUGUAAAAGAAUUAAUUGAAAAGAAAGAGCGCAUCAAAUUCAUCAACUCUCAUUUUCAUUGAUUUACAUGUUGGGGACAAAAUUUAUGGCAAAAUUCGAAAGAAGGAAAGAGAGAGAGAGAGAGAGAGAUCAUAAUUGAUUAAGCAUAUAACAAAUGGAGAUUCAAGGGAAGGGAUUUUGAUGGGCAUCUUGUUGAUUUGUGGAGCAACUACAAGGCGGUAUGGCGGCGGCCGGCAAAGCCAAGAAGGUAGGCAUGUCGUUUCCGGCCAUGAUGACAAAAAACUUGGGCUCCAUUAGGAGAUUCACGGUGGAGGACGUGGCAGCGGGUGGGUCCUUCUGGCCGCCGGUGAAGCGUUUUCGGAACGAGCAUGCGAUGAUGAUAAGAGCUGCGGCGAUGAGAAGCAAAGUAAGAGAAAGGCCGCCGAAGAGGUAAGGAAUGGGCGACUUCCAUAGGUGAAGCUUGAGGGCGGUAGCUGAUGGUGGUGCAGUUGCGGCGGCUAGGCGCCUCAUCUCUUUGUUUAAUUAAUACCAAUAUAUUUAAUAUUAGGGGUUUUGUUUUAGGGAUGUGAGAAAAUUAGCCAAAUGGAAUGUGUGAUUUAUAGUUGAAGUUUUGUGACUCUCAAGGCUACGUGAUUUUACCAAAAUACCCUUCUUCGGUGGGAAGGAAGAUUCCUUUUAUGCUCUUGUUCAUGUAUUUGGGUACCUGGUUUAAUUACAGGAAAAAUGGUUUCUCCCUUUUUU